rnacentral:lncRNA from 1 species
CAAAACUUGCCUCGAUUGCUUCCUCAAUGGCCACUCACUCUACCGCUACGAAUACGACGUUUCUUACUUAAAACUGGUUUUCAAACGCUCUGGUUCUUGCAGCAUUUGGGAUUGCAGACCGGCGAACCAAGUCGUCGAAACCGCCUAUCGUCUGCUCGAAGACAAGAGCUUCGGGAGCUACAAUUUUUUCCUCAACAACUGCCAGGACUUCGCGGUGUAUUGCAAAACGGGCAUGGCAUUGAGCAAUCAAACAGCAGGGUUAUUUGGGUUUAACUUGGUUGGUGCUGUUGGAUAUCAUGCUACCAAAGGGAUCUAUGAAGCCUUUACCAAUUAAAGAACAACUAAGGACUCAUCAGCCAUGAUUUAUGAAAUAAACAGCCACUUGAACUUGGGUUUUUGUGGUAUAAUAUAAAAAAAAAAUAUUAGUAGAGUAUUGCAAAAGUGUGUGAUGUGCUACUUUCCUAAACCUGUACAAAAACAUGCAAAUAAUACCAAUAAAAAUUAUGAAUAUAUUUUCACUUCAAAUACAAAUAAUCGAAUCUCUUAUUUUCUCUCUCAUGUUUAUUUUGGUUAGUUGUUUAGUUAAUUAAUUUGAAUUGAAUUAUCUGUAUCGAUUCAGAAAGCGAAGUUAAAUUUUUUUUUUUAGAAUCGAAAUUAAAUUGUAAUUGUUAGAUAGUAAAUAUUGGAACCCACCAUUGUUUGAAAAGUCAAAUGGGGUGGACACCGAAAGUAGAAAGUAAUAUUGGUUGGCAAGUUGGGUUAAAAGUUGGCAUGGGAUAAUUGCAAUUUUGGUCCCUAAUUGUAUAGGACAUUGCAAGUUGAUCCUUGAACCUCAACUAUAAAUAGGCCUAACCAUUGCUUACUUUCUUCAUCCCAUAAUUGCCAUUCUCUACUUAAGGCAUUAUUCUCUCUCUCUAUUUGUAAAUUUCACUUGUAAUUUUUGGAGUGAAAUAUAUUUGGUAGUGCCCGAGGACGUAGGCAAAAUUUGCUAAACCUCGUUAAAAUUCUGGUGUUCUUUAUUAUUUGUUUUGCAUAUUUUGUGAAUGUGAUUGUAGUGAUUUAUUGUGCUAUUAAAUUACGAUAGAGGGAUAUUCUGACUAGGAAAGACUUGGUAUUUAAGUGAUCUUCGUGAUCUACCUCUCUUUCUUGGGAAUUGAACUUAGUGUGAUUUUUCAGUACAAUAAUUUUACUCUUUCACACGCUUCCGCGCAACAGUAAAAAUGUAAUUUUAUUAUUUUAAUAAUCUAUAUCUUUAUAAUUUUAAAUGAUUAAAUAAAAUUUUUAUCAUUUUUAGGGGGCAAAAUACAAUUUUACCUUUAUUAAUUUAAAAUUUUAAAAAUUUUAAAAGACCUAAAUUGAAAAUUUUUCAUUUUAAGGAGAGACAGGAACCCGACCAAUCUCCUAGGUACGCCCUAUGUGGAUUAAUACUAACCUUAUAUUAGUUAGUUAGGUCUAACUUAUUAUUAUUAUUUUUUUGCAAAGUCAGUGAAAUACAAAAAGGAUUGUUGAGAACAAUCCAAACAAGUUCAAUCACACAGUUUUUUAAAAAAAGGAAAAAAAAAAAAACAACCUAGCAAAUAUUACUAAGCAGACAAAAACAACUUCAACAAUAGAUUUCCCCGUUGUACUCUGCUGUAGAAAACAACAGACCAACCCAGCAUCAUCCACUCUGCUUCAACAGCAACUCACCAAGCAGCUUUAAAGAAGUUUUACCUUGACAUGCUUACCUUUGCUAAAGUUUCCACCAUUCUAUUCUUUUUGUGAUUAGUGACUGCAAACUGGAUUUCAGCAAUAUGUCUACACCCAUCUUCAAUUUCCGCAAACAACUUCCUUAGCGACCAUGGACGAAGAUUUCUAUAUUUCAACCAAUUCGAUUAACUUAUUUGACUUGUAUUUAUUUUGAUUACUUAAUUAAUUAAUGUGUAUUUAAGAUAUAAUCAAACUUCUUUAUUUCAAGUUAAAUUAGUUAUAUAUGAAUUAUUAUUAAUUACAUAAAAUUAUAACAUCUUAACAUGUUUGUAUAAAACAAGCAUGUCAAUAAAGUUUCAUCUAGAUCCAUAGGAUAAAUUUUAUCAUAAAUCAACUAUAACUUUACAAUAUCUUAAAUUUGAUUCCUUUGAACAAUAUUGUCCAGCAAGCAUAAGAACCUCCUUUCCAAAAGCUUCAAAGUAUAGGUAUAUUUCAUUAUUAAAUUUAAUUGUUUCUUGAUUUUAUGUUGUUCUUAUCAUAUGUAUAAUAAUUUUAUUUUAGUUUAUGCUCAAAACAUAACUAUAUAUAUACAUAUGACUUUAUCCAUACACAUAUAUGAUUUGUCUCUUCAAUAACAGUUACUUUGAUAACAAAUCUCUCGGGAAGAGAUUUAAAAACCUAGCAAAUUUGAUAGAACAGACAAAUUGGCAUAAACUUCAUUAAAAGUUUCAUUCACCGGUAGUCCGAGAAUCAAAUUUUAUGAUUAGCAUCUAUAGCUUCAAUUGUUUCAAGAAUAUCACAUUUUUCUUCCACAAAAUGGCAUUCAAAGCCUUGAAAUUGGUUGCAACCUACAAGAGGUUCCCUUCCAAUGAGAAUUGCACGCCGAGUCUUUUCAUCGAUUGAUUUUAUAAAAGUCUUCAUCCUUGCCUUUCAAUAUGCCUAAUUGGAUCCAUCCAACAUCGGGUUGUAAGAUAGAAGAAUCUUUCAUAGUGAGUAAAAAUUAAUAUCAAAAUCACUGCUUACUACGUCAAGUGUCUCGCUCUAAUAAUAAAUAGAAGAAACAAGUGAUUUUUGCAUUGGUAUUUGAGUAGUUAUAACUGAGGAGACUAGCAAGUGAAGAACAACAAAACAAAAAGAUUGGUUACACAGUUCGAUUUCAACCAUGUAUAAUUGAUGAUUUUGUUGGAAAAUUUCGGUUUAGAAAAUAAUAUUUUUAGACACAACGGAAGUUUAAAAAUUUUCUUUAAAAUCGAGUCUUGUGAUAUUUAUAGCAUUAAACUUUAACUGAAAUUAUAUAUGUGCUUUGUACGAGGUGAUUAAGUCGAUCUCAGCUAUUGAAUGACCUUCUCUACUAUUCAUAAACAGAUCUAAGAUCUAUUUUACUUGGAUUUUGUCCAAUAUACUAUCAGCCAAGUCAGUCACAUUUAUGUCUCGAUCUUCUAAGAGUCAUCUGCUUCAAUACCAAGACAAGGUAUCUCUCCAAUUGGACUUGAUAUACGACAUAUUAGUUUUUCAAUCGAUUUGUUCAAUUUCGAUUAGACUAAUAACAUGUUUGGAUUAUCUACUAAUAUAAAUUGUCUUUCCUUAUUAUGAUCCGACCACAUAAUAUCGCUUGAUAUUUGUUAAACUUUAGGUAAUUAGUAAACUAAUAUUUGUUUUCAUUUUUAUUUAUAUGCAAAAAACUAUUGAAGACAAUAUAUGAAUAUAUUAAUAAUACUAAUGAAUAUUUUAUUAAACUAUUUUUUUUUGAAAAAUUACAAGUACAUAUAAACAAAAUCACUACACUAAGAGCACUAGAUCUUGACGGAUUUAAAUCCUACAAAUCACUAUAUACCAAACUUACACUUAUACAAAAAAUCUAGAUCACUUUCUACUAAAUUUUUUAUCAAAAAAGGCAGCUAUAAAAUCAAAGUGGUUCUUAAUAGAAUAAUAUAAAGCACUAACUUUCUUACAAACUAAGUCAAGCUUCACAUAUAAUUAUUUUAGCCAUGGUGAAAUCAGGGGUGUAGCUAAGGGGGUUGGCAGAGGUCCAGUUUCUCCCUAAAAUGAAAAAUUUUCAUUUAAGUGUUUUAAAUUUUUUAAAAUUUUAAAUUGGUAAAAAUAAAAUUGCACUUUGACCCCUUUAAAAAUGAUAAAAAUUUGAUUUAAUAUUUUAAAAAUUAUAAAGAUAUAAACUAUUAAAAUGGUGAAAUUAGAUUUUUAGUAUCAUAAAAAUUACAAUUUAAUUUCAAUCCCCUAAAAAUUUUUUUUGACUUUGCCCCAAAUUGAAAUACAAAUAUAUUACAAUAACAAUUCCCACAAAAUAGGACUACUUUGUUAGGAUAAAUAAUGAAAUUUUCAACAUAUUCUUUUUUUUUGGUGAAAAAACAUGAACAGGAAGACAACUUUAAAAGACUUUAAAAUAAACUAAAAGCUUGCUCUUGCAGGAUGAGCAUAUCCACCACAUCAGGAGGGACUUCAAAAGUCUGAAGGGAGGUCUGCCAAGAGAGGCCUAUCUUCGCUAGUUUGUCAGCAAUUAAGUUAUGCUCUGCUAUAGUAUGGAAUAAUUCACACGUGUUUCAUAAUUAGGUAGUUAGGCUGUUGAAUGAAUUAGUUUUAUUGUUAAGGGUCGUUAAUAGCUGUUAGCUUUUCCUAUUGUGUAUAUAGUCUAUGCCUUUGUACUGAGAAAGGAAGCUAAGAAAUACAGUGUAUUACCUUUUAGAUAUUUCUCUAGAAUUUGGUUAGUUUCUAUCAUGGUAUCAGUCGCUCGGUGAUCUUUGAGCAUGGCUUUCACGUAUUCUCCUGAUUCCAAUUCUGUUGAUCUAAGUGGCUCGGUUUUCUCCGGUGAUCGGAUCGUCACCUCCUUUCUACGGCAGGAUGUGGUUAAGCUGGAUGAGGGUACUUUUCUUCAGUGGUAGCAGCAGGUACAUUUUAUUCUUGCUGGCUAUGAUUUGCUUGGCUUUCUUGAUGGAACGAUGUCUGCUUCGGCACGAUUUGUCCAAGCCUCUGAUGGCACUCUGGUUUCCAAUCCAACGGCCUCGAUCUUUACUCAACAAGAUAAUCUUCUCACAUCGUGGUUGUUAUCUACGAUUAGUUCUUCGUUUCUUUCGUCUUUCACGGAUGUCUGAUCUGCGUUCGACGUCUGGAUGAUGGCGAGCAGUUUAUUUGCAGCAAACAUUACCGCAAAGCAGUCUCAACUUCGACACAACCUUCACUCACUCAAGAAAGGUAACCUUUCCAUCCGUGCUUAUGUGGAUAAAAUCAAAAGCAUGUGUACCCUUCUUGCAGCAUCUGGCUCUCCUAUAUUGGAGGCCGAGAGGACAUCGGUGUUGCUUGCAGGCUUGUCAUCUGACUUUGAUGCUAUCAUGUCCUCUGCCUCCCUCUCCUCCGGUCCGGUUCCUUUCCAACGUCUUAUGGAUGCGCUUCUUGAGUGUGAGGCUCGUCAAAUGCGGACUAUUUUCGAUGUUCUGGUUGCCGCUAAUUUUGUGGAAGGCUCUUCGUCACCAGCAGUGGACGGUUCUUCUCGCGGUGGUCGAUCUCCUGGUCGUGGGCGUGGGCGUAGCUUUCGCACUCUGAUCCAGUGCCAGAUCUGCAGUCUUUACGGUCACAUUGCUCAGCGUUGUUUCUAUUGUUAUCACCGUGAUGACCAGCACCAGCGUGCUGCUCCGAUGCCAUAUCAAGGAGAUUCUGCUUUGGGAGCGAAUGAAGAAUCAUGGCCUGGUCAAAAUUGGAUGCACGAUGGUCAAAAUUGGAUGGGGCUUUCUAGAGGUACUGUUGUGCGUUCUUAUCUUUAGCCAAAUAUGGGGGCUGUUUCAACACGUGGGCCGCAUACUGUGCGUAUGCCAGCUGGGCCACAUUCCUUUGGUUUUUAUGGUAGUCUGCCUAUUGAUCAUGGACUUCAUAUGGAUUAUGGACAUUCUGGGCGCAUGGUUGGCCGCAAUGUUGAACACACUGAUUUGGGUUAUUCCUAUGGUGCUAGGCCACGUGGCCCAAUUGGUGCUGAUCCGUCGUGUGGGCCUAGUGGAGGGCCUAGUGGAUCUGUUCGGCCUCGUCUUAGUACUGGCCCGAAUUGUUCUAAACCGAAUACAAAUUGUGUACGGUUUUCUGAGGUUCCAUGGCGAACAAAAUCGCGAGCUCGUGUUUUUGAUGUUGAAUCUUCUCAAUAUGACUCGUCUCAAUUUGUUGGAAUACCAACCGGAGUUCCUGAGUUUCGUGCCUCUGAUUUUUCUGAUGCAACAGCAUAUGACUCUAAUUUUGAUAACAAUGACUCCUAUGUUCCGUUGCCGGUAGGGAGCUCCUCCUGGUGUCCAGACUCGGGGGCUACUCAUCAUGUGUGUCAGAAUGCGUCUGAUCUUCAUACCUCUUCUCCGUAUACAUGUGACUCUUCUUUAUUAAUGGGAAAUGGGGUUUCCUUUAGUAUUUCAUCCAUCGGGAGUACUGUUUUUUCUACAAAGGCAAAAUUACUUCAUUUGUCAAAUGUCUUGUGUGUUCCCAGCAUCCGAAAAAAUUUACUAUCUAUGUCUAAAUUUGCUACUGACAACAAUGUUUUUUUUGGAUUUCCCCUCUCCUUUUGUGUGAUUAAGGACAUUCAGGCACAGGAAAUCUUAAUGCGGGGCCAAGUUCGUGAUGGGCUUUAUUAUUUUUUGUGGACUCGGUUGAUUCGUCUCCAUCUGCUUACACCACUGACGUCCAUGAUCGAUCUACGGGCGAUGAUAUUUUUACUUUGUGGCAUAAAAGGCUUGGUCAUCCUUCUUCUACUAUUGUAAAAGCUGUUCUUGACAAUUGUCGGAUUGUUACAAAUAAAAGCUCUCUUGAUAAUGUUUGUGUAGCUUGUCAGUAAGGAAAAUCCCAUAAAUUGCCUUUUUCCUCAUCUCGUACUGAAUAUGAUGAAUUGCUUGAGUUAGCUGUAUCUGAUUUGUGGGGCCCGGCUUCAGUUACCUGUAACGAGAAUUUGUAUUAUGUAUGGUUUGUUGACAUGUAUAGUCGAUUUACCUGGGUUUACUUGCUCAAACGCAAGUCUCAAGCAGUGGACUAUUUUCUCCAGUUUCAGCAGAUGGUUCAUACACAAUUUGGGAAACGUAUUAAGAAAUUUCAGAGUGAUUGGGGCGGCGAGUUUCGUGCCUUUGCUCCAGUUCUAGCUCGUCAUGGGAUUCUUCAUCGCAUUUCAUGUCCUCACACUUCUGAACAGAAUGGUGUUACUGAGCGUAAGCAUUGACAUAUUGUAGAGACCGGUCUCACUCUUUUAGCUCAGGCCAAUCUACCUAUGGCGUACUGGGGUUAUGCUUUCUACAGCGCAGUUCAUCUCAUCAAUAGACUACCCAUUCCAGUGUUGAAAGGUAUGACACCGUAUCAACAUUUGUUUGGUAGUAUACCGGCAUAUGAUCACCUUCGGGUUUUUGGGUGUUGUUGUUUCCCAUACUUACGUUCGUUUUUUAAACACAAGCUUGAAUUUCGAACUCAACCUUCUAUAUUUCUUGGCUAUAGCUCGCAACAUAAGGGAUAUUAUUGUUUAACAUAAAGUGGUAAGAUACUUAUUUCUCGGCAUGUUUGUCUUUGAUGAAAAGCGGUUCUUGUUAACUGAUUCUAGGGUUCUUAGUGAUCAGCCUCCUGUAUGUACUUCUUCGUUUGUUCCUGUUCUUCGUUCUUUUCCCACUACAAGGCCUCGACAGCAUUCUGGUCUUGCUUCCUUGCCCGCUACUACUUGUAAGCCAUCUUCCUCUGAUUCGUCAGCUACAUGUAGUCUAGUAAAUCCCCCUUCAGUUGACACCAUGACUACUUUGGGGACUGGCCUACAACAGACCCUCUCUUCUCCUACUCCUCCUCCACCUGCUUCUUCUCUUGCUAUUGAUCCUCCUGCUACUACUUCUAAUUCUCAUGCUAUGGUCACUCGGUCUAAGGCUGAAAUUUUUAAACCCAAAGCAUUAUCCGUGGAUACGGUUGAUUUUGAGCUAACAUCUGUCGAAGAGGCUUGUGACAGCCCUAAUUUGAAUCUAGUCGGGAAAUGGUUUCGGGACGACAAAAUCGAGUCACAAGAAUAAUUAAAUGUUAUAUUCUAUGCCUAUUAUAAGUGAAAGUGUAUGUGUGAAAAUUUCAUGCUUUGAUUUUGUCUUUUAAAUGUGAAAUUAAUUAAAAAGGACUUAUGUGAAAACAUUGAAAUUGUGAUAGGUUGAAGUGUAGUGGUCAAAUAUUGCAUGGCUUAAAAUAUGGAGAUUUGCAUGUCAAAUUCCCCAUUUUUAAGUAAGUAGCCGACCAUGGUGAUAGUGGAAUAGCCAUAUAUGCCUUACAUAUUAAUAUUAUAAUAGUUAAUGGGUGUGAUUAAUAAAAAAAGAAUAAGAAGGCCAUACAUCUUUGCCUUGUUCUUGCCGAAUGUUGGAGAAAGAAUGAAGAAAUAUACUUUGAGGAUUUCGGCAAUGGAGCAAGCUCAAAAUCGAUGGUAGAACAGAAGGGCUCUUUGAUAUUUGGCCUUGGUGAUUUUAGUUGGAGGUAUGUUUGAAGUGUUUUGAAAGAAAUUACUUGUGUAUUUUAGGAUAGUUUCUUAGUUCCUCCAUAACCCAUGUGCAAAUUUUCAUUUUGGUAGCUAUGGGAGCAAUCGGUCAUGAGAGGAUUUUUCAUUUAGAAAUGAUACUUUGAUGUUUUGUUUUGAAUUAAUAAAAGUACUCUAUUCGGUUGAAAUUAUAAAAGUAUGUUAAGUUUAAAAAAAAAGUUUGAAUUUGUAAAUGUAAAAAUUAAGUGUGCUUGUGUUAUAGCCAAAUAUACUUUGAAAAUUAUAAUGGAGAAAUUCUUAUGAUAAAAGCUUGUAAAUUAAAGUUAUAAUUUGUGCUUUGUAGUUUUAAAUGGUUAAAGACUAUUCGGUUAUAGCCUUUAUUUUUCAUGAAGAAAUCAAGUUAAAUGUAUAUGUGCCUAUGUUAUGGCCGAAUGUACUAAGGGUGGAUUAAUAUGGAGUUUAAUGUUAUAUUGAUUCGGGUUUGAUAGUUUUUGAAAAAUAAAAAUAAAAUUUUGUGUAUCUAAUUUGAAAUGGCUGAAUGGAUUAUAUAAAGUGAUUUGAGAUUUUGGAUGCCUUGUUUUGUGGCAUUCGGCUAUGAUAAAAAAAAUGAUUGUAUCGGGGAUUUUAGAUAUGUGAAUUGGUAGGUGAUAUGUAUUUAAAUUGUUUAUUAAGGUGUUGGCUAUAUGGUUAAAAAUGUGCACAUGAAAGUAUAAUAGGUCAAAUGAAUUUUAUGUUUCUAUUUGUAUGAUUUAGUUGAUGGUGUGAUAUAUUAGCAUACUUGGAUAUUGAUGUUUGUGUGUCUCGUGUUAAUAUGAUAAUCGGCCAUAAGCAUGAUUAAAUGGUUCGGUCAUUGUUUGGCAUAGGUGAAACCUAUAUUAAUUUGUUACAUUCGGUCAUAAAAUGGAAUUAAAUAUGAAGGCUAAGUUUGAGUAGUUAAGGCCAAAUGGGUUAUAUAUUAAACAUAAACGGAUUUUAUGCAUAUGAGUAUGUAUGUAUUUGUGUGUACGGCAUUGAUGAUAAAUGGCAAUUGGUAAUGUGGUAAAUGUUUAAUAAGUUGACAUUCGGAGUUAGCUAUAUGUCUUGAAGCUAUAGUGUAAUUUGAAAAAUAAAUAAAAGUAUAUGAUAUUAAAGCAUGCAUUAUAUAUAUGCACGUGUAUACGCGGUUGUGCAUAAAUAUGAGUAAAUGAUUAAAUUGUGAUAGUCAUAUAUAGGUAUAUAUAUAUGCCUUAUCUAUGUACCUUGUGCUUAUAGAGACAUUCGGGAAUACGGUUAAAUUCAUGUAUAAGGAAGCAUGAUAAGUUAUGUGAAUCUUUGCUUGUGUCUGCGAAUAAGAUAUAGAUUAAAUAAGCAUGAAAUCGAGUCAUGGCAUAUUUUAUAAAAUAUGAUACAUAUUGAAGUUAUAUAUGAUUGUCAAAUGUGACUAUUAAGAAAUAAAGUUGAGUAAGUAAUUAAACAAAUCUAUUUGUUUUAAUUAAGCUCAAGAGCAAAGAGGAUCAAAAUCAGAUAAGGGAAAAGAGAAAGUAAUAGAGUAACCUUUCCGCAACCGUUCAAAUAUAUCCGAGGUAUGACUGAGGUAUGACAUUGUUUCUAUUAUAACAAUCAGGACAAUGUGAAUUUAAACGUAAUUUUGAAUCAAAUAGUAUUGAAAAGGAUUUUCAUCACUAUUUCCAUUAAUAUUUUACAAUCAUUUUACAAACUAAGCAAGUGCAAGACAACCUAAGGCUCGAACAAAGCCUCAAAUUCUAUGAAAUUAUUUAGGAUUUAUUACAAACCAAGCAAAUGUAUAGGCACACACUAAGGCUCAAACAAAGCCUCAAUUUAUUAUUAACUUUUUUUGCAGAGCUGGUAAUGUUAAUCGUAUACCCCGUGAUAAUAUCAAUAUAUUACCAAGAAGGCACUGAAGCAGCAGCCAUGAAAGCGACAAACUAUUCGUAGUUGUAAACAGUACAACGCAAGUUCAGGUCAGGCUUCCACCAAUGACGAAGUUUAUGCGGUGAAAUGUUUCCUUCGGGAGGACUGAGAUUCUCUAUAAGAAUUGCCGAAGGAAGCAAAUGAAGCGGCUCCGAAAUUUCAACAUCCCUUAUUUUCAGUUUUUUCAUCACUAUAUUUCUUAGUGAAUGAUGGCUUAUUAGUCCCCAAACUCCAACGUCGUCGCUCUUUCUUCUCUUCUUGAAAUGUUCAAUAUAUCCAUUACAUAUGAAGUCUCUAUUAUUCACAAACAAACAUGGCUUCCACCCUGAUAUUGCAGCAAAUGAAUCUUCAUCACAACUAUAUCCCGAAGCAAGGGCAGCGCAAACUUUGAUAACAUGGGUUGUCAGUUGAAGUCCACGUAUCACAUUCUUAUUGUCUUUGAAGAUUGUCUCAAUUGGGAAAGAUGGAUAUGGCGGAUUAAACAAAAAACUUUCCAAGAAUUUGCCUCUUUUCGCCAUAUUCUUUCCAGCAAGCAUUGCGAUGGCUGCCCCUAGGGAAUAACCAGUUAACCACACCUUUGAAGAGCCAGCUUUUGACACCCUAUCUUCAACAUAUUUCAUGGCGGUCUGAACACGACUACUUUGAUGAAGUGUAUUUAGGAUUAUUGCGAAAUUCGACUCAAGAUCCCUUGUCAAAGUUUCUCGUUUUAAUAGGGUGCCCCGAAAGGCGAUUACGUAUCCAGGGCCUGGAUUAGUUGCCGAAGGUAAUACAUAUUCAAAAAUGGCACCGAAGAUGCUCUCAUCAUCCUCAUCGACGAGCUCAUUCACUAACUUGAAGUUGAAAAAGUCCCACCAUUGUGGCGCAAGUGUCUCAGAGCCUCCACGUAAUUCCACUUGUCGGUCACGUUCCCGCUCGGAAACACCCUUGAUCAAGCUGGUUAAUACGGACCUUCGAUGGUUGUAGUCGUUCCAAUCAACGGUGGUAAGGUGUUUGGGUCCCACAAGGCUAAAAGGUUCUCUUCCACGAGACAUAUAUUAUAGCACUGGAAACUGUUGACGUGGGUACGAGGGCUUUGGGUGAUGUGGGUUUUAGGCUAUAUGGUGGUUAAAGCAGGUUGUGCAAUGGUGAAGGUGGUGCAGUGGUGUGACGGCGCUGGUGAACGGGAAAAUGGGGAUGAUUAGUGGCGGAGCUUGGAUAUUAUUCUUGGCAGCCAAAUUAAAAUUUCAAAUUUCAAAUAUUUAAAAUUUAUGAAAAGUCUUCAAAUUUGGAGAAAAAAUGAUAAAGUCUUCUUCUUCUUUUAUUUAUUUAUUUAUUUUUUUGUUGAAGAAGAAAGAUGAUAAAAGUCUUUUUAUCUUAUUUAUAUAUAUAAUAUUAUAAAUAUUUGAGAGGCUUAUUUAUAUUAUUACGAGAGCUAUAAUAUAUUUACAAAAGGGAAAAUUGCAAAAAUCUUAAACUUUGGAGGGGGCCUAUUUAUAUUUUUUGGAGGGUUCUAGUGUAAAUUUACAAAGGACUAAAUUGAAAAAAAUUAAACUCAUGGCCCCCUUAGCCUCAACGUGGCUCCGCCACUGCCGGGAUGAUGAUGGAUUAGCUGAAAUUCUUUUAGGAAUUUGCCAUUGUUUGCCUUGGUUUCUUCAAAAUGCUAACCUCGUACUUAUACUGUUAUAUAUGUCAUUACGUGUUAGUGUCAUGGGCCAAAGUGCAAAGCCCGUGACCAUGGCACAAGAUGCACCCCAUGGAGGUUUAUCGAUUAGAUGGGGAUCGUUCAGCCCACGAGAACUAAUUCGAUUCAAAGAAUUGUUGAAGAAGUCUGUCAGAUUGAAGUCUGGGUGGCCCAAUAAUGAAGAUAUGGCAACAUAGGUUAUUUUUAGUAAAUAUGGGAAUCAUAUCUUGUAGAUUUAAUUUGAUAUGGUGUAUCUUGUAAAUUGGUCCCUACAUGUUAGAUCAAAGAGUAAAUUGGUUAUUCUGUUAAAAAUUUCAUCCACUUUUACAGUUAAAAACUAGUCCCUAUACAUCAACAUGAGGUACAUAUAGCACGCCAUGUGUCACUCUCUGGUUAUUCUGUCAAUCACGUCAGUUUUUGAUAACAUAAAUGGAUGAAUUUUUAACAUAAAGGACUAAUUUUCUCUUUGAUUAAAUAAAUAGUGACCAAUUUACUCAUUUUUUGAGUAGAGGGCAAAAUGUAAUUUAACACCUCUAUGGACUUUUACUAGGGAUGUCAAUGGAGCGAAGCGAGGGCAAAUAUUGCUAAAUCCAUCACUACUCUACAGUUGAGACAUUUUGUUUUUAUCACAUGUCCCAUUGUACUAUGGAUGUAUAAUUCAUCCCUACCCCAUCUCACUCCGCUUCAAUUUAAAUUUUGCUACGUAUCUUCAAUAUUUUCAAUCUUUUUGUAGUCAAGUAAAUAUUUAAACAUAAUUUAAAAAGUUAAACACAAAUGGUAUGUAUUUUUUCUAUAUUAUUUUAUUAUAUUUUUACUCUUUUAGUAGUUUACAUAUACAACGAUAAAAUGAUAAAAUGAUAAAAGAAAAAAUUUGCUCUGAUUAUAUAUGCUCUUGUUAGGACAAUGUCUAGAACUAAAAUGUAAUUAAAUUUAAAAUUAGAAAUAUAAACAAAAACUUCCGUAAAAAUAAUUAUUUUUCAAAAUAAGCAAAAAGAAAUAUUAUUUUCUAAAUAUAAAUCAUAAAAGUAAUUAAAUAUUAUUAAUUAAAUUAAUUCAUUACUAAAUCAUAUGUAAGAAUAAUAUUUUGGAAGGAUUAAAGUUUUUGGUUUUUAUUUUUUUUUUCAUUGAGUUUUUGCGUUUCCAACCUUCCCUUCAUUUUCAUCCUUUUUAAUGUUAUUUAAUUUUCGUUACCCAGUUCCACUUCCAUUGGUUGGCUUUCACUUUCCAGCUUUCUUUUUCUUUUUCCUCGCUUUCUUUACAACGUCAAUAACAAUUAAACUGGAUUAUAAUUUCUUUUUCUUGAAUUUUUUUCCUUUAAAUUACUUGUUGAUGGGAAAACGAGUUUAUAGUUUCAACAAAAUCAAACUGGAUUUUCAACCACACGUUGUACGACUAUUAUUAUUCCGUUCAAAGUUACAUUAAAUAUGAUUUAAUGUGUAAUUAUGUAUAUAAAUUUUGAUUUUGUAUAAUUUUUUUAUUUGAUUCAAUUAUUAUAAACUAGUAACACAAUUAUUGAUAUAACAUCAUUUUAUGUUUAUAUAUUGCGUAUUAAAAUAAUUAUAUUUGUCCAAUAUAAAAAUAAAUUGAUGUAUUUAUUUCUUUAAAUGUGUAUGAUUAAAUCAAAAUUAAAGUUUUAAGUAUAUAUUUGAACAACAAUUAGAGUUUCACGUGUAUAUUUUUUCUUCAAGCUGUUUGUUUUUUUAUCUUUUGUUUUGCCCCUCCCACCAGCCCUUUCUUUCUUUCUUCUUCUCAUUCACUCCACAUGUCUUCUCUCUUUUCGGUUUGCAGAUAUAUUUUGCAAGUAUCUUUGUUGUUUUCACAAGUUGUGGUGGACAGAUGACGAUGUCUGUCAUUCGCUAAAACACCACCGGCAAUCAGUAGUUUUUUAGAAUAAUAAAUUAUUUCAUGAGUCGAUUUGGACCUGUGCUGUCUUAAGUUUUAUAUGUUUUUUUGUUUGUUUUUCCAUUGUUUAAUAAAUUUUCAGUUUUAGAAGUUUUUAUAUGCUAUUGUAGAACACUUUUUAGUCUUACUUAUGCAUGUAACAAUAGUUUUACAAGUGAUUUUAGGGAUGGUUUUGUUGCCAUCCUCUGUAGUUUGGUGAAUGCUCGAUUCUUUUGUCGAUUUUUGCUCGCCUCUUUGGAUCAUUCGAGGCUGAUUUCUUUAUCAUAUUAAGUAUUUGCAAGCACUCUAGAUAUGUCGUACUUAAGUUAUUACAAAGCCAAUUGUCAACGUGUCAUGAUGUUUUAUUAAUAUUGAAGCUAAAACUUUUGUUGUGUUGGUGGGAGCUUGUCUUUCACCAUCUACGACGAAUGUUUUUUUCCCCUUGAAUUGUAUGGUUUCAUUCAUUUAAUGAAUUAAUGAAUUUAUCUUUCAAAAAUAAAAUUUUACGUGUAUAAUUAUACUAAAUUAAAGUUUAUUUAUAUAAUUACACAUUAAAUUAAAGUUUAUAUAUAAUUUUAAGAUUCAUCCUUAUCCUUUUUAAUAUUACUAUUACAAAUCGUUACAAGUACACAUCUCUAUUAUUUUCCAUUUUGCUACUUAUCAUAUUGUUAGGUGUUAUUUGGUAUAUAUAUAUCUUUCUAUUAUUACUAUUAUUACUAUUAUUAUUAGUGUGUGUCUAUUAUAUGUGUAUAUUGUAUGUGUUCAUUUUAAAUAUGUUAUGCAUAUAUAUAUUAUGUACCUAUAUUUAGUAUUAUUAUGUAAAUAUUUUUCAUUCCUAUAUUACGUACAUACUCCUAACAUCAUCAUUAUGUAUGUGCAUUCAUUGUUUCUAUUUCGUGUUUAAUUCUAGUAUUAUGUCUAAUAUCGCAUAUAUCUUUGUUAUUUUUAAUAUUAUUGUCACACUUGUAUUUGCGUCAAUAUAUUUCUAGCUCUGUCAUUUAUUUAUUUGCUUUGCAUGAGUUCGAAAAUCUUAUUCUUGUUUUCUAAUUAAUUUCAAUACAUGAGCCAACGUAUCGGUUUAAUACUAAGUCGUCGAUUUCAUCGCUAUGUUGGGUGAACAUCAAUCGACUCGUGUUAAAACGGUAUGCCCUUCUAAAAAACCAAAAAAACUAAAAUUUCUCGUCUUUUCAACUGGAUCACGACUAAAUCUUGCAUUGAACUCGAAUUUUUGAAAAUCAAGACAACACGUGUUUAUAAGAUACUAAUUUUGGGCGUCGCGAGGGUGCUAAUACCUUCCUCGCGCAUAACCGACUCCCGAACCCUGAUUUUUAUCUGGCUUUUGACGUAGACCUAAAUUUAGCCUUCAUCUUUGUUCGAGAAUAAAUUUUCUUUUCAAAAAGAUGUUUUAUUAGGUGUCCGAUCACACCUAAAAAAAAGAUCGGUGGCGACUCCCACUUUACUUCAAAAUUAAUCUUUAGUUUUCAACUUUUCAUUAAAUCGCCACAAUUAGCGACCGAAAGAAAAAAAAUUUUACGUCGCUAUAAUAAUUACACAUUAAAUUAAAAUUUAUAUAUAAUUUUAACAUUCAUCACUUAUUAAUAUUCCUAUUACAUGCCGUUGCAAGUACACAUAUCUAGAAGUAAUUAUAUGGAGAGUCAGAGAAGCCCUUAGACAAAGUUUCCAAAAGCACGCCACCAACCGUCAUGUAUAUUUUCUUAUUAGCCUAAUCAUGACCUAAAAAGUCGUCUAAAAAUUGUAAAUUUCCUUCUAAAAGAAUUUUUUUAAUAGGCUUCUGAAAAUUUUUCUAGUAAUGGAAUUUGCAUGCAACUUUCGAGUCGUUGACAAUUCUCUUCUUUAGCAUUUUUUGACCUAAAACAUAAAGUCAACUUUCUCAAGUAAUGAAUGUAAUACUAGCAUCAUUGACAUUAAGCUCCAGCGCCCCUUAAGCUCUACUUACUCUCUCCUAACAAAAAAUUCAAGUAACUUUUGUUGAAGGCCCAUUUCGCCCGGCCCUUAGAUUUAUUUACAACAAAAGAAUAAACCAAAUAUAAAAACCAAAUUAUAAAUUAUAAACUAGAAAUAAAAAUUAAAUUUGUUCACAGUCCAUAAAUACUAAAACCCAAACAUUAAUUGAAGCCCAAAUUUUAAAACCCACUCCACAAAUAAGACCAAGGCCUAAUCCUAGCCCCAAAUACAGAUUAUAGCCCCAAACCUAAAAACCCAAAUUUACACCAACUCAAGUACAAAUCUCUAACCCAACUGAAUAAACCCAAAACCCGACCUAGUUACUAAAAAACCUAAAAACAUUUCAGCAAACCCUAGCUAGACAGAGCCGCAAGACCUUUACGCGCGCCACCACGUGCAUCUCCUUACGGCCAUCUCCACGUCAGUCGAACCUGUGAGAAGAAAAGAGUAACAGAAUACAGCAAAGCAAUAGCAGAAAAAAUAAAGAAAAUUUGUAUUUAUAUUUUACCUUUAUUCGGCUAUAAAAGGAGGCCCAUUGUAUACUGUAAAAAGACUUACGAAUGCAAUAGACAUCAGUCAAAAUAGAAAAAUGAAAAAUAGUUUAUUCAAAGGUAUAUUUUCAUGAUUUUUCAGUCUAUACACCGAAUAUAAUAUACAUACAUAUAUAGUUAUAUAAAAAUACCUUUUAUUUUUACCUUUUUGGGCGAUCGGAAGAAAGGAAACUGAAUGGUUUUCUCGAUUUCUUUCAACGGUCGUGGGUUUUUUCGAGUGUUUGAGACUCAUAUCUGAGGUGGGGAAAGCAAAAGGAUUAAAAUGGGCCAUUUUUUGCACCUCCGGCUGCCGUGCACGGCUGUCACUGGUGACGGAUGGAUGGUGGUCCGAUCGUCGGAAAUGGAUUGCCCAGAGAGAAAUCCUCCCCCUCCCUUUUCUUUUUUUCAGAAAGUAUGAAGAAAUAAAGAUUUUAAAAAAAAUUGGGGUUUUAUAGCAUGUUCAAUACGGCGCCGUUUUGGAUCCGAACUUCAAUGGCCAAAAUGAUGCCGUGUUAUGCCAAACCCGAUGACCUGACCCAAACACCACCAAGAUCCGCGUGUUUUGGUCUCUAAGGGAUAUUUGCGCGAUGAGUCCCUCCUCUCUUGGGCUAAGCUUUAAUUAAGCCCCGAUUUGUUUUAUUUGUUUUUAUUCCCUAGAAUUUGUGCGCCAUUUCAACUUAGUCCGCGUUUAAACUCCGCGUUUUUGGAUUUGGGAUAUUUGCAUUUUUAAUCCUCGUUUGUUUGCGCACAUUGUAUUUUAGUCCCUAAUUCUGUUUUAAUAAUGUAUUUAUUUAUGGAUUACCCUUUUUAUUUUGUUUUUAUUUCAAUUGAAUUUUUUAGUUUAUGUUCGUACUCUUUGUAAUUAUUUUAUUUUUAUUUAAAAUUUUAUUAUUCAAUUUUUAAAAUUAUCUUAAAAUGGUUUUUUAAACUAUCUUAUUGACUCUAUAUUGUUUUAAUUUGUUAUUUCUUUCAUUUGUAUAUAUAUUUUAAAAUUGUUCUAUUAUAUAAAUUUUUUAUUUUAAAAUUCUCUUUUAUACAUAUCUCUUUGUUUUAAAAAUUUAUUUGAUAUUUAUUUUAAAUAAUUUUAUACAUUAUUAUGUUAUACAUUAUUUUUUUUGUAUAUAUUGUUGAUUUCGUAUUAUUUUAUGUAUAUAUUUUCUUUUAAAUCUAUUUAUGUUUAUAUAUUUUCUUUUAAGUCUGUAUAUAUAAUUUAUCUCUUUUAAGUAUAUUUGUUUAUUUAAAACAUUUAUAUAUAUAUGUAUAUUUAUAAUAAGUUUUUCAUUUCAUGUAUAUUAUUUAUUUAGAUAGAUUUAUAUUAUAUUUUGAUUUUCUUCUUACCUAAUAUUUAUCGCAAAAUUCAUUCAUGCAUUAUUUAUUUUUAUUUCUAUUUCUUAUUUUCUAUCUAUUUUAAACUUUCACAUAUUACUUGCUUUUAAAAUUUUUACAUGUAACACCCUCUGCCCGUAUCCAUUGCCGGAAUAGGAUAUGAGGCAUUACUGGAGUUUACUGAACAUUUUCAGAUAAUUCUGAGUCAUUUAUUAUUCAUAUUUUGAAAAUAAUCAUGACGUCUCUCUAUUGGGCCCUCGAAGCCCCAAACAUAUAUUAGAAACCAACCGGAAUUAAAUCGGGAUCAUAGAAAAAAAAUUUCGCAAAAUCUUAAAUUUUAUUUUCAUCUAAGUACUUACCAUUUCAAUGCUCCUUAUAAUUAAACAUGUUACCAUUCAAUCAAUAACUUGGCACUUGUCUAAGCGUCAAACAACAUCAUUGUUAGUAUACUUGCACAUGUUUCAUAUAAAUUCAACAUUAAUAUACUUAUUUUCUCGACAUGUCACACUUGAGUUUAAUAAUUGUCUUUACUUACAUAAUUUCCUUGUAUCAACAUAUUAAAGAUAAUCAUAUAUGUACAUGUCAUGAAACAUAUCAUUCUCUUACCGUUUCUUCAUAAGUAUAUAUCAAUCAUUUCAUUAUAUCAAUAUUUCAUGCUCCAUCAUUUCCAUAUAUUUUAUGUAUAUUUAUUCCGGUAAAGUUUAUAUCAAACUUAACAUAAAUUAUAUUCCAUGUACUUAUUCUUAUUUCGUUUAUCUAUCUUCAUAAUUAUUUUAUACAGCUAUUUUGUACAUAUAUUUCCAUAUGACCAGUUCUUGUAAACAUUUCGCACAACCAUUUCAUAUAACUAUUCGUCAUCUGAUACGUAUUUACCUGAAUAUCAAUGGUUCAAUAGAUGUCAUAACGUCUCCCAUCCACGGUCUUAUUUAUCUUUGACAUGAUGCCAUAGUGUAUUUCAACUAUGGUCUUACUCAUUUUCUGCCAUGUUGCCAUGGUAUCUUUCAACCAUGGUCUUAUUCUUUUCAUGUCACGUUGCCAUGGUAUCUUUCAACCAUGGUCUUAUUCAUUUUAUGUCACGCUGCCAUGGUAUCUUUCAACCCUGGUCUUAUUCAUUUCCUGUCAUGUUGCCAUGGUAUCUUUCAACCGUGGUCUUACACAUUGCAUAUCAUGCUGCCAUGGUAUCUUUCAACCAUGGUCUUACACAUUUCAUUUCAGAAAGCACACUCCCGCGAACCUCAUCCUUACAAUGGGAUUACUAGUCCAGGCUAAAUCCCCUGUAAUAUAAACUCAUAGAGUAUUGUCGGGAUUACCAGUCCAAACUAAAUCCCCUGCAACGACAAUUACUCUAAUGAGCUUGGAUCUAAAUUACCAGUCCAGGCUAAAUUCAGACCCUAAUUUGGAUUACCCGUCCAGGCUAAAUCCAUUUUACACGUAUUCUUUGAGAGGGCUAUAUUAGGAUAGGAUCACUCGUUCGGGCUAGAUCUUUUUUACCGUCAAUUCCUUUUCAUUCAACCAGGAUUUCUUCCCCUUUUUAUCAAAUAUAUCAAUGUUUCAUCAAUUUUCAUACAAGGGAUAUUUAAAUCAUAUUCACAUCAAUAACAUACAUUUCAAGUAUUUAAGAAUAUAAUUAAAGUUAUACGAACUUACCUGGCGAAAUUGCAGAAAUAUCAAGAUUCAGGAGCAUUUUGGCAAUUUACCAUUUUCCCAAUUUCCACCCGAUCUUAAAUUGAAAAUUUCAUUCAAUUUAUUAAUUUAGAUAAUAAAACAAUUCAUUCCCUUCAAUUUGGUCAUUUUUGACAUUUUUACAAAAUUGCCCCUGAAGUUUUACUUUUAUUCAAUUUAGUCCUUAAACCUAAAACAUGCAAAUUAGUCAUGCUAGCUGAAUAUUCAUUUAUAUUUUCCUCGUCCUCCUCUCCAUUCCACAUCCUUAAUGUAUAUAACACACUUGUAAGUAACAUUAUCUAUAUUUUUCAUUAUUUACUUUUAUGAAUAUUCAAGCUGUCCAUCUGUAUCAUAGUCACUAAAUUAUUCAUAUCUGGAGCUAUAGAACUCCAAAUUAAGAUCCACUAAUUUUUUCUGAAACUAGACUCAUAUAUCUUCUUACCAUAAAAUUUUCAAAAUUUUUGGUUUAGCCAAUAAGUACAGUUUAUUCUUUAAAGUUACCCCUAUUCUAUUGUCUGACAGUUCUGACCCUUCUUCACUAAAAAUUAAUUAUCUCCUCCUACAGAAUUUGAAUGAUGUUUUUGUUUGUUUCUCUUGAAAAUAUACUUAUUCAAGAUUCUAAACAUAUAAAUUUAAGCCCAUAAUUAUUUUUCUCUAAUUUUUUAUGAUUUUUCAAAGUCAGAACAGGGGAACCCAAAAUCAUUCUGACCUUGUCUCACAAAAUUUAUUAUAUCUCAUGAUUUACAAUUCCAUUGCUUACAUAAUUUAUUCCAUAAGAAACUAAACUCAAUAAGAUUUAAUUUAAUAUUUUAGUCAUCCUAUAAUUCGAUUUAUACAAUUUUUUGUGAUUUUUCAAAAUUAGACUACUGCUACUGUCCAAAACUAUUUUAGUGCAAGAUAUUGUUUACCAUGUUUAUAACACCCUUAUUUUCUUUCUCUACACUAUUUCUCUUCACUUUCUCUUGUUUUCUCUUCAUUAACAUAUCAAGAACAUAGGACCAUAUGUAAGGAAACUCUACAUUAACAUUAAUCCCAUGCUUUUUCAAUAAUAUCAAACUUAAAAAUAUAUUGAAAUCAUGAUGUUCUUACCUUGUUCUAUUGAUUUCAAUCUUCAUCUUUAUUUUCUUUCUCCUUCAGCUUUCAUUUCUUGAAUCCAACUUGAUAUUCUAUGUAACACCCCAAACCCGGCCCAGACGUUAUGACCAGAUCCGACAUGCCACAUCGAAGCGUUCAAAACAUUUUAUAUUGUUGAUCCAGAAAAACUUACUUAGUGUUUUAAAAGAUAAUUUCAUUAUAGGUUAAAAUGAAUGGAAGCUGUGCACCAGGUAGGAAACCGGAAAAGAGGUGGUGAGUCCAUCGGACUGCUUAAGUACCAAGCUCCCUUCGGAUCCAAUCCUAGACAUGCAUACCGCCAUUGCCACACCUUAACGUCAUGGAUAUUUCUAGGAAACCGAUUUGAUUAAGUCAUUUUUAGGAAAAGUGAUUAAUCUUGUAAAAUACUUUCAUUGCGGAAGCUUUGCUUAUUGUCGUGUUAUUUUGAAAUCAAUUGUUGUUUUUGAAAAUGCGCUCUAAUGCUAUCCAAUUUCAACAGUUAAAUAUAAGUAAUACCUAUCUUAGUAAUACAUAUUAAAACCAUCAAAAAUAAUUAAGCGGCCUUAUUACAUUUAAAAACCCAAACCUCAACGUAAAUAAUAGGAUGUCCAGUUCACCAGAAGAAAACCAAACUUUCAGAACGGGUGGCCACUCCGAAUUCCCUCACAACUCCAAGCCCACUAUGAUUGGGGAUUUCCUGCGUAGAUGAAAAUAAAAGGGGUGAGUUUGGGGAAACUCAGUGUGUAAGGAAAACCCAUUCAAAGCCCAAGUCAGCUCAAGCCUAUUGGGCCUAAGCCCAUUUAGGUAACAGUGGUACUGGACCAGAGCCCUUUUCAGAUUAUAAUAAACUGGGCCUUAGCCCCUUAUUCAGAUAACAGUAUGGCCCAUAAGCCCAUUUCAAAAUACAUGCAACAUCAAUAAACAUAUGCAAGCCCAUUUUGGGAGACUACUCAACCCACCAACCACUACACUCCACCCGUACCAGCCAUACACUCCAUGUGGGGAAUAGCUCAAUCCACCCAGCCCAACACUCCACAGUUGCAGCCUUGCUGCUCAGUUAACAGUAAUUGAGGCAAAGCCUCCAGUACGUGGAUAAGCCACUUUCAGUACUUCCUCCGUCAAUAUCCCAAUCCCAUGCAUCAGAUAAUAACAACAUGGCAUGCAGUAAAUAACAACAGUGAAACAUGCAUUUAGGUCAAUUUAACCCUAGGGGUAUUUCGGUAAUUUAUCUACUAGGGGUAAAACUGUAAAUUUUCCACUUUUAAAGGUAUUUCAGUAAUUUAUCUAUUUUAGGGUUUUUCAUGCAUAUUCUUACUUUUCACGUACUAACAGAAUCACGUACCGAGGGUUCUUACCGAAUUCGGCCCGUUGGCCCAUCAUUCCAAUUUUGGCCCAUUAAGCCCAAAAAUAUCGAGGGCACAGAAAUCAUGCACUUUGCAGUCCAAAUUUUGCAGCUUACCAAAAACAUUAAUCGAUUUACCUCACGAGCAUUCGCACACUCGCAAAUCUAAAAAAAAUACCGGUUUUCGGCAUUUCGGCUUUUCGACUUUUACCGAUCCAGACUAAGAAAAAGGGUGUUAGUUACACACCUGUUUGCGACGAUAUGCUGACGAGAUCCACAGACGAACUGCCUACAAUUGGAUUACUAACACAUUAAUCUAACUAUUCAAAUACGAACUACGUAUUAAUCCCUUACAAUAUUCGGCCAACCACACCUACAGAUCAUAGUAAGCUUAUAAGAAAUCAAUAAGCAACUCAUUAACAAAUUUUUGUCAAUGUUUACCACAUAAUCAUAAUCUCACUGCAAGCUGUCUUCCUGAACAACAGUCACUAAAUCAUUUAUAACUGGAGCUACGAAACUCCAAAUCAAGUGCCGUUAAUUUUACCUGAAAAUAGACUCAUAUAUCUUCUAUCCAUAAAAUUUUCAGAAUUUUUGGUUUAGCCAAUCAAUACCAGAUUUUUCUUAAAGUUUCCCAUGUUUCACUGUUUGACUAAUCUGACCACUCUUCAUUACGAAUCAAAUUUCUCAUUGUACAGAAUUCAAAAUAUGUUCUCGUUUAUUUCAUUUGAAACUAGACUCAACAAGAUUUAAUUACAUAAUUUAUUCAGCUUCUAAUUCAUCUCCCACAAUUUAUGGUGAUUUUACAAAGUCAAAUUACUGCUGCUGUCCCAAGCAGAUUUAUUACCAAAUCACUCUUUCACCACUAACUUGCAUGCUUGUUAUUUAAACAUGUAUAUCACCAAUCAAUCAUCACAUAUCUAUGAUUUUACUUAAGUAUAAUCUCCAUUUCAUCAUUUUAAAGCACAACAUGUUAGCCGAUUUUUCCCCUUAGCAUCUAAGGCACAUGCAUGCUCAUUUGUUUGGCUCAACUUCACCUAUCUUCCAUUUUUCAUCAAAAGAACACGAAACAACAACCAUUUCCUUCAUUUUAAUUCAUGACUAAAUGCUCACAACACAACUAAAAACCAAAAUAUGUUUCAAGAGUUAAGGUAGAAUCAAGAAGAACUCAUGAACAUCAAGAUAGAAGCAAACUACCAUGAACUUACCUUCAAUUUUCUUCCCCAAGUGACCGAACAUUCAAGAGCUUUCUCCUCUCCUUUCUCUUCUCUAACUUUCGGCUAUGAUGAACAAAGAUGGACAAAACUUUGUUCUUUUCACCCCUUUUUCUUUUAAUAAAAUUUCAUAUUUCAUCCAUUUAAUUCUUUAAUACAAAAGACAUGAAAUGCCCAUCAUGGAACAUUUACCUAAACCAUUAUCAUGGAACAUUUACCUAACCCAUUAUCAUGGAAUAUUUACCUAAUCCAUUAUCAUGGAACAUUUACCUAACCCAUUAUCAAUUUGUACCAUGAAUUAUGGAUAUUAAGUGCUCAUAUUGUCUACAACAACAUGAUGGCUGGCCACUUCAUGUAAAAUGGGAGGUUUGACAUGCAAAUCCUCCUAUUUUGCGCUACUAUUUAUUUGGCCACUACAAAUUAGCCUAUAGCAUUUUCAAACAUUUUCACAUAGGUCCUAUUUCAUAAUUUCACUCACAAAUGACAAAAUCAAAGCAUGAAAUUUUGCCAACAUUCACAGAAUUCCCGAAAAUUAGGGCGUUACAACUCUACCCCCCUUAAAGAAAUUUCGGCCUCAAAAUUUACCUGAUCCAAAUAGUUGAGGGUAUUGUUGACGCAUAGUCUCUUCUGAUUCCCAAGUAGCUUCUUCCCUUCCAUGAUUACACCAAAGCACUUUCACUAACGGGACAGAUUUCCUUCGGAGAACCUUAACAUCUCGAGCCAAUAUUUGCACAGGCUCCUCCUCAAAGGUCAAAUCAGGCUGAACUUCAAUUUCCGCAACUGGCAGGACAUGAGCAGGGUCAGAACGAUAACGCCUUAACAUGGAGACGUGAAAAACAUCAUGAAUCCUGCCUAACUCUGGAGGCAAUUCCAACUGAUAAGCCACUGGGCCUACUCGCUUCAAAACCCGAUAAGGCCCAAUAAACCGCGGGCUCAACUUGCCCUUCUUACCAAACCUUAAUAUCUUCUUCCAAGGAGAAACCUUUAAGAAGACCAUAUCACCUACUGAGUACCCAAUCUCCUUACGCUUCAAAUCUGCAUACGACUUUUGCCUAUCAGAUGCUUCUUUUAACCGAUCCCUAAUUAUUCUGACCUUAUCCUCAGUAUCAGCUACCAACUCUGGUCCAAGAACUUGUCGCUCUCCUAGUUCGGUCCAACAACUAGGUGUACGACACCUUCGUCCAUACAGUGCUUCAUACGGUGCCAUUCGAAUACUCGCCUGGUAACGUUAUUGUACGCAAAUUCUGCCAAUGGCAAGUAAUCCUCCCAACUACCUCGAAAGUCAAUCACGCAUCCCCUCAACAUGUCCUCUAGAAUUUGAAUAACCCUUUCCGAUUGACCAUCAGUCUGGGGAUGGAAAGCCGUACUAAAAUUCAAUUGCAUCCCCAACGCUUCAUGCAACCUUUACCAAAACCGAGAUGUAAAUCUGGGAUCCCGAUUAGAAAUAAUUGAAACUGGAACUCCAUGAAGUUGCACAAUCUCCGCCACAUACAACUCGGCUAACUUUUGAAGUGAAAAGUCAGUACGAACAGGUAUGAAAUGGGUUGAUUUGGUCAACCUAUCCACAAUCACCCACACUGAGUCUUUCUUUGAUGGUGUUAAGGGCAGCCUACUCACAAAGUCCAUGGUUACCCUCUCCCACUUCCAAAGUGGUAUCUUCACUGACUGUAACAGUCCAGAGGGUAAUUGAUGCUCAGCUUUCACUUGCUGGCAUGUCAGACAUUUCCCUACAAAACUCCGUUACUUCUCGUUUAAGUCUAGGCCACCAGUACAAUUCUCGUAAGUCAUGAUACAACUUGUUCCCUCUAGGGUGCAUGACACAUAGUCCCCCAUGAGCUUCCUUCAAUAGUCUGCCUUAAAUCAGAGUCCUUCGGAACACAAAUUCUUCCUCGGAAACACAGAACUCCUUUGCCGUUUAACCCAAACUCAAAAGUUUCCCCUUCCUUAACUUAUUGAAAACGAGCAACCAAAGACUCAUAUUCCAAUUGCUUUUCCUUAAUCUGGUCCACCCAGGUUGGCCUUACUUGCAAUUUAGCCAACAAACUGCCAUCAUCAUACAGACUCAAACGAGCAAACAUUACUUUUAGAUCAGAUACGGUUCUACGACUUAAAGCAUCGGCUACCACAUUAGCCUUGCCUGGAUGAUACUCGAUCGAACAGUCAUAAUCCUUAAGCAACUCAAUCCAUCUCCUUUGCUUAAGGUUCAGCUCCUUCUGAGUCAGCAAAUACUUAAGACCCUUGUGGUCUGUGUAUAUAAUACACCUCUCCCCGUACAAGUAAUGUCUCCAAAUCUUAAGUGCAAAUAUCACUCCCGCCAACUCCAAAUCAUGAGUAAGAUAGUUCCCUUCGUGAGGUUUAAGCUGUUGUGAUGCAUAUGCAACCACCUUACCCUCUUGCAUUAACACACAACCCAAACCCAUGUGUGAUGCGUCACUGUACACAGUAAAAUCUUUCCCAGACUCUGGCUGAGUUAACACAGGUGCUUCAGUCAGAACUUUCUUCAACUUCUCAAAAGCUUCUUGCUGCUUCUUAGUCUAUACAAACGAUUCUCCUUUCCUUAUGAGUUUUGUCAGGGGUGCUGCCAUAAUAGAAAAACCUUCCACAAACCUUCUGUAGUAUCCUGCCAGUCCUAGGAAACUCCGUAUUUCAGACACUGACCUAGGCGGCUUCCACUCCAAAAUCGCUUCAAUUUUUUGAGGGUCCACCUUAAUCCCCUCAGCAGAGACCACAUGCCCUAAGAAGGUUACCUCCCUCAACCAAAAUUCACACUUGCUGAGCUUCGCAAAGAGUUCCUUCUUCCUUAACACUUGCAGUACUAUACGGAGAUGCUCAUCAUGUUUCACUUCAGUUUCAGAAUAUACCAAGAUAUCGUUAAUAAAGACAACUACGAACUAAUCAAAAAAUGGUUGGAACACACGAUUCAUCAGAUCCAUAAAUGCUGCAGGAGCGUUCGUCAGUCUAAAUGGCAUAACCAGAAACUCGUAAUGACCAUACCGAGUCCUGAAUGUCGUCUGAUGGAUAUCUGCCUCAUUGACUCUUAACUGAUGAUAUCCAGAUGGAAGGUCGAUCUUGGAAAAUAUAGAAGCUCCUCUAAGUUGGUCAAACAGAUCGUCAAUCCUUGGCAGUGGAUACUUAUUCUUAAUUGUCAGUUUGUUCAACUGGCGAUAAUCAAUGCACAUCCGCAUUGUACCAUCCUUUUUCUUCACGAAUAGCACCGGUGCUCCCCAUGGAGACACGUUUGGCCUAAUGAAGCCCAUAUCCAACAACUCCUGAAUUUGAGCCUUUAACUCCACUAACUCCUUCGGUGCCAUCCUAUACGGUGCGAUGGACAUAGGCUCCGUUCCAGGCAACAAAUCUAUUCCAAACUCAACUUCUCGGUUCGGAGGCAAUCCUGAAAGCUCCUCCAGAAAAGCAUUUUGGAACUCCUUUACGGUUCUAACCUUAUCCACUGUCAGUCCCCCCUCUUCCGACUGACUUACAAAUGCCAAAUAGGCCUCACAACCUUUCCGAAUCCACUUCUCGGCUCUUAAUGCCGACACCACAUUGGACAAAUAAUCCCUUUGCUCACCUAUCACCAUAACCUCCUCAUCCUUUGUGGUCCUUAACACCAUUCGUUUAGCAGCACAAUCCAGAGUCACUUUAUGCUUAACAAGCCAGUCUAUUCCCAAAAUAAGAUCAAACUCUCCGAAUGGUAACUCCAUUAGAUCUCUAGGGAAAAUCCUACCUUGAGUUUCUAAGGGUACAUCCUUAUAUAGUUUGUCUACCCUAACUGAGUGACCCAAAAGACUUAGUACAGAUACCCCACUCACAAUUUCCUCAGAGCAGUCCAAGUCAUCCAUAAUCCGUUCUGUGGCCUCCAACCAAUAUUCUGCCACAUUCGGGGCUAUACCAGACACACCCCUAAAGAUCUCCGCUCCGUUAGCUUGAAGUCGUUCAGAAAUAGAUCCCCGAACUCUAUUACCCGUACUUGCCCCGGCAACCCUUUCUAGAACACGAAGCAUUGCCUAUGACAGGGCAUCAUCCUUGGCACCGCGGUCAUGAGACUCUACCUCUAUUGCCGGUGGUACCGGUGCAUCCACCGCCGGCAUAUGUCUCUAAGAUGAAGAUCUCGCUCGAGCACUUCCUCGGCUCCGUCCACGGCCUCUUGUACUCGUAUCGUAUUAUCUUGAUUACGAAUUUUUAUGCAUCAAUUAAUAUUCCAGUGUUUAUUAUAGAUGUUUUAUGAAUUAGAUAGUAGUUCAGAGUUUGUUUUCGCAGAAUCGAAGUCUAACUACAGUUUCAGUCUCUUAUCAGAUUUUCUUAUGGUUUCAGUAUCAUCCUAUCUAGAGUAUCCUAAUAGGGUUUCAGUACAGACAGAUAAUUCAAGAAAAUAUUCAGAAAAGUUUAGAGUAAUACUUACAGGCUUGGGCCGGAGAUUCGGAAUGCCAUUUUCUAAAUAUCUAAAUUUUGAAAAUCGCAUUUUUCGCAAUCUUUAUAAAAUUUUUUUGUUUUUGAAAACCUUUGUUUUUUUUUGUAAACCCAUUCCACAGCCGAGUUGUUGCAACCUAGGUUCUGAUACCACUAAAUGUAAUACCCCAAACCCGGCCCAGACAUUAUGACCAGAUCCGAUAUGCCACAUCGAAGCGUUCAAAAUAUUUUAUAUUGUUGAUCCAGAAAAACUUACUUAGUGUUUUAAAAGAUAAUUUCAUUAUAGGUUAAAAUGAAUGGAAGCUGUGCACCAGGUAGGAAACCGAAAAAGAGGUGGUGAGUCCAUCGGACUGCUUAAGUACCAAACUCCCUUCGAAUCCAAUCCUAGACAUGCAUACCGCCAUUGCCACACCUUAACGUCAUGGAUAUUUCUAGGAAACCGAUUUGGUUAAGUCAUUUUUAGGAAAAGUGAUUAAUCUUUUAAAAUACUUUCAUUGCGGAAGCUUUGCUUGUUUUCGUGUUAUUUUGAAAUCAAUUGUUGUUUUUGAAAACGCGCUCUAAAGCUAUCCAAUUUCAACAGUUAAAUAUAAGUAAUACCUAUCUUAGCAAUACAUAUUAAAACCAUCAAAAAUAAUUAAGCGGCCUUAUUACAUUUAAAAACCCAAACCUCAACGUAAAUAAUAGGAUGUCCAGUUCACCAGAAGAAAACCAAACUUUCAGAACGGAUGGCCACUCCGAAUUCCUUCACAGCUCCAAGCCCACUAUGAUUAGGGAUUUCCUGCGUAGAUGAAAAUAAAAGGGGUGAGUUUGGGGAAACUCAGUGUGUAAGGAAAACCCAUUCAAAGCCCAAGUUAGCUCAAGCCUAUUGGGCCUAAGCCCAUUCAGGUAACAGUGGUACUGGACCAGAGCCCUUUUCAGAUUAUAAUAAACUGGGCCUUAGCCCCUUAUUCAGAUAACAGUAUGGCCCAUAAGCCCAUUUCAAAAUACAUGCAACAUCAAUAAACAUAUGCAAAAAAGGGACUAAUAGGGAAAUUAUACCCUAUCAUCAAAACGGUGUCAUUCCCCUGUACUACCUUCAAAAGGUCAAAGGACUAAAUCGAAUCCAAAUAAAACAAAAGAGUCCAAAUUAAAAAAAAUAAAAGAAUGGGAUUGAAUCACAGUAGGAAUAAGGAGGGACUAAGAGCACAAAUUUCCCAUUAAUGGGAAGCACGCGGAUCCUCCCCGGGUCGGGUCACGUGCGCGUGGGUAAUGCCAAAUAGGUGUACACGGUGUCAUUUUUACUCCUUUAAAAGGACUAAAAUCAACCAAAUUCGCUCGAUCCUCCUUACCCCCCUUUUCUUCUCAUUUGAGAAACCCUAGAUCCCUUCUCAUCCAUCGAUUCCCAUCCCCCAAACAAUCACCUGCACAUCAUGCCUAGAGGACGAGAUUUUUAGCCUCAAGGUCUCCCCCUGACUUCGAUUUCAACAAAGUAGAGGGUGACCCAUGGCGCAUUUACCAGGUAAGCCCCUUUUCCCCUUUUCUUUUUCUUAUUUUCUUUCGCAUAUAUGAACCACAAAUCCAGAAAAAAUGAAAACUAAAGGAACUAAAGCAUUUAGAGAUCUUUUUCGGAAAUCACCUUCUGUAUUUUAAUACUCAUAGUGUGCGCGUAAAAAACUUACAAGUGAUUCUCUUUAGGCUUUAUAGUUGAGAGAAGAAAAAAUAAAAAUAAAAAAAUACAAUUUUUUGCUAUUUUCUUGCGUCUAUUGUUUUCUUGCGUUUGGUGUGCAGGUACGGGUGCUGUGCUGACGUACGGAGGCACAGGCGUGGCUGCUAGAGGGUAUGGAGGCUGGGGCUGCUGUCCAGUUGUGGCACAUCUACUGCUAGGGUUAAGGUUUGCCAAAAUUUGGUUUAUUAUUUGGGCCGUUUGGGCUCAUUCUGCGUAUUGGGCUUUAAUUGGUUAUUGGGUUGUUUUGUACUAAAGACUUGGACUGUAGACUAUUGAUUUGGUUUAAUUAUUUAUUUAUUUGUUGUAUUUUAUCUUGGGUUUCUAGUGGGCCCGGGAAAAUUGGCCCGUUUACACAUAUGUAUGAAAGUUUUUAAUUUAGAAGAAAUUUUAUGGCUGAUUUUUACAUGAUUGAUGGUAUUAAGUUCGGUAAUGCCUUGUACCCUGUUCUAGGCUCGGAAUACGGGUAGGGGGUUACACAUAGAGUUGAGAUUGCAGUUAAAUUGCCCUAAAAUCAGAACUUGGCGAGUUAGGGCCAUACGCCCGUGUGCUCCGGCCGCGUGGGGGUCCAAAUGCCCGUGUGAAGGGUUGCACACAACCGUGUAACAGAGGUACACACCCGUGUGAAGCAGGGACAUGGCCGCGUGAACAGGCCAUGUAACUCUCUGUCCAAAAUCACUAAAAUAAAGUGUAGGGAGGACACGACCGUCUAGCUAGGCUGUGUGACACCAAAACUCAAAUCCCUAAUUCCCAAACUCACACGCCUAUGUGCCUAAGGAACACAGCCGUGUGAACUCCGACAAAAUCCCCAAAUUGGCCACACGACCUUGUGGCAUCCAAAAUUGACCGAAAACCCUAAUUCCCAAAUCCACAAGGCCGUGUGCUAGCCCGAAACCACUAUCUAAGCCACCGGAAUCAUCCCUAAUCUUUGCCCUAUCAAAAAUAUAUCAGAAAGUAGCAGUUCCUCCUCACUUCCAAUGUUUGGAACCCAAGAUCUUCGGGUUAACACAAAAACAAAAAUAUGUCGAAAUAGAAAUUUUGCAAAAACGAUAAUGUAAAGACAAGGUUUCUAAUCCCACACCUAUUUUGACAACGAAGAAGACGACAGAGGCGCGACAAUCCAGAAUUUGUAGGCAAAACGCUUCCAAAGCACUCACAACAACUCCCCAAAAAGAAAAAGAACAGGAGAAGACAAAACAAAAAGAAAAGCAAAGGAACGUCCAAACUAAAAAUAAAAAUAUAGUAACUAAUAUUUAAUAACUGAAAACAACCAAAAUAAAUAAAAUAAAAUAAAUAAAACAAAGACUCCCCAAAAAUGCACCUUCUACAUCUCAAACCCGGAUCCUCAAGGUAUGCUAACACUCACUUAACCACCAGACCAGUAGGUCCAUUCUUGUUUCUAAAGGGUACAACUAGUCAUUUACGUGCGACCUCCUCAUUGCCCCUAUGCUCGAUCUCUAAACUUCUGGGCCCAAAAUUCGGGGCGUUAUACGCAUAUAAUAAGAUUUCUAGUAUAGAUAACAUGGUUGAUUGAGUUAAUGUCACGGAUCAACUCCAUAUUGUAUCUUUUCAAAGAAAAAAUAUUUUUAAUACUGAAUUUUCCUUUCUCCAAUAUGAUAACAUUUUGAUAACAUAUUAACACAAUAGCAUUUUAAGUGCUAUAGAAAAAUAACAAUACCAAUGAUAAGCAAUUGGAGUGCAUUUGAUAUUCUUAAUAUGAUGUAUUUAUCUAUUUAAUUUUUUUUACUUACAAUUUAAAUUAAUUUUUCAUUUUAAUUUUGUGCAUUUUGCAUAUGUAUUGUUAUUAUUAGUUUCAAAUCAUAUAUUUUAUUAUUUAUUUUAUAUUGUUUUGAAACACACACUUAUAUAUCAAAUAUGCAAUUUCUACCCUCAUAAAAUUUUUAGUAUUUAUAAACAAAAGAUGAUAAAUAAUUCAUAUUUGCAUAUAGGUGAAUUUCAGCACGUGUUGGCUUUGACUGUUAAGUUUAUUGGGAUAUGAGAUCUUCUUAACAUGGUUCAUACUUAUAAGUAAGAUGUAAUUGAAGUCCCGUGAAUGAGUUGCAGGCAGAAGUUACCAGGAGCUUGAUUUUUGGCUAACGCCUUUCGAAAUACUAUAAGCUGCCACAACAACAGAGGCACCAACCAUAGCAAAGGGACCAGUAUCAAUAACUCCUUCAAUAUGGCCUUCAAUCUGGUAACUGUCGGCAGAGCCUGUUUUGCAACACACAGCGAAGUGCUCACAGUUGUUAGUAAACAUGUCGUAGGGGCCAAACCCAUUCCGUUCAAGGAAAUCAGUUGCGGCGCUAAUAACUAAAUGGGGAGGCCUGGAAUAGCGUGGGCAACAAGUACCACGUUUUCUUUUAGAGAAUUCUGGAUAGGUAACUCCAUACUCAUAGAUCUGGAGCGUGUCACCAUCAAGGAAACAAUCUAUGCAUACUUUUGCUAUUUCACCAUUUACGACUCGCUUGUCUCCACAUUUAUGGCAUGUAGGUAGCUCCCCAAGUUUCUUGGCUGCUCCCUGGAGAUGAAUCACCAUGUCGUCCCCCACAUAUAUUCCUGCAGUGCUCAAUCAGAAACACCCAAUGUUUAUGUGUGUGUAUACAUGUUAUGAUCUUCUGGGUAUAUGGAUAAAAAAUUGAAAAGAAAUAGAAGCAAACCAUGGUGAUCAUAGAGACCUCCCUUUCUUUCACAGUAGAUGUGAUCCCCUGGUUGAGGAAACCUUGGUAUGCUUGGUUUGCUUGGUUUGCUUUGUGGCUGUCCCAUUUUUUAUUUCUAGUUAAAAUCUUUUGUUUUAAGUUGUGUUUUUAGCAAAAAACUAAGACAAAUUUAUAGUAGAUGUGAUUAGAAGAAGCGAUAAAAAAUCGAGAAUCAAAUGUAAUAAAGAGAAAACAUAUAAUUAUGCUUUGAAAGUUUUGGAAAGGAGGUUCUGAUGCUUGCUAGACAAUAUUGUUCAAAGGAAUCAAACGUUCCUUCAAUGGUGCCAGUUUACAUACCAAUGUAAAUGCUUGACAUGAUUUUAGUUGCAUUAAAGCCCCUACUGCCUAUAACCUUUAGCUCUAAUUUUACGGAUAGAUUUGAAAUAUAUUUAAAUUAUUUGGAAAAUAUAGUUGUUUCAUCAUAAAUAAUGUUUUUUCGAGAAAAAAUUUAGUGGAAAGUGAUCUAGAUUUUUUGUAUAAGUGUAAGUUUGGUAUAUAGUGAGUUGUAGGAUUUAAAUCCGUCAGGAUCUAGUGCCUUUAAUAUAGUGAUUUUGAUUAUAUGUACUUGUAAUUUUUCAAAAAAAAUUAGUUUAAUAAAAUAUUCAUCAGUAUCAUUAAUAUAUUCAUAUAUUGUCUUCAAUAGUUUUUACAUGUAAAGAAAAAUGAAAACAAAUAUUAGUUUACUAAUUAUCUAAAGUUUAACUAAUAUCAAGCGGUAUUAUGUGGUCAGAUCGUAAUAAGGAAAGACAACUUAUAUUAGUAGAUAAUCCAAACAUAUUAUUAGUCUAAUCGAAAUUGAACGAAUCGAUUGAAAAACUAAUAUGUCGUCUAUCAAAUCCAUUUGGAGAGAUACCUUGUCUUGCUAUUGAAGCAGAUGACUCUUAGAAGAUAGAGACAUAAAUGUAACUCACUUGAUUAAUAGUAUAUUGGACAGAAUCCAAGUAAAAUAGAUCUUAAAUCUGUUUAUGAAUAGUGGAGAAGGUCGUUCAAUAGAAAGCUGAGAUCGACUUAACCACCUUGUACAAAGCUCAUAUAUAAUUUCAAUUAAAGUUUAAUGCUAUAAAUAUCAUAAGACUCGAUUUUAAAGAAAAUUUUUAAACUACUGUUUUGUCUAAAAAUAUUGUUUUUUGAACCGAUUUUUUUAACAAAAUCAUCACUUGUACAUGGUUGAAAUCGGACUGUGUAACCAAUCUUUUUGUGUUGUUGUUCUUCACUUGCUAGUCUCCUUAGUUAUAACUACUAGUAUGACUACUCAAAUAUCAAUACAAAAAUCACAUGUUUCUUUUAUUUGUUAUCAGAGCGAGACUUGACGUAGCAAGUGGUGAUUUUGAUAUUAAUUUUUACUCACUAUGAAAGGUUCUUCUGUCUUUCAACACGUCAAUUGGUGACUUUUAUAUUAAUUUUUACUCACUAUGAAAGGUUCUUUUGUCUUUCAACCCCAUGUUGGAUGGAUCCAAUUAGGCAUAUUAAAAGGCAAGGAUGAAAACAUUUAUAAAACUCAGAGUGCAAUUCUCAUUGGAAGGGAACCUCUUGCAAGUUGCAACCAAUUUCAAGGCUUUAAAUGCCAUUUUGUGGAAGAAAAAAGUGAUAUUCUUGAAACAAUUGAAGCUAUAAUGUUAAUCAUUGUAGCGACGUGAAAAUUUUUAACUUGGUCGCUAAUUGUGGCGAUUUAGUGAAAACUUGAAAACUGAAAUUUGAUUUGAAAUAAAUAAAAAGAGAGUCACCAUCGAUCCUUUUAUAGGUGUGAUCGGACACCUAAUGAAUUUAUUUUUAAAACAAAAAGAAGGCCGAGUUUAGGUCUACGUCAAAAUUCAGAGAAAAAAUUAGGGUUCGGGAGUCGGUUACGCACGAGGAAGGUAUUAGCAUCCUCGCGACGCCCAAAAUUGGUAUCUUAUAAAACACGUGUUGUCUUGAUUUUCAAAAAUACAAGUUCAAUGUAACAUUUAGUCGUGAUCCGAUUGAAAAGACGAGAAAUUUUAGUUUUUUCGAUUUUUCAGAAGAGUGUUCCGUCUUUAAUACGGGCCGACAAAUUCCAUCCAACAUAGCGAUGAAAUCUACGGCUUAAUGUUAAAUCGAUACAUUGCCUUACUUAUUAAAAAACAAGAAUAAGAUUUUUUGAAAUAAUGCAAAGCAAAUUAAUAAAUAAAAAUAAAUAGAAGACAGAUCUAGAAGUAUAUUGAAGCAAAUAUAAGUGUGACAAUAAUAUUACAAACAAUAAAGAUGUAUGCGAUAUUAGACGUAAUACGAGAAUUAAACAUGAAAUGGAAAUGGUGAAUGUACAUGUAUACGCGUAUAAUAAUGAUAUUAAGAGUAUGUACGUAAUAUAUAUAUAUAAAUAGUAAUAGUGUCAGAAAUAUACUAUAUAUAGUAUUUGAAAUCUAUACAUAAAAUAGUAAAAAUAUAUAUAUAACUUGUAUUGUUAAAAUAUAUACAUAAUAUAUACAUAUAUAUGUAUAAAAUGAAUAUUGAAAAAUGUAUGUACAUGACAUAUAUGAAAAAUACAUUAAAAUAAAAUUAAAAUAAGUGAUGAUGGUGAAAAUAAUAGGUAGAAUAAUAAAUAUACGAAAAUAAUACUAUAUAUAAGCUAUGUAUACAAGAAUAAUAAAAUAUGUGUACUAAUAUUAAUAAUAAAUAUAGUAGGAAUAAAAUAAAUGUAAUAAUAAUAUUAAAAACAUAAAAAUACCAAUUUCACAUAAAGAUAUACCUAUAUAUAUAUUAAAGAUAUAUACAUAUGUAAUAAAAUAUAUAAAUAACAUGAUAUUAAAAAAAUAUAUACGCAAUAUGUCUGAUAAAAAUAAUAAUAUACAUAAUAUAUAAAAAAUACAAAUAAUAUAUACAUAUACUAAAAAUGAUAAUAAUAAAAAAUAAAUAUUAACACACUACGUAAGUACGCACAUGCAUAUCUAUGUACCAAUAAUAUUAAUAAAUAAUAGAUAAUAAUAAAAUAAUAAUAACGAUAAUAGUAAAAAUACAAAAGAAAGUAUGACAUAAUAAUAAAGUAAGGAAAAUGAAUAAUAAUAUAUUAAAUAUAAUAGUAAAUAUAAUGAUGGUAAAAAUACCAUAUCUAAAGAGUAUAUAUAUUCAUACAUAAUAAUAAUAUAUACUAAUAUUUAUAAAUAAUAAGAGUAAAUAUAAUAAUAAUAUUAAGUAUGGUAUAAUAUAACAAUGAUAAUAAUAAUAAAUAACAAUGAUAUAAUAAUAAUCUAGUGAAAUUAAUAUUACAAAUGCUAUUUAAGAACAAAAACAAAAAAAGGGACGAAAUUGAGGUCAGAACAGAAUUCUUGGGGUGAAAUUGGAAACAAAAUAGGGAAAUCGGGCCAAAGCACAACGCGUGCGUGACCUAAAGGGACCAAAAGCGCAAUAUUCCCAACUGUUAAAACGCUGCGCUUAGCCAAUGACUAAAUUGAAAAGCUUGACAAAAUCCAGGGCCGAAUUAGAAGCAAGAAUAACUUGAUUGUAAAUGCAUGAAAAAGCGGAAGGGCCAAAUGCGCAAAUUGCCCUUCCACUCAAAAACACGCGGAUCCUGGCCUGGAGCGGGUCUGGUCGACCUGACUCGGGGCCAAAACGGCGUCGUUUUUGGUUUAAACGGGGGCGUUUUGGUCCCCUAUAAAAGUUAAAUUUUUUUUUAAAAAAAUUCAUUUGAAAGGGGAGAAAGAAAAAAAAGGAGAGAAAAGGGAGAGGAGAAGGGAAUCCGGCCAGGGGACCGGUCACCGGCCGAUCGUCAGCCGCCGUCCGUCGUCGACGCCGGCCAUCGUACACGGUGGACGGAAAGGUAAACCUUGAAGUUGCAGUGGAGUAGAUCGAAGACGGUGAAUCCUGUCUUCCUGAAGUUGCAGUGAAGCAGAUUUAAGCCACCAUCCUAUCUCCCUAAAGUUGUAGCAGAGUAAGCUAAAGAUUGUAGAUCUUGUUUCCCUGAAGUUGCAGUGGAGCGGAUCGAAAACGGCGAAUCUUGGCUUCCUGAAGUUGCAGUAAAGCAGAUUUAAGCCACCAUCCUAGCUCCCUAAAGUUGUAGUGGAGUACGCUGAAGAUUGCAGAUCUCGUCUCCAGUGGAGCAGAUCGAAGAAAACAAGCCUUAACCCCCUAAGUAGUAGGGCAAUAGGCUGAAGAUUGCAAGAUCUUGUUUCCCUGAAGUUGCAGUGGAGUAGAUCGAAGUCACAAUCCUUAUCUAUCUGAAGUUGCAGUAGAGCAGGAUAAAAACACACAAACCAUGUCUCCCUGAAGUUGCAGUGGAGCAUAUUGAAGCUACCUGAAGAAAAAAAGGGCCAAAAGAAGUCGAGACUCAGCAGAUCCUGGCAAAAUUGGCCCAUUUAUAGUCUUUGCUCUAUUCUCGUUGCACGACAAUGAGCAAAGAGGGGCAGCUGUAAAUGGGCCAAUUUGCCCAGGUCCACUAGAAACCCAAGAUAAAAUACAACAAAAAAAUAAAUAAUUAAACCAAAUCAAUAGUCCACAGUCCAAGUCUUUAGUACAAAACAGCCCAAUAACCAAUUAAAGCCCAAUACCCAGAAUGAGCCCAAACGGCCCAAAUACUAAACCAAAUUUUGGCAAACCCUAGCCCUAGCAGCAGAUGCGCCACAACUGGACAGCAGCCCCAGCCUCCGUACCCUCCAGCAGCUACGACCGUGCCUCCGUACGCCAGCACAGCACCCGUACCUGCACACCAAACGCAAGAAAAUAGCAAAAAAUUGUAUAUUUUAUUUUUAUUUUUUCUUCUCUCGGCUAUAAAGCCUAAAGAGAAUCACUUGUAAGUUUUUUACGCGCACACUAUGAGUAUUAAAAUAUAGAAGGUGAUUUUCGAAAAAGAUUUCUAAAUGCUUUACUUCCUUUAGUUUUCAUUUUUUCUGGAUUUGUGGUUCAUAUAUGCGAAAGAAAAUAAGAAAAAGAAAAGAGGAAAGGGGCUUACCUGGUAAAUGCGCCAUGGGUCACCCUCUACUUUGUUGAAAUCGAAGUCAAAGGGAGACCUUGAGGCUAAAAAUCUUGUCCUCUAGGCAUGAUGUGUAGGUGAUUGUUUAGGGGAUGGGAAUCGAUGGAUGAGAGGGGAUCUAGGGUUUGUCAAAUGAGAAGAAAAGGGGGGUAAGGAGGAUCAGCCGAAUUUGGCUGAUUUUAGUCCUUUUAAAGGAGUAAAAACGACGCCGUGUACACCUAUUUGGCAUGACCCGCGCACGCGUGACCCGACCCGGGGAGGAUCCGCAUGCUUCCCAUUAAUGGGAAAUUUGUGCUCUUAGUCUCUCCUUAUUCCUACUGCGAUUCAAUCCCAUUCUUUUAUUUUUUUUAAUUUGGACUCUUUUGUUUUAUUUGGAUUCGAUUUAGUCCUUUGACCUUUUGAAGGUAGGACAGGGGAAUGACACCGUUUUGAUGAUAGGGUAUAAUUUCCCUAUUAGUCCCUUUUUGCAGUGAGUGUUACAAUCUGGUCCUUAUGCGCUUAUUCUCUUACACUUUUCGCCCCAAAUUUUGUUUUUUGUUCUGAUUUGGUCCUUAGUUAUUUGGAUUUUAACCCUUUUUUGUUUAAUUUAUUUUAAUAUUCUACAUAAUGUUUAUCUUAAAUCAUUGUUCUUUUUUUACUAGUUAUAUUAAAGGGUUUUAUCAUGUAUUAUUUUAUUUAUCAUAUUUUAUAUAAUGUAUACAUAUAUCUACUUAGGUUUUAAUCUUUUCUUUUAAUACGAAUUAAAAAAUUUGUAAUACCUUUUACUUUUCAAUUACUUUAUUAUUAAUCUAAGGUUUUCAUAUAUUAUUUAUUUUAGAUAUAUGCGAUUUGUUUUGUGUUGUUACAUGUAUAUAUAUUUAUUUAUUUUAAAACUUGAUAUAUCCUUAAAAUCGUUUUAUCAUUCAUUUAAAAAUUUUUCAUAUGUCUUAUAUUUAUCAAUAUUUAUAUUUUAUCCUCAUAGUCGAUCCUUUUUAUAUAUGGUGUAUAUGUUAUUUAAAUUAUUUUUCUUUUUAUAUGUAUAUGGUCAUUUUUAACUAGAUAUCCCAUUUUUUUUUAAAAAAAACAUUCUUUGUACAUGUGAGUUUUUUUAGUCCAUUAUAUAUAAUUUAUGAUAAAAUUAAUUUAGCUCUAUAUACAUAUUUAGUCCCAUACAAAAUUAUUUUAUGAAAUCUCUUAAAUUUUUCUCUAUAUAUAUCCCUGUGUAUAUAAGUCAUUUUUAGAACAUAUUUCGUUACAUAUUGUUUUGAUUUAGAAUCUCACAUUUUAAUACUAUUUUAUAUGUUUAUAUUUUAUUAAAUUCUCCUUCACUGUAUGUAUUUUUAAAUGUUUUUUUUACAUUUUGUAUAUUAUUUGACUUAGAAUAUUCGUUCUAUAUCAUCUAUUUAAAAGAUUACAUAUAUCUCUAGUUUUUUAAAUCCAUCCAUUCAUGUAUUAGGCAUUACGUGUUUAUUAUUAUUUCAUACUAGUUGUAUACCACAUUUCUUUAUUUUCAUUUUGUUUUUGUAUACCUUGUAUUGACUGUAUCAUGUUAGGUUUUGUAUAUUAUUGUGGCAUACUAUCAUGUGUAUUGUUUUAUUUGGUCUUGUGCGAUGUACUGUUAUACUAUAAUUUUUGUUUUGGUAUCGUUAUAUCAAUUAUUUUCCAUGCAUGAUUGAAAUUGGGUUAUAUUUUUUAGGCUAGCCAUAUUUAUUUUGUUAGUUGAUUAAAUAGGCUAUAUUAUCUUCAUUCGUCUAUCAUGGUAUUUAUGCGCAUACAUCAUCCCAUGUUUUUAUUUUUUUCUUUUGGCUUACAAAAUGUUGCUUUAUGGUUUUCAACUCUUAAAAAUCAAUUAUUUCAUCCGAUUUCAAGACAAAUUAAUUUGUUUUAAGCGGGUUUUAUAACUAUUUAAAAAUUCUUUGAAAUAAAGGCGAUGUUCGAUAUUUGGCAAUUCGAGGAAUCGUGCCCUAUCGUGCUAGGUUGCAAUUUCUCGUUUGCUCAAAAUAAUCGAAUGUCCCUUGGAAUUUCACUCAUGUUUUCUAAAAACUCUUUUAAACAAAGUAAAUGUUCGAUGUUUGGCAAUUCGGAGAGUCGUACCCUAUCGUGUUGGGUUGCGAUUUCUCGUUUGUUCAAAACAAUCGAAUAUUCCUUUGGGAUUUCACUCAUGCUUUUAAAAAUUCUCCAAAACGAAGGUAGUGCUCGAUGUUUGGCAAUUCGGGGAAUCGUGCUCUAUCGUACUGGGUUGUGAUCUCCUGUUUGUUUAAAAUAAUCAAAUAUUCCUUUAGAAUUUCACUCACGUUCUCCAAAUUCUAAAAUAAGGCAAUGUCCAAUGUCUAGAAAUUCGAAGAGUCGUGCCCUACUAUGUUGGGUUUCGACCUUCUCGUUGGACUAAAUAAUUAGGCAUCCUUUUGCGGUUUUCAACAUAUAAACUUUUCAAAACUCAAAAUUUCUCGUGUUUCGAGGGUAUAAAGGAUCGUGUCCAAUCGUGCUGGAUGUGAUACUGUAUUCCUCUGAAACAAGAGAAUUUUGACAACCAACUCGGGUUAUUCAAAUGUUUAUAAAAGGAACCACAUUUCAAAAAUUUUAAAUCUUAGACAUAAGGACAGUAUUUAAUCGAUUUGGUACCAAUUUUAGGCGUAAUGAGGGUGCUAACCCUUCCUCAUACGUAACCGACUCCCGGACCCGUUCUCUCCUAUUUACGUAGACCAAAAUCAUUGUUUUAGUAAACCAAAAUGUUUUAUUAAAAUGACCAAACUUCUUGGUGAUCCGGUCACACCUAAACAAAAAAGGAUCGGUGGCGACUCCAUUUCCGUUUUUUAAAGUCAAUUCCCCAUUUUUUCAUUAAAUUUAGCAUUUUUAAAAGUGGUUUCGACAAUAUGUUUAACGUCCCUUAUAUAGGCUUACGGGAUCUAAAACAUACAUUCGUGGUUGUUCGGGACCAAACCGUAAACAUAUGAAACUUUUGCAACAUUUAGAAAAUUUUCACACUUUGGAUAGUCACACGCCCGUGUUUUUAACCCGUGUAACUCUCUGUUUAUAACUUCAUCACCCUUGUCAGUCGUACACUUCAUAUAAAUAAUAAGAAACAUGUAUGGGCUCAAUUCUCAUUAAAUUUCUCAUAUAUAUAUACAUAAUUUCACGUUAUGUAAUCAUACAACAUAUAUCAGCAUAUCUCUGUAAUCUAAAUAUAUUUUCAUAACAACUUAUCUUGAUUUCAUACUAUUUCAUAUUUAAGCUUAAAUAACCAAAGUAUUUGAAAUAUCAUCUUUAUGCAAAUAGUACACAUGAGGUAUAUAAUUCCAUAAUUAUGAAUGACCACAUUUAUCAAACAUUUUCCAUAUUCAUUGUAAUAACCCAUUUUUGCCCAGCCCAUUUCAAUAUUUAAAAUAAUAAACCGCAAAAAAAUAAAAAUAAAACAAACUCCAAGUCCAAGUCCAGUACAAAAUUACAAACAUAUAAUUUGGCCCAAUCGGAAUGGCCCAUUACUUGAAAGGAUUUAAGGUCCAUCUAUAAGCUUGACUCAUAUGGAAAUAUAAUCUUUAAGGAUAUGCAAUCUUAGAUAUGAUAUGCAAUCUUAGAUAUGAUACAAUCUUAGAUAUGAUAUGCAAUCUUGAAGAUAUGAUCUUGUAAUCUUGGAGAUUUAAUUUGUAGAUAUCCUUUAAUCUUAACCGUUGAUGUAAUUGAUCUGUACCGUUGGAUUUGGGGAGGCUCAACUAUAAAUAGAGGUCUCUCCCUUCAUUGUAAAUCACUUGAGUUUUGGGAAGCAAUAAGAAUUCUUGAAAGCAUUCACUCAAAUUUCUCUCCCUUUUGCGUUCUUACUCUCUGUGGUUUGUUCUUAUUUUAUUCUUCGUCUAUCUUAGUUUUUCAACCUUUUUUUAUUUUAAUUUCUUCAUUUUUUCAAAUAUGUAUAUUUAUUCCUAUCUUUUAUACAUUUGAUUAUGUAUUUUAUAUAUUAUAAUAUUUAACCUUUUUAUAUAGUUUAUUUUCAAAUAUAUAUUUUCUAUGCAUAUAUAUAUUAUAUUAUCAUUUCAUGUAUUUUGAACUAUUGCAUUAUAUUUUUAUAAUUAUAAAUGUUCUAUUUAUUCAUUUUUUUAGUGUAUGUCAUUUAUCUUAUUUGUGCAUAGUUUCAUUUUUUUAUAUUCUAUGUUUAAUUAUUUCUUUUAUGUGCUAUUUUAUGAUAUAUAUUGUUGUAUAAUUUUUGCAUGUAUUAUGUUUUUCUUUUAGUUUACUUAUGUUUUUAUUUGUUUAUUAUCUUAUAUUUACCCUAGUAUGAUUUUUUUCAUUAAACGUUUGUUCAUGUUAUUUGUUUUUGUAUUAAUGAUAUUAUUCAUGUUUGUAUGGAAAUGUUAGAAUAUUUUGUACAUCUAUGCUUCAUGAUGCAUUAAUAUGUCAUCCUAAAACGUCAUUUAAAAUAAUAUUCCAAGGUUUUAUUUUAAAAAAAUAAAAUAAAAGGCAAUGCUUGAUGUUUGGAAACUUCGAGAAAGGUAGUGCCCUAACUUACUGGGUUGCGACUUUUCUCGUUGAAUUCGAAUAGUCAAGUACCCUUCUAAGUGAUUUUGAGUUUUCAAAACUUAAACAAUUAUUUCGAGUUUUCAAAACAUAGUGUCCUAACUUACUGGAUAUGGCGUUUUGUUGUUUCGAGAUAGAAAUUUUUGAAAGACGAGCUUAGUUUCGAAGGUUUUAAAAUGUUGCAUCCUAACUUACUGGAUGUGAUGUUUUGAAGUGAGCCUUAAUUUUCAAAAUUGAGACAUUCUAAUUAAAAGAGGUUUGCAUCUUAAAACUUUCAAAUUUUCGACAUUAAAGACAUUUGAUAAUCAAUUAGGUACCAAUUUUUGGGUGUUACGAGGGCGCUAACCCUUCCUCGUACGUAACCGACUCCCGAAUCCGUUUUCUCGACUUUCGUAGACCAAAAUUAAUGUUUUAAAAUAAAACAUUUUAUAAGGUGAUCCAAUCACACCUAAAAAGAUUGGUGGCGACUCCCAUUUUCGUUUUUCUUAAAGUCGAUUCCCAUUUUCCAAAACUCGAUUUAAAAAUAGUUUCGACAGCUUGGCGACUCCACUGGGGACUAAUAAGAGAGUCAAGCCGUGUAAUUGAUUAUCCCUUGUCUUAACGUCGGAAAUUAAAAAUUUUAAACUUUAAUCCUCUUUGCAUUACAUGUGUUUGAAUUAUUGCAGGUGUUGCUAUAUUCUGAUACGCAUUGCAUUUGCAUGACCGUUGUGGUCACACCCUUAAGUGGGAGUGAGAAGCUACGCCUUCGUGAGGUUUUCGCCUCCGUGUAGGAUAGUGGAUCACUUUCGGGAUACAUCCGUACCUAUGGUUUCGUGAGAUUUUCAUCUCCGUGUAGCCAUAGGGAAAUGUAUUCCCCUGAACUGAACUCGAUUCAACUGAGCCUAUAAUGGAUGAGGAUCGAGGAAUCUGCUGGUUUGGGUACCUCAAACUUUAGAAACAAACCACAUAUAGAAAAACUGUAAGAGCUCAAUAUAGAUAGAAUUAUACUUAGUUAUAUUUGUGUUUAUUAAUAUCAUAUGAUACUGACUGUUUUCUUUCUUUUAUGCAUGUCAUUUUGCAUUUAAAAGGUAUCGAUUCACGGUCAGUUUCUAAGUUAGAAAGUUUUAUUAUGGAGAACGGACUUCUUGAUAGAAUGGAGGGCAAUGCUAACGUCCAUAAAUGGUCAAAGGAAACGCUGAAGGAUACACAUCAGAAUUAUGGGGUUACACUCGCAUCAGCGUGGCGUAAAAUAAUCUCCAGGAGUUAAAGGAAAUAUGGGAUCAAUGGAGUAAUGAAGCCAAGCAGUUGUUCUACAAAAACUAAGGGGACUUGCAGUAUUUGCUUGACAGGAGGAUAGAUGAGCAAUUCAAAGUGAGUGUGGGAGUAUUGAUGGACACUUCUACCAUUAUAGCAUUUCUCUUUAUUAAAUAUCAUAUUUUUAUUUGUAUUGUAUGUUUUGUUAACAAUUACUCACUUUAUUUUAUUUUUUUUAUACUAAUUCUUUUAUAUAUUUUUAUAUUGUAUAUAUCAUUUAUGUAUUAAAUGUUAUUUUAUAAUUAUUAUUUGAUGUUGUAUUUUAUGAACAUGUACAAUGAUAUUAUAUUACUUUUUUUAUCAUGCAUCAUUUUUUUAAAUUAAUUAUUACUUUGUAUGUUUGUAUGUUUUGCUUAUUCGUCUUCAAUAUAUGCUAUGUAUAUCUUUGUACGUAUGUUGUUAAGAUUUGCUAUAUUUAUUAUUUUUUAUUGUGUAUGCAUCUAACGUAUGAUCUUUAUGUAUUGCUAACAUAUUGUUUAAAUGCAUGUUUUAUUUACCUGUUACGAGAAUAUGUUGUCAUGUAUGAUUUAUAAUGUAAUAAGAUUCCUCAUGCAUCAUUAAAAAUAAUAUUCCAAGGUUUUAAAAAAUAAUAAUAAAAGGCAAUGCUUGAUGUUUGGAAACUUCAAGAAAGGUAGUGCCCUAACUUACUGGGUUGCUACUUUCCUCGUUGAAUUUGAAUAGUCAAGCACCCUUCUAAGCGAUUUUGAGUCUUCGAAACUUAAACAAUUAUUUUGAGAUUUCAAAACAUAGUGUCCCAACUUACUGGAUAUGGCGUUUUGUUGUUUCGAGAUAGAAAUUUUUGAAAGACGAGCUUAGUUUCGAAGGUUUUAAAAUGUUGCGUCCUAACUUACUAGAUGUGAUGUUUUGACUCGUUUGAAAUAAGUGAGCCUUAAUUUUCAAAAUUGAGACAUUCUAUUGUAAAGAGGAUUGCAUCUUAAAACUUUCAAAUUUCUGACAUCAAAGACACUUGAUAAUCAAUUAGGUAUCAAUUUUUGGGCGUUACGAGGGUGCUAGCCCUUCCUCGUUCGUAACCGACUCCCGAACCCAUUUUCUUGAUUUCGUAGACUAGAACUAACGAUUUUAAAUGUUUUAUUGGUGAUCCAAUCACACCUAAAAAGAUUGGUGGUGACUCCCGUUUUCGUUUUUCUUAAAGUCGAUUCCCAUUUUCCAAAACCCGGUUUAAAAAUGGUUUCGACAGCUUGGCGACUCCACUGGGGGCUAAUAAGAGAGUCAAGCCGUGUAAUUGAUUAUCUCUUGUCUUAAUGUCAAAAUUAAAAAUUUUAAAAUUUAAUCCUCUUUGCAUUACAUGUGUUUGUAUUAUUGCAUGUGUUGCUAUAUUCUGAUAUGCAUUGCAUUUGCAUGACCGUUGUGGUCACACCAUUAAGUGGGAGUGAGAAACUACGCCUUCGUGAGGUUUUCACCUCCGUGCAGGAUAGUGGAUCACUUUCGGGAUACAUCCGUACCUAUGGUUUCGUGAGAUUUUGAUCUCCGUGUAGCCAUAGGGAAAUGUAUUCCCCUGAACUGAACUCGAUUCAAAUGAGCCUAUAAUGGGUGAGGAUCGAGGAAUCUACUGGUUUGGGUACCUCAAACUUUAGAAACAAACCACAUAUAGAAGGACCGUAAGAGCUCAACCUAGAUAGAAUUAUACCGUAAUUAUUACUCUUGUAGGUUAUCUUCGAGUUUAUUGUUAUCAUGUGAUACUAGCUAUUUCUUUUUUUUUGUUGCAUAUCAUUUCGCAUUUAAAAGGUAUCGAUUUUCGGUCAGUUUCUAAGUUAGGGAGUUUUAUUAUGGAGAACGGACUUCUUGAUAGAGUGGAAGACAACGUUAACGUCCAUAUAUGGUCAGAGCAAACUCAAUUAGUAAAGGAAAAUAGUCUAGCCAUGGGAUAUGUGUCAGAGUUGUCAGACUACAUUCGUAUCAGCGUUACACAGGAUAAUCAGCAUGAGUUAAAGGAAUAUGGGAUCAAUGGGGUAGCGAAGCCAAGCAGUUAUUCUACAACAACCAUGGGGACUUGCAUGUACUUGCUUGACUUGGGAAUAGACGAGAAUUUGUUUAGGGCCAUCACUCAGUAUUGGAAUCUUGUAUACAGUUACUUUACGUUUGGAAAAGCCGAUAUGAUACCCGUGGUGGAGGAAUAUUCGGUUUUGUGGCGUUGUCCUAUGAUUCAAGUUGGUAAAGUUUACUCAAGGGCUGACUAUAUUCCAACUUUUGUGAGGAAGUUGAUGAACGUCAUGGGGAGAGGGAGUGAGCUAAAAUGGAAAGAGUAGGAGAAAAAUGGGCAGUCUUGGAAUUCCUGUCUCUUCCGCCACUGGUGUGUCUUAAUGUUGUUUCCAAUCAAAGCAGAAUUGGAUACAAGGAAGAUUGUUUGACAUCCUAUGGCAAGGUGUGCUGCAGGAACUAAAGGGUAGAAGGUAAUGUACUCACCAAUAAUUUCAAGGUGAACAAGAAGAGUACUGAUGGACAUUUCCACCAUUACAACAUUUCUCUUUCAUAUGAAGAUGGUCGAUGGUAAGAGUGUUGGAAGAAAAGUGAUUGACAGAAUGCAUGGACCGACAAAGGUGAGUUGGAAGGAAAGUGAUUGUGCUCAUGAUGGUAAAAAGGCUUAUCUAUUAUAGGACCAAACAACAAGCAUGAGUUUACUAUGUUGCACUUAUUAGAGACAAUGGAAAUGCAAGCCCUGAUGGUCUGUCAAAAUGGACGCAAAAGAAUGAGAUUAAAGAAGGCCAUAUCAUUUAAAAGACCUUUAAAGUAGAGAUUAACUAUGCUGAGAAGAUACCCAUAUAAGCAUUUCAAAAUGCUUUGCAUGGACAGGAAUAUGAAAACUCUCAAGAAACACUAAAGGUGCUGGAUAUCAUUUUAAGGCAGCAUGUUAAGCAGGAAUACCUACUUGUUUGCCAAUCUUUCUUUCAAGAUAAUCAGAAUAACUUCACAGACGUUAGAAGAGGUGUCCAUAGAUGAAGGGAUUAUACCAUGGGUGAAGCCAUAGCUUAAAUUCGGGAUGGUAGUAAAUCAUUUAUGGACCAUGAAGGUACAAGCUGAUACACUGAGCACGAAAUACAAGCUAUAGUCAGAUCUUUGUUAAGAGUUAGCUUUGUUGAGUUAAAACUUUAGGCCAUAGGACGAAGGCGUAUUUGUAAUCCAUUCAUAUGUAAAGAUAUUCUUUUUCUAAAUAAAGUUUUCUAAAUGAAAUUGAGUUGAGAUCGAUACCUUUUUGCAUUCAUGCAUUUGCAUUACAUCACAUCGCAUCAUAUGCAUUUAAGUCCAUAAAAAGACCCUAAUUAGGCAAAAAUUAUUUCAGAGAGUUAAUCGGGGAUAUGGAGCAAAGGUUGGAGAGAUUAGAGCAAAGGCAAAUACAGAUGCAAGAGCAAUUGACCAAAAUUCAACAAGAUAUACGUGAUCAAAUGUUGGGCUCCAAAGAAAUAUAAUUAGCCAGCUGGGACAGUUACUAGUCGAAGAGCUUGAAAAGAGGAAAAGCCCAGUGGUCAACACUGAAGAUGAUAAUGAGGUUAUUGUUUAUUCUCCAAAUUCUACUCCAAUAGAGGUUCAGACUCAACUAGACGCACAUCCGCGAGGGAUACCAGUUGUUAUCAAACCCCAACAGCAUCAGGCCGGUAUGUUGGAACCAGUAAAUAAUUCGGUAGGCUCAGGUCCUAAUUCGGGGAGCAAUUCAGCCAGUCUUGUCAUCAUUAGAGAAGCAAGGAAGGCUAGUGUGGAGUGUCCAAAACAGUGUGAAGCUCUUAAAAAGAAAGAGUGGAGCUCCCGAUACAAUACAUCGUGGGCAAUGGCAAGAAAAGAAAAUGAGGAGAAGCUGUUGACUAUAAGACAACCGAGAAUGUCAACUAUCAGCCAUCAGGUUCCUCAAAAGCAAGAAUCCAAUCCAAAACCGAAUCCUGAAAGCUUCUCUUUACGUCAAUUCCAGUGUCGUAUAAGGAGCUAUAUCAUAGAUUAUUUUCCGCACAUGUAGUGUCCCUAUUUUACAUAGAACCGUUGUAGCCCCCAUACCCCAAAUGGUAUGAUUUGAACGCUCAAUGUGAGUAUCAUGCGGGAUGUGCAGGACACUCAAUUGAGAAUUGCAUUGCCUUUAAAAAGAUGAUCGAAAAACUUAUCAAAGUAGGUGUUAUAAGCUUUGAUCAUCCCUCUGGGGCAGAGAAUUUAUUACCUAAUCAUGGGGAGGUGAAUUCCAUGAUGGAAAGGGGCAGGGGAUCCAAGAAUGCACCAAGUUUCAGGGCUUUUGAGCAGGACUUGAUGUUGGGGAAUAUGAAUAACAUAUCCUAAGAGGAAACGAAGGAAUAAAACUGAUGAGCCCUUGCCAUUUGGGAAUGUUUUGAACAAUAAAAUUGUGGAAGUGAUCCUUGUGUUUUAAAGUUAAUUUAGAGUAAUGUUUAGAACACACUUGUUGUUUUAAAGCUUAGAAACAAUAAGAUUUCAUUUGUGAAAUAGGCUCAUGUUUAGACAUUGUUGUUUCAAUAAAACAUAUCUUUCAUGAUUAAUUUGAACAAUUGUUCCCUCAUUUUUUCUUCAUUCAUAACGUAAAUAGUUAUUCUUGAAUUCAUUUAUUCAUUGUAUAUUUUUUUGUGCCUAUCGAAGAUCCCUAGAUAUCAAUGAUAGGGGCAACGAUACUACAGAUUCAGAGUUCCUUUUGAGCGCUACAUGUGUUUAGAGGAAUCUCAGUACUCUGAAGAUGACAGAGAUUGCGAUUUGUUUCUAAAUUUGUUGAAAACGGUAAAGCAAGAAGAGAAAUAAAUUCUACCCCAUAAAGAGGGGGUAAAAGAUAUAGCCUUAGAAGAAAUGAAAGGCUGUAAGUCGGAACAAAGCUAGUUUUCCUAUACCUCACAUUGAUGCCUUGGUGGACAAUAGUGCUGGAUACUCAAAGCUCCACAGUUCCUUCUUUGUUUGCUUCUCGAUAAGAAAAAUUCUGAUUUUUAUAGGCCAUAGAAGUAGAACAAUCUGUCUGAGUAUGGCAUCGUGACUCAGUGUAUGGCGCUAGUUAGGGUGAAGGAUCAGUGCUUUACAAACUUGCUUCUAAAAAUCAAUACAAAGCUUGGAGGACUAAAUUACAUGUUAGUAAUUGAGCAAACACCUUCAAUUCCAGUUGUUUCAAAGGUUCCAAUUAUCAUCCUUGGAAUGGAUGCAUUAUUUGGCUCUCCUGAGCAGUCUGAUAUACCGUCAAUAGCUACGGUGGUUAGUUUCAUGAAGUGGCCAUUGAUUUCCAGUUAUAGGGCAUCAGGUCGUACACAGUCUUUGAAGCUUGAAAUGAUAGAUUCUCUCUUCAAACCAGUUUCUAACAAAGUGGAUGAGGGUAUUGUAAGACUUCUAUACAAGUUCAGGGAAAAGGAAGCCUGAUCAGAUUAUCAUAUUCAGGGAUGGAGUUAGCAAGUCACAGUUUAAUCAAGUAUUGAACAUUGAGCUGGAUCAAGUAAUUAAGGCUUGCAAAUUUCUUGAUAAGAGUUGGACCCCAAGUUUGUGGUCAUUAUGGCACAGAAAAAUCAUCAUGCUAACUUUUUUUCAGUAGGGAUCUCCUGACAAUGUCUCGCCUGGAACUGUUAUAAACAACAAAAUCUAUCAUGCUAGGAACAUUGACUUCUAUCUUUGUGCCCAUACUGGAAUGAUUGGAGCCACGAGAUCUACUCAUUAUCAUGUUCUCUUAGGUCAGAUUGGGUUUUCGACUGACGAUCUGCAGGAGCUAGUCCAUGCUAUAUCAAAGAAACGCUACAGACAUAUCUGUUGUGGCCCCUAUUCGCUGAGCUCAUUUGGUAACGUCACAGUUAGAGCAGUUUAUAGAGUUUAAAGAUACUUGAGAAACAUCAUCAAACCAUGGUGGAAUGACAACUCCGGGAGUGAUUUCUGUACUUCAGCUUCCCAGAAUGAAAGAUAAUGCCAGCAGCUCCAUUGAACUAUUUUUAUAGAGCUUCUGGAUUCUAGCUACUAUUCACUUUCUUUGUUUGACAAAUGUUAGCCCAGAUUUUUGAUUGGGCAAAAGAAUUUCAUGAGGGGGAACUUGUGUUACAAGAGAUUCUUCCCAUGCAAAGGAUUUCAAAGGAAAAUGGAUACCAAGUGGGAAAGACCAUAGAUUCUGAAAAAGCCUCCUCUAGUGGUGCGAAAGAUUCACCUAAUACAGUGAAUUCAGACUCAAUUAAAGAGUAUUUUGUCUAAAAAUAAAGGGAAGCCAAAGUGAAAACCCGCAAAGGGCACUUUGAGACUUCUAUUUCAAAAAAAAAGAAAAAAAAAAGAGAGAAAAGAAAAGAAAAAAUGGAAAAUGGAAAAAGAGAAAGAAAUGGAGAGGCCAAGGUGAAAACCCGCAAAGGGCGCCUUGAGACCAAAAGGGUUUUGAGCUGAAAACCCGAAAGGGCGGCUCAAAUUUUGGUGUGCAGCAAUGACCUUGCUAUACUGGAGUCAACAAGCAGUGAAGUAUGUUACAUACCGGGGCAUCAACUAAGUACUUUGGGUCUUCUAAACACAUGUUAAACUCAAAACAGUUUUCAUGGAAUUUGUAUAUAGAAGCCCAAGCUGCGAUAUCUAAGGCAUUUGAUUUUUAUCUUGUUUACUAUCUUUGGAUUCUCUUUCUUCUCAAAGAUAGAUUCCUAGAUUAAUCUCCUUUGUUCUUCUUUUGAUAAAUCAUUCAAACUCUAAUUUUCCUCAAGAUCAAUUUAUUAUCCAUUAUUCAUAAAGUAUGUUGCAUUGAAAUAAUAAUGGAGGAACUAAAAUAUCUUCACAAACGAAGUUUUGUAUAUUACUCUGGAAAUUUCUAGAUAAUAAAAAGAAACUGAAACAUAACAAUUGUUUAAGGAAUUCCUAUUGAGUAAGGAUUGGAGUUACUCAAGAAAUUUUCUUCUGGUGAUUAGACGAUGUUGAUCCGAAGAAAGGAUCAUUUCAUAAACAUCUUCAGUGGGUCGUAGCAUGUGGGAAUGGCACAGUGGACCAAAUCGUUGGAGAGGGUUCUAAGCAUACGAGCAAAAUAGGGUUGGUACUUUGAGUGAAACAAAACGAGACUUGAAUGAAUCAAUAUGUCCGAAAUAAAAGUCAUUUUCAUUUUGCAUCAUAAUAUGUCUAAUUAGGAGCAUUUGAUUCAUUUCAAUCGUGGCAUCCUAAUAAUAGGCAUAGGCACAUACACAUUCUACAGGUUAUAUCCUCUAGGGGACAGUGAAGAUUGAAGAUUUCAACAUGGCAUCCCUGUGCUUAUAGGGAACAAGUUGAAGAUAACAGAUCUUAUCUCUCUGUAUUCGACGGGGAACAGAUCGAAGACUUAGCAGAUCUGACCUUCAUUGGGGCAGAUACAAGAUGACAGAUCUUAUCUCUCUAUAAUGGGCGGGGAGUAGAUCCAAGAUGACAGAUCUUAUCUCUCUGUAUUCGACGGGGAGUAGAUCAAAGAUAUAGCAGAUCUGACCUUCAUCGGGGCAGAUCCAAGAUGACAGAUCUUAUCUCUCCGUAAUGGAUGGGGAGUGGAUCAAAGAUGACAGAUCUUAUCUCUUUGUAAUGGGUGGGGAGUAGAUCCAAGAUGACAGAUCUUAUCUCUCUGUAUUCGACUGGGAGCAGAUCGAAGACAUAGUAGAUCUGACCUUCAUCGGGGCAGAUCCAAGAUGACAGAUCUUAUAUCUCUGUAAUGGGCGGAGAAUAGAUCUAAGAUGACAGAUCUUAUCUCUCUGUAAUGGACGGAGAGUAGAUCUAAGAUGACAGAUCUUAUCUCUCUGUAUUCGACGGGGAGUAGAUCAAAGACAUAUCAGAUCUGACCUUCAUCGGGGCAGAUCUAAGAUGACAGAUCUUAUCUCUCUGUAUUCGACGGGGAGCAAAUCAAAGAUAUAGCAGAUCUGACCUUCAUCGAGGCAGAUCCAAGAUGGCGGAUCUUAUCCCUCCGUAAUGGACGGAGAGUAGAUCCAAGAUGACAGAUCUUAUCUUUCUGUAUUCAAUGGGGAGCAGAUCGAAAACAUAGUAGAUCUGACUUUCAUCAAAGCAGAUCCAAGAUGAUUUGGCAUCUCUGUAUUCGACGGAGAGCAGAUCGAAGACAUUAGCACUACAAUUCUGAGUUUGCAAGGAGCAGAUUGAGGACCUUGAAGUCAGGAUCCGAUAAGACCGGGCAAAUUUGGUCCUUUUAUAGUCUUUGCUCUAUUCCUGUUACACAGUAAUGAGCAAAGAGGGGCAGCUGUAAUAGCCCAAAUUCGCCCGGGUUUAAUAAACCAAACAGAAAACCAAAAAAUAAAAUAAACUGUCCAAUUUGUACAGUCCAUGUUACAAAAGAAAUAAUGCCCAAAAGGAGAAUUAUAUCCCAUAAACCCAUUACACUCGUGGCCCAACACCCAAUACCCCAUUAGCCUAAAGCAAACCCAAAUACCAACACUACCUGGCAGACCCAACCCGUUACAUUACAGAUCCAUUUCUAAAAAGCCUACUCCUAAGACCCAUUAAGCUGUAUCCCGAAGGCCCAAAUGCUUAACCCUAGGUCAAGAACCCUAGGGUUUCUGCACCUUUCAGUGCCGCAAAAAGAAGGUUCCAGAAUUCGCAAAGCAACCAUCCCAAACGACGCGCCUUUUCAAAUCGCGCCAUUCUAGUAGCCCCCAUCAGCGCCAUGACUCUAGUUCUGAAUCGCGCCGUGAUUGGCGCACGAAUCAAAGCCAGAGUACUCGCCAUCAUUCUCGCAAACACCUGCAAAAAGAGAAAGAAAAGCAGCAGAAAUGAAACAAACAUGGCAAGAAAUGAAAUAAAAAUCUGUAAAAAAUACUGUAUAAGGCUAUAAAAGUUGAGGGAAAGCGUUGUAAAAGGGUUUUUUUUACCGGAAAAAUAGUGUAAAACAGGCACAAGUAUUACACAUAUACAAGGAAUAAAAUUAGAUCUAAGGUGAUUUUCAGAGAUUACUUUUCGUUCUUAUUUUUAUUUCGAAGAUUUGAAUCGAUUUGGAGGCAAAAACACUUUUAAAAUAGAAGGGAAAAGGGAUAUUACCAUCGGAUUGGGCUUUGGGAAGCUUUAAGGAGCGUAAAACUCGCUUUUGGGAACUCCGACCACCGUGAACGGUGGCGGAGACGACAGAGGAUGGCGAGGCCCGAUGAUUGGAGUUCGAUCGGAGCUCAGAGGGCAGGCAGGCUUUUGAGAGCAUUUUUUUUGAGUUUUUUUUAGGAGGAGGUGAAAAUGAAAGUUUUUGAAAGAAAAUUGGUUUUUAAAGCACCCCUAUACGAAGCCGUUUCAUAGUGUGCAGAAGGGCCCCAAAACGACGUCGUUUGGGGGCUAACCCGAUUACCCGACCCGGUCCAUUUAGAGAUUCGCGUGUUUUCUUCGGCUAAAGGGAUAUUUAUCCCUUUAGUCCUUCUCCGUUUUCAGUUUGUUUUUUUAAUUAAAUUUAUUUCAUUUUUUAAAUUAGCCUUAUAGUUUCAUUUAAAUUUAAUUUUACUCAUUUUCUUUAUUAAUUUAAAUUUUGUUAUUUUUUUUACAUAUAAUUUAUUUAUUUUAAAAUCUAUACAUAUAUUAUUAAAAAUACUAUUGAUUUGUUUAUAUAAAAUGUUUAUUUAUCAUAUCUUAUUUUCCUAUAUAUAUUUAUAUUAUAUUUUAUUAUAUAGCAUUUAUUAGAUUUUUUACUUUUAUUAUAUAUUUAUUACUUAUUAUAUUAUUUUUAUUAUAUAUUAUGUAUAUCGUAUAUUAUCUAUUAUAUUAUUUAUGUUUUAUAUUAUUCAUUUUAUUAUUUAUAAUUUUAAAAUUUGUAAAUUAUCAUUAUUAAAUAUCAUAUUUUUAUUUGUAUUGUAUGUUUUGUUAACAAUUACUCACUUUAUUUUAUUUUUUUUAUACUAAUUCUUUUAUAUAUUUUUAUAUUGUAUAUAUAAUUUAUGUAUUAAAUGUUAUUUUAUAAUUAUUAUUUGAUGUUGUAUUUUAUGAACAUGUACAAUGAUAUUAUAUUACUUUUUUUGUAUCAUGCAUCAUUUUUUUAAAUUAAUUAUUACUUUGUAUGUUUUUAUGUUUUGCUUAUUCGUCUUCAAUAUAUGCUAUGUAUAUCUUUGUACGUAUGCUGUUAAGAUUUGCUAUAUUUAUUAUUUUUUAAUGUGUAUGCAUCUAACGUAUGAUCUUUAUGUAUUGCUAACAUAUUGUUUAAAUGCAUGUUUUAUUUACCUGUUAUGAGAAUAUGCUGUCAUGUACGAUUUAUAAUGUAAUAAGAUUCCUCAUGCAUCAUUAAAAAUAAUAUUCCAAGGUUUUAAAAAAUAAUAAUAAAAGGCAAUGCUUGAUGUUUGGAAACUUCAAGAAAGGUAGUGCCCUAACUUACUGGGUUGCUACUUUCCUCGUUGAAUUCGAAUAGUCAAGUACCCUUCUAAGUGAUUUUGAGUCUUUGAAACUUAAACAAUUAUUACAAGAUUUCAAAACAUAAUGUCCCAACUUACUGGAUAUGGCGUUUUGUUGUUUCGAGAUAGAAAUUUUCGAAAGACAAGCUUAGUUUCGAAGGUUUUAAAAUGUUACGUCCUAACUUACUGGAUGUGAUGUUUUGACUCGUUUGAAAUAAGUGAGCCUUAAUUUUCAAAAUUGAGACAUUCUAUUGUAAGGAGGAUUGCAUCUUAAAACUUUCAAAUUUCCGACAUCAAAGACACUUGAUAAUCAAUUAGGUACCAAUUUUUGGGCGUUACGAGGGUGCUAGCCCUUCCUCAUUCGUAACCGACUCUUGAACCCGUUUUCUUGAUUUCGUAGACCAAAACUAACGAUUUUAAAUGUUUUAUUGGUGAUCCAAUCACACCUAAAAAGAUUGGUGGCGACUCCCAUUUUCGUUUUUCUUAAAGUCGAUUCCCAUUUUCCAAAACCCGAUUUAAAAAUGGUUUCGACAAGGAUCAUCUUACAAACAUUUUCAGCAGGUCAUAGCAUUUGAAGAAUGGUACAAACCCACAAGCUGAGUAGGAAUGAGACUUCGAGAGAAGUAAGGAAAACUUCGAUGAGGGAAUAAGUGAUGACGUCCGAAAUAGGGUUCAUAUUCAUAACAUUUUGCAUUAUAACAUGUCUAAUUAGGAGAAUUUGACUCACUUCGAUCAUAGCAUCCUAAUUAUUAGGCAUGAGCUCAUACGCAUUCUACAGGUUAUGUCUUUUACGGGACAAUGUAGAUAAGAGAAACAAGAUUUGGCAUCCCUGUGUUUAUAGGGAACAGAUCGAAGAUAACAGAUCUGACACUCCUGUGCUUACAGCGAAGUAGAUCGAAGAUUUCAGCAUGGCAUCCCUAUGUUUAUAGGGAACAAGUUGAAGAUAGCAGAUUUGGCAUCCCUGUGUUUAUAGGGAACAGAUCGAAGAUAGCAGAUCUGACACUCCUGUGCUUAUAGUGAAGAGAUCGAAGAUUUCAGCAUGGCAUCUCUGUGUUUAUAGGGAACAAGUUGAAGAUAGUAGAUUUGGCAUCCCUGUGUUUAUAGAGAACAGAUCGAACAUAGCAGAUCUGACACUCCUGUGCUUACAGCGAAGCAGAUCGAAGAUUUCAGCAUGGCAUCCCUGUGUUUAUAGGGAACAAGUUGAAGAUAGUAGAUUUUGCAUCCCUGUGUUUAUAGGGAACAAAUCGAAUAUAGCAGAUCUGACAUUCCUGUGAUUACAGCGAAGCAGAUCGAAGAUUUCAGCAUGACAUCCCUGUGUUUAUAGGGAACAAGUUGAAGAUAGCAGAUUUGGCAUCCCUGUGUUUAUAGGGAACAAAUCGAAGAUAGCAGAUCUGACAUUCCUAUGCUUAUAGCAAAGUAGAUCGAAGAUUUCAGCAUGGCAUCCCUGUGUUUAUAGGGAACAAGUUGAAGAUAGCAGAUUUGGCAUCCCUGUGUUUAUAGGGAACAGAUCGAAGAUAGCAGAUCUGACACUCCUGUGCUUACAGCGAAGCAGAUCGAAGAUUUCAGCAUGGCAUCCCUGUGUUUAUAGGGAACAAGUUGAAGAUAACAGACUUGGCAUCCCUGUGUUUAUAGGGAACAAAUCGAAGAUAACAGAUCUAACACAACUGUGAUUACAGCGAAGCAGAUCGAAGAUUUCAGCAUGGCAUCCCUGUAUUUAUAGGGAACAAGUUGAAGAUAGCAGAUUUGGCAUCCCUGUGUUUAUAGGGAACAAAUCGAAUAUAGCAGAUCUGACAUUCCUGUGAUUACAGCGAAGCAGAUCGAAGAUUUCAGCAUGACAUCCCUGUGUUUAUAGGGAACAAGUUGAAGAUAGCAGAUUUGGCAUCCUUGUGUUUAUAGGGAAUAAAUCGAAGAUAGCAGAUCUGACAUUCCUAUGCUUAUAGCAAAGUAGAUCGAAGAUUUCAGCAUGGCAUCCCUGUGUUUAUAGGGAACAAGUUGAAGAUAGAAGAUUUGGCAUCCCUAAAAAUCAAAGAUAACAGAUCUGGCAUCUCCAUUUCGACGGAGAGCAGAUACAUAGCAGAUCUAACCUUCAAAUGAUUUUAUUGAAGCAGAUCCAAGAUGAUUUGGCAUCCUUGUGUUUACAAGGAGCAAAUCAAAGACACAGCAGAUUUGCCUUUCAUGUGUUUACGCUGAAGCAGAUCUAAGAUGAUUUGGUAUCUCUGUAUUUCCAGAAAACAAAUCGAAGAAGUAGAUUUGGCGUCUCUGUGUUCGACGGAGAGCAGAUCGAAGAUAUCAACAUGCAAUCCUGAGUUUACAAGGAGCAGAUUGAGGACCAUGAAGUCUGAAGCUGAUGAGACCGGGAAAAAUGGGUCCUUUUAUAGUCUUUGUUCUAUUCUCGUUACACGACAAUGAGCAAAGAGGGGCAGCUGUAAUAGCCCAUUUUUCCCGGCCCAUUUAAGUAUUUAAAAUAAUAAACCCAAAAAAAUAAAAAUAAAACAAAGUCCAAGUCCAAGUCCAGUACAAAUUUACAAACAUAUAAUUUGGCCCAAUCGGAAUGGCCCAUUACUUGAAAGGAUUUAAGGUCCAUCUAUAAGCUUGACUCAUAUGGAAAUAUAAUCUUUAAGGAUAUGCAAUCUUAGAUAUGAUAUGCAAUCUUAGAUAUGAUACAAUCUUAUAUAUGAUAUGCAAUCUUAGAUAUGAUAUGCAAUCUUGAAGAUAUGAUCUUGUAAUCUUGGAGAUUUAAUUUGUAGAUAUCCUUUAAUCUUAACCGUUGAUGUAAUUGAUCUGUACCAUUGGAUUUGGGGAGGCUCAACUAUAAAUAGAGGUCUCUCCCUUCAUUGUAAAUCACUUGAGUUUUGGGAAGCAAUAAGAAUUCUUGAAAGCAUUCACUCAAAUUUCUCUCCCUCUUGCGUUCUUACACUCUGUGAUUUGUUCUUAUUUUAUUCUUCGUCUAUCUUAGUUUUUCAACCUUUUUUUAUUUUAAUUUCUUCAUUUUUCAAAUAUGUAUAUUUAUUCCUAUCUUUUAUACAUUUGAUUAUGUAUUUUGUAUAUUAUAAUAUUUAACCUUUUUAUAUAGUUUAUUUUCAAAUAUAUAUUUUCAUAUAUAUAUUAUAUUAUCAUUUCAUGUAUUUUGAACUAUUGCAUUAUAUUUUUAUAAUUUGUAAAUGUUCUAUUUAUUCAUUUUUUUAGUGUAUGUCAUUUAUCUUAUUUGUGCAUAGUUUCAUUUUUUUAUAUGCUAUGUUUAAUUAUUUCUUUUAUGUGCUAUUUUAUGAUAUAUAUCGUUGUAUAAUUUUUGCAUGUAUUAUGUUUUUCUUUUAGUUUACUCAUGUUUUUAUUUGUUUAUUAUCUUAUAUUUACCCUAGUAUGAUUUUUUUCAUUAAACGUAUGUUCAUGUUAUUUAGUUUUGUCUUAAUGAUAUUAUUUAUGUUUGUAUGGAAAUGUUAGAAUAUUUUGUACAUCUAUGCUUCAUGAUGCAUUAAUAUGCCAUCCUAAAACGUCAUUUAAAAUAAUAUUCCAAGGUUUUUUUUAAAAAAUAAAAAAUAAAAGGCAAUGCUUGAUGUUUGGAAACUUCGAGAAAGGUAGUGCCCUAACUUACUGGGUUGUGACUUUUCUCGUUGAAUUCGAAUAGUCAAGCACCCUUCUAAGUGAUUUUGAGUUUUCAAAACUUAAACAAUUAUUUCGAGAUUUCAAAACAUAGUGUCCUAACUUACUGGAUAUGGCGUUUUGUUGUUUCGAGAUAGACAUUUUCGAAAGACGAGCUUAGUUUUGAAGGUUUUAAAAUGUUGCAUCCUAACUUACUGGAUGUGAUGUUUUGAAGUGAGCCUUAAUUUUCAAAAUUGAGACAUUUUAUUUAAAAGAGGUUUGCAUCUUAAAACUUUCAAAUUUUCGACAUUAAAGACACUUGAUAAUCAAUUAGGUACCAAUUUUUGGGCGUUACGAGGGCGCUAACCCUUCCUCGUACGUAACCGACUCCCGAAUCCGUUUUCUCGACUUUCGUAGACCAAAAUUAAUGUUUUAAAACAAAAUAUUUUAUAAGGUGAUCCAAUCACACCUAAAAAGAUUGGUGGCGACUCCCGUUUUCAUUUUUCUUAAAGUCGAUUCCCAUUUUCCAAAACUCGAUUUAAAAAUGGUUUCGACAUUCAUAUAUCAAUGUCUCAUGUCUCCAUAUAGUCAUUUUCAUGAAUUUCAAGUUUAAUUUCAUAAUUAUUUGUCUCGUGUUCAAUUUAUUUCAUGUUGGAACUUUAUUCAUUAAAACAUUUGAAUUAUCAAUACAUAUGGACCGUACAUUCAAGAUGAACAAUUAUAUAAUCACAAAUGAAUUCAUUUAUCGACCAAGUUCUAUACUCAUGUCUUAUCAACUCAUACUUCCUUAUAUCACAUAAUUCCAUGUAACACUUACCAAACUUUGUCAAAUUAGUGAACAUCUUACGGAAUAUUGGUCUACAUCUUAUACACAUGUCACACCGAUGCCAUAUCCCAGAUAUGGUCUUACACAAAUGCACUUAUCACUCUGAUGCCAUAUUCUAGAUAUGAUUUUACACGGAAAUCACUUGUCACUUGUAGCCGAAGCUACCACUAUUCACUGAUCAGGUAGCCGAAGCUACCAUUUUUCACUGAUCAGGUAGCCGAAGCUACCACUUUUCACUUGUCAUUUGUCCUUGAUCAGAUAAGUGUAGCCGAAGCUAUCACUUAUCACUUUCACUUGUUCUUGAUCAGAUAAGUGUAGCCGAAGCUGUCACUUAUCACUUGUUGCCAUGGUCCAACCAUGGUCUUUUCUGUCAAUUCAUCUUGUCACUGAACUAAAGUGCUAAAAUUAAUCAUUUAUUCAAUUUUCAUACUUUUACAUUAUUCACGAUUUUAUCAUCAAUACAUAUGAAAUAACACACCAUGAAAUUCAUAAAAUUAACAAAUGAUCACUAAAAUUUAGCCAUAUAAACUCACAGGUUCAAUUUUUUUAUAUUAUAACGAUAACCAUAAUUUCAUAAUAAAUGUUCCAAAUAAAACAUUAUAUCAUUUCUAAUUCAAUAUUUAUGAAUUAUAAUCGAGCAUGUGAUCAAUUUAUACACGAUUCAUUCAUAUAUUUUUCCUCAUCCUCCUCUCCAUCCAGAUCCUUAGUAUAAAUAACACACUUGUAAGUAGUAUUAUCUAUAAUUUUUACUAUUUACUUAUAUGAAUAUUCAAGCUGUCCAUCUGUGUUAUAGUCACUAAAUUAUUUUUAUCUUGAGUGACAGAACUCCAAAUUAAUAUCGGAUAAUUUUUCCUGAAACUAGACUCAAGUAUCUUCUUACCAUAAAAUUUUCAAAAUUUUUGGUUUAACCAAUAAGUACAGUUUAUUCUUUAAAGUCACCCCUAUUUUGUUGUCUGACAGUUCUGACUCUUCUUCACUAAAAAUUAAUUUUCUCCUCGUACAGAAUUCAAAUGAUGUUUUAGUUUAUUUUUCUUGAAAAUAGACUCAUUUAGAAUUCUAAAAAUAUAAAUUUAAGCCGCUAAUUAUUUUUAUUCAAUUUUUUAUGAUUUUCUAAAUUCAAAACAGGGGAACUAGAAAUCAUUCUGACCUUGUCUCACAAAAUUUAUUAUAUCUCAUGAUUUACAAUUCCAUUGCUUACAUCGUUUCUUCUAUAAGAAAAUAGACUCAAUAAGCUUUAAUUUCAUAUUUAUUAAUUCUCUAAUUCGAUUUCUAAAAUUUUUGGUAAUUUUUCAAAGUUAAACUACUGCUGCUGUCCAAAACAGCUUUAGUGCAAGAUGUUGAUUUUCAUUUUGCCCCAAAUUUCACAAUUCAUACAAUUCAGUCCUUGCUCAAUUAACCCCUCAAUUGAGAUAAUUUUUAUCAAUUAAUAAUUUAUUAUAUCAUUUUAAACUACUUCAUAACCCUUGACAAUUAUAACUUUAGCACUAGUCCUUAUUUCCAAAUUCUUUCACAAUUAGGUCCUAAAAUCAAUUUCCAUCAAUUGUACUUAAUAAAAUCAUCAUAUAUCAAAAUUAAAACUUCAAUUAUAUGUUUUUUCAUCAUAUAAUUCCAUCACUCAUCCAUAAAAACUUUAAAAAUUAGCCAUUGAAUCAAAAACUAAUGAAAUAGUAAGUUGGACCCAAUUGUAAAAGUCCAAAAACAUAAAAAUUUCAAGGAGAAAGCAAGAAUUAAACUUACAUGAAGCUAGAGUAUGAAAACCAGCUUGAACCCUCCUCCAUGGCUAUUUUUCAGCUGAUGAAUAUGAAGAGAAAUGAAGAGAAUUCUAGAUAUUCCAAUUUAGUCCUAUUUUUAUUUAGCUAAUUUUGGCAAUUUUCUAUUUUUGCCCUUAUUUCACCCAUUUCCUGAUUUUUCUCCGCUAUUGCCGCCCUAAAUAUCUCCUUUGGGCUUAUUUUCACUUUAGGUCCUUCCUUAUUUGACAAUUGAGCUAUUUAAUCCUUUUAGCAACUUUUGCACAUUUUCUAAUUUAGUCCUUUUUAUUUAAUUAACCAUCCAAACGUCAAUAUUUUCUAAUGAAAUUUUAAUACUACCUUAUUAACACUCCGUAAAUAUUCAUAAAAAUAUUUAUGGCUCAAUUUAUAACACCAAGAUCUCGAUACCUUUUUUUCUCAAUUUCUUGACCAAAUAAAUCUUUAUAAAACACAAUUUACUAUUUCAAAAAUCUUUUAAAAACUACAUUUGACUCGUAAAUAUUAAAUAAUAUAAUCUACGAGUUCAUUUUUCAAAUUUGAUGGUCUUGAACCACUAUUUUUGACAUUGCUGAAAUUCGGGCUAUUACACUAUGCGUUCCAACCCUCUACUAAGAUUCACUGAGGGUAAGUAUGACUUUGUUCUGAGUUUGGAUAAUGCGUUAUUGGUGAUUGGUUGCGUGACAUGUUUAUUUUUAACCCGGUUAGCUAGGUGAGUGUGUGUGCAACUAGUUCUAUCUAACUGUCUGACUGCGUGCCACUAAUAAGCGAGGUUAUUUUGUAAUUGAAAUUGAGCUCAAGUAACGAGUGUGUAAAUUUCUAAUUUUGAUUGACUGAUUGUGAAUGACUGUUUGAAAUUGCAUUCUGAAUUGUUACAUCUGCAUACAAAGCUUUUGGGGUGGGAUAUUGAAGAGAAGGGAGAUUUAUGAUUUGACAGUUUAUCUGCAUUCUGAUGCCCCAAUUCCCAGAGGGUCGAGGGCGGUCCUAAUCAUGGACAUUACUGAUAACAGUAUAACGGAUUACCACCUUGCAUUGUAUCACAUGUACGUUAGCUACGCUACGUACCACUAUUUGAUUUGGCAGUUAUACUGUACGUCUGUACUGCAGUUUACCGCAUUGCAUAGUAUAGCUUAUACACUAGCUUUGCUGCAUAAUAUAUCUGAUCUGGCAAUUCAUACUGCAUGUCUGUACCGUGGUCUUCUGCAUGGCACUGUACAGCUUACUGAUAGCCCCUAAUACCCAGAGGGUCGUUGGCAGUCCCAAUUCCCUGCGGGUCGAAGACAAUGCUGAUGUCCAUCAUUGCCAGGCAACCCUGGAUGACACCAUAUGGAGUGUAGGGUUGGAUGGAUGGGUUGAUUAUAUCCCCACUUGGAGUGAUUGGUUGGAUGAGCUUAUAGUUCUAUUGAGGUGUGAUGGGGGACGGAGAUGGUGUGUUGGCUGAAUGGGUGGGUUAUUUUAUAACUCAUUUGCACUCAUAUGCAUCUAAUUGUAUCUGUGUGACUGAAUGUGACUGUACUGCUCGAUAGAUGUCUAAAUGAUAUGAUUGAUUGAACGUGAUACUAUAUUUGGAUGUGAUUGACUUAUUGACUGUAAGGCACACUUGUGCCUAAAAGGAUUCUGUAGAUAUGAUUGCUACUGUUUGACUGGAUAGUUACUGAGAGAGGCUGAGGCCCCAACUGAAAACUGAUACUGAUUCUGGAAAUGAGCUUAGGCCCAGUUUGUGACUACCUGGAAUUACCGUUACUGUGCAUGACAGAGCCAUAUGACUGUAAAGUUACAUAUGGUCUGUAUUUAUUUUAGUCGGUUUGUAAGUAUGUUCUAUUUCCGAACUGCUUCUAGUUUUCCUAGUUUCCCCUCUGUAGUUUAAUUGGUUUGAUCUCACACUGAGCUCGUGUAGCUCACCCCCUCUCUGUUUCCCCUUUCAGGUGCAGUUUUGAAUUCUAGAUGCUGGACUCAGUAAGCGAAGGACUCGGACAGCUUCAGCAAAUUGGAGUAGUAGUUAUGGUUUUUAGUUCUUAUAAUUGAUUUUGGACUGUAUGAUUUUUUUUUAAAGCUGUGGUACAAAUUUCGAUUUAAGUUUUACUCAUUUUUAUUCCUAAAGUGUUACUGAUUCGAGUUUUAUAUAAGUAAGUAAAGGUUUUGGUUCGACAUGUUAAUAUGUUUUGUAAAUUUUCCUAUGAUCACUUCGGUGUUCAAUGUAGCAUUCCGAAUUCGGUCUAAACUCCUAGGUCGGGUUUGGGGUGUUACACACGUAUUUAGAAUACAAAUUUGUGUUUAAAAAUAACACACAAUAUUAAUGAAAAAUAUAAUUUGGAAUUAAUUAAUAAUAACACAUGCCAUAUGUACAAUACUAAAAUAAAAAAUUAGAUUAAAUUGUGAGUAAAACGAAAUUUAAAUCACAUCAUAUUAAGAAUACUAAAUGAAUACAAUUUUUUAUCAUUGUUUUGUCAUCAAUUCUAAAUUGAUUUUGUGUUUGUUAACUUGAUUGACCAACUCAAAAUCUCCAAGAGGGAAGGAGAAUUGGCCUUUAAGAAAAAUGGUGGAAGCAAUAAAAGAAAAUGAAACAAUGAACAUAAGAAUUUAUAGUGGUUUGACCCCAGUUGACUACUCCAUUACCUUAGCUUUCUACAACUAAGGAUUUUCCUAAAUUUACUAAUUUGAUAAUCUUUGAGGAAAAUAUUUAACCCUACAAUCUUCCUUAAAUUUUCUACCAAAAAUCUUAAUUUUGUAACUCUCUUAAGGUUUCUAUCCAAACCUUAAGAUUCAACCAUCUCAAAAAGAUACAAAUAAGCAAACAAAGAAACAAUCCUUACAAUAUCAGAAUUUUGCCAAUUAAGCUCAAAUAAAAAAGAAUACACUUGAGCUAAAGAAUAACAAUGAAAGCUCAGAAGUGUGUAUAAGAAAAAUAUGAAAGAAUUAAACACUAAGAUUGUUUUGAUUGAUCUUUAAGCUUGAAAAUCUCUCUCUUUAUUGUAGGACAUUUGAAAGAUGGUGUUUAUGCCCUCUAAUUCAUUUUCAACCAUUGUGGUUGUUGUGAAAGUUAAUAGAGUCAUUGGAAUGAAAAUACUAGAUCAUUAAAUUCACCUACAACGAAAGGUAUUGAUACUUUUUCUACGAGUCUUGAUACUAUUAGCAUUUAAUACCCGAUUCAAUGACUGUUAAAGUUAGUUAAUUUACAUCAAUACCAAAAAUAAUUUAUCGAUACCUGGUAAAAGGUAUCGAUACUUUUUGUAAUUGAUUGAAAACAAAAUGCCAAUUUGGUAUCGAUUUUAUAAAGGGUAUCGACAUUUUGAAAACUAUCAAUACUUGGCCAAAAAGUAGACUUUUUGGCCUGGAGUAAUACUGACUUGUUUUGAAACAGUUUUAACUUGAUUGAAAAUGUUUAACUCAAUUGAAACCAUUUUAACUUGAUUUUAUCAUUUUGCUAAUUUUGUUCAACUUUAACUUUUAUUCAAAAAUAUUUGAACUUGUUAUAUCAAAACAUAUUAUCAAAUAAAGUUAGGUGUAACAGUAUUCAUUUGUGAUUCUAACUCGAUUGACAAAAUUAUUCAUAUACACAAAUAUAUAAAAAUUCAAAACACAAAUAUACUUAUUAAAGUUUCAAAAUAAAAACUAAUACUUACUUUAAUUCAAAUGGUAAAUGAAAAAGUUUUACAUGCAUGGUGUCAUUUAUAGAUAAAUUUUUAUUGCUAUAAAAAUAUGAAAAGACAAAAGCAUCCACAUAAUCAUAUAACUUUACAAAUAACAUGAUUUUUUUGGUAAUCCCUUAACUGAGUUGAGACUCAGUUGAUGGGUGACGCUAACUCAAUAAAAUGCUUAAUAAAUAGUAUAGAUAUAUAAAACGCGAAGUGGGUGGAAAAAAUUUAUGUAAAAAAUUUAUUUAAGACCAUAAUGAAGCUCUACUUUGCUAGUUGUAACUCUACGUUUUGUUUCCGACAGCCCUAAAAUUCGAACUUUAAACUCUCAUAAACCUAAUCCAUAUCAUACAACACUUAAUUAAUUAUCAAAUAUUAAAUUCAUAUAAAGAUCGAGCAUAAUUAAAGAAAAAAAAACUCAAACAAACGCAAAUGAGAAAGCUAAGAUGCAACAUUUCACUUAACAACCAAACGAAAUAUUAAAUAUAAAGGCCCCAAUAUGAGCACUUAUUACAUAUGAAGAUGUUUCUCCAUUUGUAACUACUGAGAGUUGUCGAAACCAUUUUUUAUUUUGAAAAACGGGGAUCGAUUUUAAAAAGAAAUACGGAGUCACAUCAAUCAUUUUUGUUUAGGUGUGAUCAGACCACCCAUAAAAUAUUUUAUUUUAUUAAAAUAUCAAUAUUGGCCUACGAAAUUUAAGAAAACAGGUUCAGGAGUCGAUUACGUGCAAGGAAGGAUUAGCAUUCUCGCAGUGCCAAAAUUGGUACCUUAUUGAUUAAUUAAUGUCCUAAUAUCAAAAAUUUGAAAAGAUUUUGAAAUACAACUCCUUUUAAAAAUAUUUGAAUAACUCGAAUUGGAUGUUAAGAUUCUCUUGUCCCGAAGGAAUAAAAUAUCAUAUCCAGCACGUUAGGAUACCAAUAUUUCAAACCCUCGAUACCAAGAUCAUCUUAUGAUUUCCCAAAUUCAUGCAUUGAAAUUUUAAAAGGAUAUUUAGUUAUUUGGUCAACAGAAAAUCGAAACCCAGCACGUUAGGGCACGAUUUCUCAAAUUUCCAAACACGAAACAUUGCCUUGUUUUAAGAAGCUUUCAAAUAAGCGAUUAUAAGUCCGACUCAAAAUAUAUAUUUUUGUUUUACUUAAAAGACAAUCGAUAUUGGGUAAAAGUUGGAAUUGUAAUCACGAUUCGAUGACAAGAAAUAAAAGCAUAAUUGCAAGCAUAGAAUAAUAAUACAUGGCAAGAAUAUUAUACAAAUGAAUAACAAUCAUAUGAAAAUACGAAGGAGCCAAAUUAAAGUACAUACAAUGGCAACACAUCAUACACUACACAAGUACUAACAUUAAUACUCGAAGGUAAAUGAAUUAAAAGACAAUUUUAAAAGAAAUACCAAGCAAAUUGACACAAAUAAAAUGUAACAAGUUUUAAAAUAAAUAAAGAAUGAAUUAUAUGGAAGAAGAGACAUUGGAAAUCAUCAAUAUACAAAUAACAAAUUACAUGUAAAAAUUUUAAAAGCAAGUAAUAUGUGAAAGUUUAAAAUAGAUAGAAAAUAAGAAAUAGAAAUAAAAAUAUAUAAUGCAUGAAUGAAUUUUGAGAUAAAUAUUAGGUAAGAAGAAAAUCAAAAUAUAAUAUAAAUCUAUCUAAAUAAAUAAUAUACAUGAAAUGAAAAACUUAUUAUAAAUAUACACAUAUAUAUAUAAAUGUUUUAAAUAAACAAAUAUACUUAAAAGAGAUAAAUUAUAUAUACAGACUUAAAAGAAAAUAUAUAAACAUAAAUAGAUUUAAAAGAAAAUAUAUACAUAAAAUAAUACGAAAUCAACAAUAUAUACAAAAAAAUAAUGUAUAAUAUAAUAAUGUAUAAAAUUAUUUAAAAUAAAUAUCAAAUAAAUUUUUAAAACAAAGAGAUAUGUAUAAAAGAGAAUUUUAAAAUAAAAAAUUUAUAUAAUAGAACAAUUUUAAAAAAUAUAUAUAUAUAUAUGAAAGAAAGAACAAAUUAAAACAAUAUAGAGUCAAUAAGAUAGUUUAAAAAACCAUAUUAAGAUAAUUUUAAAAAUCGAAUAAUAAAAUUUUAAAUAAAAAUAAAAUAAUUACAAAGAGUACGAACAUAAACUAAAAAACUCAAUUGAAAUAAAAACAAAAUAAAAAAGGUAAUCCAUAAAUAAAUACAUCAUUAAAACAGAAUUAGGGACUAAAAUACAAUGCGCACAAACAAACGAGGAUUAAAAAUGAAAAUAUCCCAAAUCCAAAAACGCGGCGUUUAAACGCGGACUAAGUUGAAAUGGCGCACAAAUUCCAGGGAAUAAAAACAAAUAAAACAUGAUCGGGGCUUAAUUAAAGGUUAGCGCAAGAGAGGAUGGACUCAUCGCGCAAAUAUCCCUCAGAGACCAAAACACGUGGAUCCUGGUAGUGUUUGGGUCAGGUCAUCGGGUAUGGCAUAACACCGCGUCGUUUUGGCCAUUGAAGUUCGGAUCCAAAACGGCACCGUAUUGAACAUGCUAUAAAACCCCAAAAUUUUUUUAAAAUCCUUAUUUCUUCAUACUUUCUGAAAAAAAGAAAAGGGAGGGGGAGGAUUUCUCUCUGGGCAAUCCAUUUCCGACGAUCGGACCACCGUCCAUCCAUUACCGAUGACCGCCGUGCACGAUGGUCGGAGGUGCAAAAAUGGUCCAUUUUAAUCCUUUUGCUUUCCCCACCUCAGAUCUGAGUCUUAAACACUCGAAAAAACCCACGACCGUUGAAAGAAAUCGAGAAAACCAUUCAGUUUCCUUUUUUCCGAUCGCCUAAUGUCAAAACCAUUUUUUUGAAAAACAGGGUCGACUAUGGUUUUGAAAAUGAAAACGAACAGAGGAGUCGCCACCAAUCUUUUUUGAUGAGGUGUGAUCGGGUUACCUCGUAAAAGUGGUUGUUUUUAAUAAAUGGUUUUGAUUUAUUUAAACAACGAUUUUGGUCUACGCAAAUCAAGAAAACAGGUUCGGGAGUCGGUUACACACGAGGAAGGAUUAGCACCCUUGAUACGCCCAAAAUUGGUACCUAGUUGAUUAAUUAGUGUCUUAGUGUCGAAGAUUUGAAAACUUGAAAGAAUUUAAAAUACGAUCCCUCUUUGUAUUAAUGCUAAUUUAAAAAUGAUUUAAUAAAUUGAAACGGGUGUUAAAGACCUUUUCAUCUCGAAGUAAUAAAAUGUCACACCCAGUAAGUUAGGACACGAUAUCUCGAACUUUGAGAAUGAGCUUGCCUUUAUUUAAAAUUCAUGUAUUUUAACUUUUUAAAAGAAUGUUCGGUUAUUUAGGGUAAACGAGAAAAGCCGAAAUCCAGUAAGUUAGGGCACGUUUUCUCAAAUUUCUAAAUACCGAAUAUUGCCUUUAUUUACAAAAAUUCUUAUCUCGAGGUAACAAUAUGUCAUAUUCAGUAAGUUAGGACACAACACCUCGUAUCUCCGAGAGUAAGCAUGUAAUGCCCCAAUUUUCGAGAAUUCUGUGAAUGUUGGCAAAAUUUCACGCUUUGGUUUUGUCAUUUGUGAGUGAAAUUAUGAAAUAGGACCUAUGUGAAAAUGUUUGAAAAUGCUAUAGGCUAAUUUGUAGUGGCCAAAUAAAUAGUAGUGCAAAAUAGGAGGAUUUGCAUGUCAAACCUCCCAUUUUACAAGAAGUGGCCGACCAUCAUGUUGUUGAAGACAAUAUGUGCACUUGAUAUCCAUAAUUUAUGGUACAAAUUGAUAAAAAAUUGAUAAUGGGUUAGGUAAAUGUUCCAUGAUGGGCAUGAUAAGCAUUAUGGGCAUUUUUUUAUUGACAUUAUGGCAUAGGUAUGGCACAAAUAAUAUAGGUUAUUUUGUGUCAUAAAAUGUGGGGUAAUAAAAUAACAAAAGGAUGAAAAGAACAAAGUUUUGUCCAUCUUUGUUCAUCAUAGCCGAAAGUUAGAGAAGAGAAAGGAGAGGAGAAAGCUCUUGAGUAUUCGGUCACUAGGAGGAGGAAAAUUGAAGGUAAGUUCUUGGUACCUUGCUUCUAUUUUGAGGUUCAUGAGUUCUUCUUGAUUCUACCUUAACUCUUGAAGCAUAUUUUGGUUUUUAGUUGUGUUGUGAGCAUUUAGUCAUGAAUUAAAAUGAAGGAAAUGGUUGUUGUUUCAUGUUCUUUUGAUGAAAAAUGGGAGAUAGGUGAAGUUGAGCCAAACAAAUGAGCAUGCAUGUGCCUUAGAUGCUAAAGGGAAAAAAUCAGCUAACAUGUUGUGCUUUAAAAUGAUGAAAUGGAGAUUAUUCUUAAGUAAAAUGAUAGAUAUGUGAUGAUUGAUUGGUGAUAUACAUGUUUAAAUAACAUGCAUGCAAGUUAUGUGUGAAAGAGUGAAUUUGGUAAUAAAUCUGCUUGGGACAGCAGCAGUAACGUGAAUUUGGAAAAUCACCAUAAAUUGUGGGAGAUGAAUUAGAAGCUUAAUAAAUUAUGUAAUUAAAUCUUGUUGAGUCUAGUUUCAAAUGAAAUAAACGAGAACAUAUUUUGAAUUCUUUACAAUGAGAAAUUUGAUUCGUAAUGAAGAGUGGGCAGAUUAGUCAAACAGUGAAACAUGGGAAACUUUAAGAAAAAUCUGGUAUUGAUUGGCUAAACAAAAAAUUCUGAAAAUUUUAUGGAUAGAAGAUAUAUGAGUCUAUUUUUAGGGAAAAUUAAUGGCACUUGAUUUGGAGUUUCGUAGCUCCAGUUAUAAAUGAUUUAGUGACUGUUGCUCAGGAAGACAGCUUGCAGUGAAAUUAUGAUUAUGUGGUAAACACUGACAAAAAUUUGUUAAUGAGUUGCUUAUUGAUUUCUUAUAAGCUUACUCUGAUCUGUAGUUGUGGUUGGCCGAAUAUUGCAAGGGGUUAAUACGUAGUUCGUAUUUGAAUAGUUAGAUUAACGUGUUAGUAAUCCAAUUGUAGGCGGUUCGUGUGUGGAUCUCGUCAGCAUAUCGUCGCAAACAGGUGUGUAACUAACACCCUCUUAUAGACUAGAUCGGCACAAGUCGGAAUGCCGAAAUGCCGAAAAGCCGGUAUUUUAAGAUCUUGCGAGUGUGUGAAUGCUCAUGAGUUAAUAGUUUGAUGUAAAUGGUAAAUUAAAGUGAUAAGACUGCAGAGUGCGCGAUUCUGUGCAUUUCGGUAUUUUUGGGCUUAAUGGGCCAAAAAGGGGAUAAUGGGCCAACGGGCCCAAAUUGGUAAGAAAACACGGUAAGUGUUUCUGAUCGUACGUAAAUGGCUAUGUUAUGUAUGAAAACCUUAAGAAUAGUUAAAUUACUUGAAUACCCCUAUGUAUGCAAAAUUACCAUUAUACCCCUAGGGUUACUUUUGACUAAAAAGCAUGACGAUUUGAUUCUGUAUGAUGUAUGCCAUGAUUAUAUAUCUGUUGCAUGGGGACUUGGGUUAUACUAUGGAGGAAGUGUCCUGGUGGCUAUGCCACAAUUAUCUGAUCUGGUGACUCUGCCACAUAUAUCUGUCCUGGUGGCUAUGCCACAAUUAUCUGAUCUGAUGGCUCUGCCACAUAUAUCUGUUCUAGUGGCUCUGCCACAAUAUCUGUAUCUGGUGACUCCGUCACAAUAUCUGGCAGCCUCGCUGUGAUUUCUGUGGUGUGUAGCGGUUGGGUGGGUCGAGUUGUCUCCCCACACAGUGUAAGGUUGGUACGGGGGUGUAUACGGUUGGAUAUGGUUGGGUUUCUGCAUAAACAUGUAAUAUCUGUUCUGUUCUGUUAUGGGCCUAUGGGCUUUAUUCUGAAUUCUGUUCUGGGCUAAGGCCAACUUAUUCUAUUUCUGUGGUUUGAGCUGAUAUAGGCUAUGGUUGGGUUAAUUUACACACUGAGUUUCCCCAAACUCACCCAUUUUAUUUUCAUCAACGCAGGUAAUCCCCAACCAUAGUGGGCUUGGAGCUGUGAGGGAAUUCGGAGUGGUCACCUGUAACGCCCCGAGCCCGAUACCGUUGCCGGAGUCGAACACGAGGUGUUAACAGACUUAUUUCAUUGUAAAACACAGUUCAUUUAAAAUUUCCAGACAAGCUGGCUAACUGCGUCACUGUCACCUUAAAAAUCAUAUCUCGAGUUCAAAAACUCGAAAACAAGUUCCGUAAAUUUUUCCUGAAACUAGACUCAUAUGUCCAUCUACAAAUUUUUUUCUAGAAUUUUUGGUCAGGCCAAUUAGUACAGUUUAUUAGUUAAAGUCUCCUCUGUUACAGGGUUCGACUGCUCUCACCUUCAUGCAUUACGACUUAUAUAUCUCCCUGUACAGGGAUUCAAUACUUAUGCCGUUUGUUUCUAACAAAACUAUACUCAAAAAUGAAUCUAUAAAUAUAUGGCAUGACUUCUAAUUAUCUCUGGUUAAUUUAUAGUGAAUUUCCAAAUUCAGAUCAGGGGAUCCAGAAAUCGCUCUGGCCCUAUUCCACGAAAACUUAAAUAUCUCUUAAAAUACGACUCAUAUGAUCGUUUCGCUUCUUCCAUAUGAAAGUAGAUUCAUCAAGGUUAGAUUACAUAAUUUAUUAACUAUUUAAUUCCAUUCCUACUAUUUUUAGUGAUUUUUCAAAUUUACAUCACUGCUGCUGUUAGCAUCUGCCUUUAAGGUAGACUUUACCUAUAUCAUAGUUUCCAUGAUUCAACUAGCCCUUUAGCAUAUAUAGCACAAAAUAUGAUCAUGAUUAACCAUUCCAAUGGCCAAUCAUUGACAAGCAUAUCCACACCUCUCAAUAACCAUAUACAUACAAAAUGAUUAUAACACUAUGCUCAAAAUAUAUAAGCCAUUUUCGCAUGGCUAUCCAAAUAUAUACAACACCAAAGUACUUGACUAAUAACACAAGGGCAGUCCUAUACAUGCCAUUAGCAGAGUUCAACUAAAAGAGUACCAAAAUGGCUUUGAUAGUGUGGACGACUUUGACUUUGACAAUCCCGAGUCCGAUAGCUAACGAACCAAAAUCUAUAAAACAGAGAAUCAAAGAAACGGAAUAAGCAUUUAAUGCUUAGUGAGUUUUGAGCAAUGAAAUUAGGCACAAUUGAAGUAUAGCAUUCAUAUGACUAAACGGAUAAUUUCAUAUACACACAUUCUCAAAAUCAUACCUACUUCACAUUACCAACCCUUAUACUCAUACAUAAGAGAUCAACUUAACCAAAAGCCGGAAGCUCAUUAAUCGACUGAGUGAAUACUAUUUAAAAGGAAUCAACUAAUCCAAUGCAUAUACGAAACAUACCUCAUCGUUGGGAUUUUACGAGCAUAUUAAUUGAAAUUAUUACAGCAAGAUCGCUCAUUCCCAAACCAAGUACCUUCGGGAUUUAACCGAAUAUAGCUACUCGCUCAAAUGCCUUCGGGACUUAGCCCGGAUAUAGUAGUUCGCACAAAUGCCUUCGGGACUUAGCCCGGAUAUAGUAACUUGCACAAAUGCCUUCGGGACUUAGCCCGGAAUUAGUCACUAGCACAAAUGCCUUCGGGACUUAGCCCGGAAUUAGUCACUAGCACAAAUGCCUUCGGGACUUAGCCCAGAAUUAGUCACUAGCACAAAUGCCUUCGGGACUUAGCCCCGUUAUCAUCCGAAUAUUCAUGCACAUAUCAGUAAAUCAUGACACAUCUUUAUUUCAUUUUCAUAACUAGAAUUCAAACACAAGUCAAUUAUUAAGCAUUCCCAUUUUCGGCUCAAUAGCCACAUACAAACAGCAUGAUUUGGUUUGCUUUAUGACAUGAUCUCUAUGCACAUACGGCUACCCAUCAUACGUAUAGACUAAUUAACUCAACAUAUAAUUCAAGUAGAAUCAUUAUAUCACCGUAUAUUUGUUAUGAUUAUACGUCAUGACUUAAUCAAAUCGUAAACUAAGUUUCAUUACUCGAAAACUUACCUCAGAUGUUGUCGAACAAUUUCGACGGCUAUUCGAUCACUUUUUCCUUCCCUUUAUCGGAUUUAGUUCCCCUUUGCUCUUGAGCUUAAUUUAACAAAUAAAUUGAUUUAAUCAUUUGAACAUCAAAAAGAGAAACUCAAGGUACUUAACCCAUAUAUACAUUAGACAUUAGAGUCACAUAUAUAUGAAAUCAUGAAUCAACUCAACAUAUUAGCCCACACUCUCUUUUAGCCGAUUAUCUAAGCCAAGAUAAAAGCAUCAAUAUGCUUGCCUCUAACCGAAUACAUGCAACACCAAUCUACCUCAUGUGGCCGAAUAUGCAUGUCUAUGUUGAGGCCGAUUUUAUGCUUAAUACUUCCUACAAAUAUGGUUACUUGUAUUGACUACAUACCAUUUUGUUUCAAGUUCAAAACUCGGCUAAUACACAUAUAUACACUAGUAAUCAAAUACUAACAUUUGCACUUCACCUUACUACCAAUUCUCAUCUACUUCCUACCAUGGCCGAAUGCAUCAAGACACCAUACCAUUUCAAUUUUGGUCAUGGGUUAAACAAAGAACUUAAUGUCUAACUCAAAAAUGCUAAAAAGAAAAUCCAAGAGUCAUCAAUAUGCAAAUGACAUCAACACAAGUCCACCUUAGCCGAAACUUAACUCAUCUUCAUGCCUCAUCACCACAACAUCAAACACCAACCAAGAAGACAACACCCAUGGCCGAGUAUCAUCUCCCUCACAUAGCAAAGAUUUAAACCAUGGGCUAGGUAGAACUCAAGCUAACAACUAAAAAUAUACAUGAAUCUCAUGGAGUAACAUCAAACAUACCUUAGCCUAGUUACAUGCAUGGCCGGACCUCUUCAACCUUUCUUUUUCCUUCCUCUUUAGAAUUUUCGGCCAAAGAUGUUAAAGGAUGAACAUUUUUUUUUUCUUUUCUUUGUUUUCAUCACUCUUCAUCCCCUUAUUUUAUUACUAACUCUUUUAUUUUAUUCUUUCCAACAUGAAACAUUAACACACCAUGUUUAUAAUAUACUAUGACCCAUAGCAUGGCCGGCCACUAGCUCAAAUUUUGGGUAAUUUGACAUGCAAACCCAUCAUUUCUAUAACAUGCAUUAAUAGGCCACUUUACAUUUGCCUAGCACAUUUCUAAAUUUUCUCACAUAAGUCCUAUUUACUAAAAUUCACCUACAAUUAACAAAAUUCAAAUAUGAAAUUUUCACACAUGCAUAUAUACAUAUAAUAAGCAUCAAAUAUGACAGUUAAUUAUUUUUAUGACUCGGUUUUGUGGUCCCGAAACCACUUCCCGACUAGGGUCACAUUAGGGCUGUCACACCACCCGUUCUGAAAGUUUGAUUUUCUUCUGGUGAACUCGACAUCCUUUUAUUUACGUUUGAAGUUUUGGGUUUUUAAAUGUAAUAAGGCCGCUUAAUUAUUUUUGAUGGUUUUAAUAUGUAUUACUAAGAUAGGUAUUACUUAUUUUAACUGUUGAAAUUGGAUAGCUUUAGGGCGCAUUUUCAAAAACAACAAUUGAUUUCAAAAUAACACGACAACAAGCAAAGCUUCCGCAAUGAAAGUAUUUUCCAAAAUUAAUCACUUUUCCUAAAAAUGACUUAAUCAAAUCGGUUUCCUAGAAAUAUCCAUGACGUUAAGGUGUGGCAAUGGCGGUAUGCAUGUCUAGGAUUGGAUCCGAAGGGAGCUUGGUACUUAAGCAGUCUGAUGGACUCACCACCUCUUUUCCGGUUUCCUACCUGGUGCACAGCUUCCAUUCACUUUAACCUAUAAUGAAAUUAUAUUUUAAAACACUAAGUAAGUUUUUCUGGAUCAACAAUAUAAAAUGUUUUGAACGCUUCGAUGUGGCAUGUCGGAUCCGGUCAUAACGUCUGGGCCGGGUUUGGGGUGUUACAAAGCAUUUAUUUCAAAACUCGUAUUGUGAUUUAAAAGAAUAUUCUGUUAUUUAGGUUAAAUGAGAAAAAUCGAAACCCAGUAAGUUAGGGCACGAUUGUCUUGAAUUUCUAAAUACGGAAUAUUGCUUUUAUGAAAGAAUUAUUUUAAUGUAUCGAGUAAAAAUAUGACGUGAUUUAUAGUGAAACAUAAAAGCAAAUUAUGGUACUAAUACGUAUAAUAAAAUAAUAAUAGGUACAACAAUGCCGACAAUAAUAUGAGCAAUUAUAUGAAAAUGAAAUAUAUAUAUAUAAGGCUAUAAUAUAAAAAUAGAAACAAAUAAACAAGUAACAAGAAUUACUAAAAAAGAAUUUAAACAAAUAAAUAAGAAAAGUGAAAUAAGCAAAUAAAUAGGUAAAUAAAUAAAAAUAUAAAAUAUGACAAAAUAAAAAUGACAAUAAUAAUGAAAACAACAAUAAUAAUAAUGCUAAUAGUAGUAAUAGUAAUAGUAAAAAGUAAUAAUAAUAAUAAUAGUAAUGGCAAUAAUAGUAAUAAUAUGCUAAAUAAUAAUAAGAAAAAACAAUAGUAAUAGUAAUUACAAAAGUGAUAAUAAUAAAAUAGGAUGAUAAUAAUAAUACUAAUGAAACUAAAAAUAGUAGUAAUAGUAAUAAUAAUAAGACCGUAAUAAAAAGAAAAAGAAAUAAUAACAUAUAAAUGGUAAUAAUAAUAUAUUAAUAAGAAAAUAAAAAUCUAAUAAUAAUAAUAAUAGAAAUGGAAUAAAACAUAUAAUGAUAAUAGUGGUGGUAAUAAAAGUAAUAAUACUAAUAAUAGCAGCAAAUAUAAUAGUAAUAAUAAUAACAAUAAUAAUUUUGAUGAUAAAAUAGCAAAAAUGACUAAAAGGGAUUAAAUCGAACUUGAAACAAAAGUUUUGGGGCAAAUCCGAAGUAAAUAAGAGAGAAAAGGACUAAAUUGCAUACAAAAACAACCAGGAGGGACUAAAAUGGGCAAUAACCCCUCCCUUCAAAACACGCAGCAUCAGGAUGGGCCCAAUUGAAAACAAAACAACAUUUUGGGGAAAAAUUAAAAGAGUGAAAACAUGAUUGCAAAACACAAAAACAAAGGAAGGGCUAAAUGCACAAAUAUCCUUUUUGUAGAAAACACGCGGAUCCUGGAAGCGGGUCGGGUCAGUGCACGGGUUAUGAGGCAAAACGACGUCGUUUUGGGUGUUUAAGGCCAGCCCCAAAACGACGUCGUUUUGAGGGCCUAUAAAAGAUAUAUAUAUUUUUAAAAUUUUCAUUUUUUCAUUUGUUAACAAAAAACUUCCCUCCCCUCCCUUUUUUAUCUCUCUGCAGGGGUUGAGUAUCUGGCAAGGUCUCUGACUGGUCUCCACCGUGGCCCGCUGCCGGUGCCGCCGUCAGCCACCGUACGCGGUGGCCGAAAAUUCAAAAAGGUAUAUUUUUUAUUUUCUUUUAUAUUAAUAUAUGUAUAUGGACUAUUUUUAAAAGGAAAAUAACGAAAAUAUAGGCAUGUACAUAUAUAAUCGAAAGAGGAAAAUAAAUUGAGAAGAAAAACGAAAAUAAAGACCUUAGCACGUUUUUGACUUUUCUUUUCUCUUCGAUCUACUUGCCAUUUAUUAUUUUGGUAUGCUUGAAUCCUUUGUAUUUUAGUAAGAAAAAAAAUCCCCUUUUACAAAUGAUUUUUAGGCUUUUAUAUAGCCAAUUUUACAAUAUUAUUUCUAUUUUUUUCACUGUUCUUGCAUCUGAUUCUGUCUUUUCUUUGCAGGAGCAGUUGGGUGGUGGAGUAGGUGGCUGCCAGUGGGCUGGUCAGAGGAGGCAGCACUAGGGGCGGCAGCCACUUGGAUUAGGGGGCUAAGGUUAGGUUUUCUUUUUCUUUUUCUGAAAAUUUUGUGGUGUUGGGCUUAUAGUUUGUUAGGUUUUUUUCCUGAGAGUGACCCCUUUUUUGGUGAGAGUGACCCUGAGAGUGACCCUUUUUUACACUUCGGUUGACAUUGCUCGUUAUUCAUCGAGGUUGCGUCACCGGCGUAAUAUUUUGUUUUUUUGUGCAACUGAUAUCUUCUAACAAAGAAUCUGGAGAGAUAGCCACAAUUUUAAACUCGUCUUUCUCAAAUAUUUCCAACACUUAGACUUGGCGAGUUCUAAAUAAUUAUCCUGUUUCAGAUUCCUAUACUAUUUAGAAGCUUCCAGAGUAAUAUGCAAAACUUCUUUUAUGAAAGUAUUAUUGGUCCAUUAAUCGUUAUUUCAAUGCAAAAUGCUUGAAAAAGAUCAUAACAAUGAACAAUAAGGAAAUUGAUUGGAAGAAUAUCCCGAAAUGAAUAAAUUAAUCAAAUAUUGCAAAUGCAAUAAAAAGGAAAUUAACUCAAAAUGAAUAAGUUAAUCAAAUUCGGAAUGGAAAACUAGGUACCCCAGAUACCGCAGCUUGAGCUUCUCUGUACCAACUUCUUGAGGACCCUUCUGAGCUCAAUAUGUGUUUAAGGGAUUCAGAGUACUUUGUCGAUGCCCCAAGAUGUAGCAUACUUCUUUAUUCUUAAUUCAGGCAUAGCAAGACUGUUGUAUGCCCCACUUUGGUCCAAAUUUGAGCUGCCCUUUUUGGGUUUUCGACUCAAAUCCCCUUUGGUCUCAAAGCGCCCUUUGCUGGUUUUCGCCUUGUGCUCUCAUUUUUUCCUUUUUUCUUUUUCUCUUUUUUUUUUGGUCUCGAGGCGUCCUUUGCAAGUCUUGGCCUCUCCCCUUUUAGGUAGAAUACUCCUUGAUUGGAUUUGAAUUCACCGAUUUGGGCAAAUCUUUGCCAUCCAUUUCGGUCAAUAUCAAUGCCCUUCCAGAACAGACCUUCUUUACUACAUAAGGUCCUUCUCAGUUUGGCAUCCAUUUUUCUCUGAAUUCCUUUGUAUAGGAAGAAUCUUCUUCAAUAUCAAGUUCCCCUCGUGGAAUUCUCUAAGAUAAACCUUUUUAUAGUAAGCUCGCAUAAGUCAUUUCUGGUGCAUUGGACCUUGACAGAUAGCUUUCGACCCUCUCUCUUCAAACUCAAUUGAUCCUAUCAGGAUUGGAUCCAUUCUGCCUUAUCCAACUUCAGCUCUAACAAGACUCAGAAAAAAUGAAUCUUGUCUUCAAAAUCGAUUCUAUCCUAUAAACCCAUGAGCAAUGUGUUGCCCCGGCUAAGGUCCUGGGCGACGUUUGAUAAUGAUAGAGGGUAAAAGAGUUACUUUUUCAUGCCAAUCUUUAUAAGUCUCGAUUAUCUUCCACGAUCCUUUUUUGUUUUUUUUUUUACUUUUUUUUGUUUUUUUCUUCUCUUUUUGUGUGUGUGUGUGUGUUUUUUUUUGAAUUUGAUAACUAUCGAACUUGUAAUAUCAACAUAUGAAGCUACCUUCACCCUCUUAGUGAAGUAAUCAACAACCACAUAGAUGAAUCGGUGUUGGCCUGAAGCUUUUGACAAGAUUAAUCCCUUAACAUCCAUGCCCCACAUAUAUGUAGAAAAAUCUGUGAAAAAAAUGGAGGAGGCACAUAAGUCUUGUCUUCCUCAAUCCAGCAUUUAUGGUAUAACUGAUGCAAUCCCCUUCCAUGGUGGACCAGCAGUACCCGAACCUCAUCAUUAGCCUGGCUAACGUAAAACCAGUAGCACGUGUUCUUUAGACACCAUUAUGGACCUCUUCUAAGAUUUCCCUAGCCUUGAUAGCAUCCAUAUGUCCUAAUAACCUGGGCAUAUCUUGAUACAAUCAUGUGAAAACAUCUUGGAAUUCUCAAUGACAUCUCGCUUUGUUUUUUUAUAAUGAUGCAUACUCCAAUGUUUGCCUCUUUCUUUUGUCCUAAGCUUACUUUCCACUGACUCUUUGUAAGGUAGGAUCUGUUUUCAUCUUGUUCUACCAUUCUUAACAAAUCAAGAGAUAUGUUAUAAACUUUGUCAUCUUCAAAGUCCUGAGAUCCCUCUAGACACACGCCUCGCUCAAAAGGAAAUUCUGGGUCAGUAGUAGCGUCUCUCAUGUUGUUGAUAUUUGGGUACCUAUUAUAGGUACGAAGGAAGAUUUCAAAGAAUAAAUGAAUCUAAGAACAUGAAUGUAGAAUAAGAAUAUUUGAAAGAGAGUCCAAAGAACAAUAGAAUCUAAGAACAAUUAUUUGUACAGUAUGAAAUGAAAUAAAAGAAUAUUUGCUCAAAAAAGAUGCAUUUUAUUGAAAUAAAGACUUAGGACACAAGCCCAUUUCACAAAAGGAUUUUUAUUACUUCUAGGCUUAAAGAAACAAGCGUGUUUUGAAUAUUACUCUAGAUUAGCUCUAAAAAUAGAGAGAUCUCUUCCACAGUCCCAUUGUUCAAAACACUUCCCGACUUAUUAGGGCGAAUGCCUGAUCAGUUCUAUUUUUCAAUUCCUUCUUUGGAUAUGGCAUUGAUACUUCAAUUUCCAAACAUUCCUUCUAGGCCUUUGACCUCUUCAAAGAAUUCCAACUCUUUUGAUUAAUGUAAUGCAUGUGAUGAAAUGCAAUGCAAAUGCAUGGGAUGAAUGCAAAAAAGAAAGAGAGGCAUUGAUUCUGGAUUCAAUUCCAUUAGAACAACUUUUCUAGAAAAUAAAUUUCUUUACAUAAAACGGAUUACAUAUGCGGUCUUGCCCUCAUAUUCCAAGCGAAGACACCGAUCCUUUUCAUAUCCGGAUGUUAUGGUUGAAUCUUGUGGAUUUUCCAAAAGAUGUCCCUAUUAUCUCAUUUCCACUUGAUUUAGACUGCGGCCCAUUGCUCACUUAUCCCCGCGAUGCUCGUUAACUUCUUUAAGACAUGGCAGCUCUCGAAUAAUCUUUAUUGGCUUAAAUCCUCAAGCGAUGAAGUAAAGUCGUAUAUUCCUUCAUUAAUUAUCAGCCUUCUCUUGUUGUUUACUCGGACCAUAUUCAGACGACCGUAUUAUAUUCCACUCUAUCAAAAAAUUCAUUUUCUUAUGAAAAACUAUUCUAUUUAGCAAUCAAAUAUGAAUCAACACCUCCUUUCUAUGAUGAUGUAAUGCAAUGCAGUUAAAACAAAACAAAACACGUUAGUACAUGAGAAAUAAACAAAAUAGAGUACCUACCUGGAUGAUUACUAGGGGUUCGGAGUGGCUCUACCUAGGGUGGGCUCCUAGGUCUCUCUACAUGUGGCUCGAUUCUAGAGUAAGGGUACCUGAACCAGCAGAUUCCUCGAUUCUCACCCAUUAUAGGCUCAUAUGGAUCGAGUUCGGUUCAGGGGAAUACAUUUCCCUAUGACCAUCGGAGAUGAAAAUCUCACGAAAUCAUAGGUACGGAUGUAUCCCGGAAGCAAUUGACUAGCCCAUGCGGAGGUGAACACCUCACGAAGGCAUAGCUUCUCACUCUCACUUAAAAGGGUAAGAUCGACCGAUCAUGCAAUGCAAUAUGCAGAAAGAUACCUAAACUCAAACUAACACAAUGAUUAUAAACCGCAAUGAUAAGGAUCGUAACAAUGAUGAAUAAAAAUGCAACGAAAGGAUCUCUUAUGAUGGAAAUGCAAUGUGAUCAAAGCAAAAUCAAACGCACUAACACAAAAUGAAAACAGAAUAGAGCACCUAUCCGGGUAACAACUAGGAUUUGGUGUGCCUCUACUUAGGGUGAGCUCCUAGGGCUCUCUAUAUGCGGCUCGGUUCUAAAGCAAAAGGUACCCAAACCUGCAGAUUCCUCGAUCCUCACCCAUCAUAGGCUCAUAUAGACCGAGUUCAGUUCAGGGGAAUACAUUUCCUUUUGGCUGCACAGAAAUGAAAAUCUCACGAAGACAUAGGUACAUAUGUAUCCUGAAAGCGAUCCACUAUCCUACACGGAGGUGAAGACCUCACAAAGGAAUAGUUUCUCACUCCCACUUAAAAGGGUGUAACCGCGCGGUCAUGCAAUGCAAUGUGCAGGGAUAUACAAAAAGCUCGAAGCAAAUAAAGAAAAUAUGAAUAAAAUGAUGAAAAUCGUAACACCAACGAAUGAAAAUGGAUGAAAUGCAAUUAAAGGAUCGUAUAUCAAAACCAAAUUUUUAAUUUUCGACAAAAAGACAAAAGUUAAUCAACUUGUGGCUUGACUCUUUUAUUUGCGUCCCCAGCGGAGUCGCCAAGCUGUCGAAACCAUUUUUUUGAAAAACGGGGUCGACUUUGGUUUUGAAAAUGAAAACGAACAGAGAAGUCGCCACCAAUCUGUUUUGAUGAGGUGUGAUUGGGUCACCUCGUAAAAGUGGUUGUUUUUAAUAAACGGUUUUGGUCCACGCAAAUCAAGAAAAUAGGUUCGGGAGUCGGUUACGCAUGAGGAAGGAUUAGCACCCUCGAUACGCUCAAAAUUGGUACCUAGUUGAUUAAUUAUUGUCUUAGUGUCGAAGAUUUGAAAACUUGAAAGAAUUUAAAUACGAUCCCUCUUUGUAUUAAUGCUAAUUUAAAACUGAUCAAAUAAAUUGAAAUAGAUGUUAAAGACCUUCUCAUCUUGAAGUAAUAAAUUGUCACACCCAGUAAGUUAGGACACGACAUCUCGAACUUUGAGAAUGAGCUUGCCUUUAUUUAAAAUUCAUGUAUUUUAACUUUUUAAAAGAAUGUUUGGUUAUUUAGGGUAAACGAGAAAAACCAAAACCAAGUAAGUUAGGGCACGUUUUCUCAAAUUUCUAAAUACCGAAUAUUGCCUUUAUUUGCAAAAAUUCUUAUCUCGAGGUAAUAAGAUGUCAUAUUCAGUAAGUUAGGACACAACACCUAGUAUCUCCGAGAGUAAGCAUUUAUUUCAAAACUCGUAUUGUGAUUUAAAAUAAUAUUCCGUUAUUUAGGUUAAAUGAGAAAAAUCGAAACCUAAUAAGUUAGGGCACGAUUGUCUCGAAUUUUCAAAAUAAGGAAUAUUGCUUUUAUAAAAGAAUUAUUUUAAUGUAUCGAAUAAAAAUAUGACGUGAUUUAUAGUGAAACAUAAAAGCAAAUUAUGGUACUAAUAUGUAUAAUAAAAUAAUAAUAGGUGCGACAAUGCCGACGGUAAUAUGAGCAAUUAUAUGAAAAUAAAAUAUAUAUAUAUAUAUAUAUAUAUAUAUAUAUAUAAGGCUAUAAUAUAAAAAUAGAAACAAAUAAACAAGUAACAGGAAUUACUAAAAAAGAAUUUAAACAAAUAAAUAAGAAAAGUGAAAUAAGCAAAUAAAUAGGUAAAUAAAUAAAAAUAUAAAAUAUGACAAAAUAAAAAUGACAAUAAUAAUGAAAAUAGUAAUAAUAAUAAUACUAAUAGUAAUAAUAAUAAUAAUAAUAAUAAUGGCAAUAAUAGUAAUAAUAUGCUAAAUAAUAAUGAGAAAAAACAAUAGCAAUAGUAAUUACAAAAGUGAUAAUAAUAAAAUAGGAUGAUAAUAAUAAUACUAAUAAUAAUAAUUGUCGAAACCAUUUUUUAAAGGGUUUGAAACACGGGGUUCGACUUUUUGAAAAAUGAAAAUGGGAGUCGCCACCAAUCUUUUUAGGUGUGAUUGGAUCACCUUUAUAAAACAUUUUGGUCUACGAAAUGCAAGAAAACAGGUUCGGGAGUCGGUUACGCACAAGGAAGGAUUAGCACCCUCGUAACGCCCAAAAUUGGUACCAAAUUGAUUAUUUAUUGUUCUAAUGUCAAAAAUUUGAAAAGAUUUUAAAACUUGAAUAAUUUAAAGUUGAAACUUGAGAUUCCUUUGUUCCGAAAGUAUACAAACAUCGCAUCCAGCAUGUUAGGACACGAUGUUUUAAAUCCUCGUAACUAAAAUUAUCUCAUGAUUUUGAAAAUUUAUUAAAAGGAUAUUUGGUUAUUUUAGUCAAACGAAAAAAUCGCAACCCAGCAUGUUAGGGCACUAUUUUCCAAAUUUUUAAACACCAAACAUUGCCUUAUUUAAGAAAAAACUUUUUCACUUAAAUGAAAUAUAUUUUUUAAAACAAUGAAUAAUAUAGAAUUUAAUAAAAAAAUUUGAUAUAAUACUAAAAUUAUUAAAAAAUAAAAUAUAAAAGAGAAUUAAAAAAAUCAAGGAGAUAGGGAUUAAAUAAAAAAAAGGUUGAAAACGAAGAUGAACAAAGAAUACAUAAGAACAAACCGUAGAAAAUAAGAACACAAGAGGGAGAGAAAUUUAAGUGAAUGCUCUCAAGAAUUCUUAUUGCUUCCCAAAACUCAAUUGAAGUCAAGUUCUUUUACAAUGAGGGGAGAGGCCUCUAUUUAUAGUUGAGCCUCCCCAAAUCCAACGGUAUAGAUCAAUUACAUCAACGGUUAAGAUUAAAGGAUAUCUACAAAUUAAAUCUCCAAGAUUACAAAAUCAUAUCUUUUAAGAUUGUAUAUCAUAUCUAAGAUUGCAAUCAUAUCUAAGAUUGUAUCAUAUCUAAGAUUGCAAUCAUAUCUAAGAUUAUAUCAUAUCUAAGAUUGCAAUCAUAUCUAAGAUUGUAUCAUAUCUAAGAUUGCAUAUCACAUCUAAGAUUGCACAUCAUUGAAGAUUAUAUUUCCAUAUGAGUCAAACUUGUAGAUGGACCUUAAAUCUUUUCAAGUAAUGGGCCAUUCCGAUCGGGCCAAAUUAUAUUUGUAAUUCUGGACUGAACUUGGACUUUGUUUUUUUUUGGGGGGUUUAUUAUUUUUGUUUUUGGACUUAUUUCUGGGCCCGGGCAAAAUUGAGUGUCUACAGCUGCCCCUCUUUGCUCAUUGCUGUGUAACAGGAAUAGAGCAAAGACUAUAAAAAGACCAAUUUUGCCCGGUCUUGCCGAGUCUUGACUUCUUGAUGUUCUUUAAAUGGCCUCUUGACGGCUUCAAUCUGCUUCUUGCAAACUUAUAACUGUCAUGUUGGUAUCUUCGAUCUUCUCUCCAUCGAACACAGAGACGCCAAAUCUGCUUCUUCAAUUUGUUCCCUGACAAUACAGAGAUGCCAAAUCAUCUUAGAUUUGCUUCAGCGUAAACACGCGAAAGCUAAAUCAGCUAUGUCUUCGAUUUGUUCCUUGUAAGCACAAGGAUACUAAACCAUCUUGGAUCUACUUCAGUCUAAUCAUCUGAAGGUUAGAUCUGCUCUAUGUCUGUCCUCCGUCGAAUAUGGAGACGCUAAACUUUGAUUUGUUCUCUGACAAUACAGAGAUGCCAAAUCAUCUUAGACUUGCUUCAAUGUAAACACGUGAAAGCCAAAUCAGCUAUGUCUUCGAUUUGUUCCUUGUAAGCACAAGGAUGCCAAACCAUCUUGGAUCUUGCUUCAGUAUAAACAUCUGAAGGCCAGAUUUGCUAUGUGUCUGCCCUCCGUCGAAUAUGGAGACGCAAAACUUCGAUUUGUUCUCUGACAAUACAGAGAUGCCGAAUCAUCUUAGACUUGCUUCAACGUAAACACGUGAAAGCCAAAUCAGCUAUGUCUUCGAUUUUUUCCUUGUAAGCACAAGGAUGCCAAACCACUUGGAUCUUUCUUCAGUAUAAACAUCUGAAGGCCAGAUCUGCUAUGUGUCUGCCCUCCGUCGAAUAUGGAGACGCCAAACUUCAAUUUGUUCUCUAACAAUAUAGAGAUGCCAAAUCAUCUUAGACUUGCUUCAACGUAAACACGUGAAAGCCAAAUCAGCUAUGUCUUCGAUUUGUUCAUUGUAAGCACAAGGAUGCCAAACCAUCUUGGAUCUUGCUUAAGUAUAAACAUCUGAAGACUAGAUUUGCUAUGUGUCUGCCCUCCGUCGAAUAUGGAGACGCCAAACUUCGAUUUGUUCUCUGACAAUACAUAGAUGCCAAAUCAUUUUAGAUUUGCUUCAUCAUAAGCACGUGAAAGCCAAAUCAGCUAUGUCUUCGAUCUGCUCUCCGUCGAAUAUGAAGAUGCCAAAUCUGUUUCUUCGAUUUAUUCUCUGACAAUACAGAGACGCCAAAUCAUCUUGGAUCUGCUUCAGCGUGAACACUUGAAGGCCAGAUCUGCUAUACUUUAACCUGUUACCCUACUGCUUAGGGGGUUAAGGCGCAUCUUCGAUCUGCUCCACUGCUGUUUAGGGAGAUAAGAUCCGUAAUUUUGACCUGUUACCCUACUGCUUAAGGGAUUAAGGCGAGUCGUCGUUGAUCUGUUCCACUAUUGCUUAGGGAGAUAAGAUCUGUGAACCUGUUACCCUACUGCUUAGGGGAUGAAGGCGCUGAAUUUUGUAAUUUUCAAUCAAUCUUACUACAUUGUCCACUGGGGAAUCCACUUGUAGAAUUGAUUUCUUGGAAUUUAUGCUUAUGCCAAAUAAUUAAGAUGCCAUGCUCCUAAUUAGACAUAUUAUGAUGCAAAAUAUUUAUGAAAAUAACUCCUAUUUCGGACGUCAUCACUUAUUCAUCUAUCGAGCUUUCCACCUCGUUCUUCUCGACAUAUCAAUCAUACUCUGCUCGUAUGCCUCGAAUCUUCUCCAUCAAUUUGGUCUACCGUACCAUUCUCCGAAUGUUACGACCCACUGAAGAUGUUUAUGAAAUGAUCCUUUCUUAAGAUCAAUAUUGCUUAAAACGCCCAACCACCUUUUGGACUGAAGAAGAAAAUCUCUCGAGUAUCUCCAACCCAUACAUAUGAGAAUUCCUUAAACAAUUGUCUUGUUUCAGUUUCUUGUAUUAUCUACAAAUUUCCAGAGUAAUAUGCAAAACUUCAUUUGUGAAGAUAUUUUAGUUCAUCUAUCAUUAUUUCAAUGCAACAUGCUUUAUGAAUAAUGGGAGACAAAUAAAUGGAUCCUGAGGAUAUUUAGAUUUGGACAAAUUAUUGGAAGGAAUGCGAAAAGAUUAACCUGAGAACAUAUCUUUGCAAAGAAAAAGAAUUCAAAGAUAGUAAAUAGGAUAGAAAUCAGAUGCCCCAGAUAUCGCUGCUUGAGCGUCUAUACACCAGCUCCAUGAAGACUUUUUUGAGUUCAACAUGUGUUUAAAAGAUCCAAAGUAAUUCGUUGAUGCCUCGAUAUGUAACAUACUUCACUUCUCGUCGAAUCCAGUAUAGCAAGGUCACUGCAUGACUUUCCAAAUUUGAGCUGCCCUUUCGGGUUUUCAACUCAAAACCCCUUUGGUCUCAAGGCGUCCUUUGAGGGUUUUCACCUUGGCCUCUCCAUUUUUCUUUUUUUCUUUUUUCUUUUUUCUUUUUUAUUUUUUUAUUUUUUUUAUUUUUUUCUUCUUCUUUUUUUUUUCUUUUUUUUUGAAAUAGAAGUCCCAAAGUGCCCUUUGCGGGUUUUCACCUUGGCUUCCCUUCUCCUUCAGACAAAGUACUCCUUGACCGAAUCCGAAUUCACUAGAUCAGAUAAAUUUUUCCUAUCCAUUUCUUGUCAAAAUUAGUGCACCUCUAGAGAAAGCCCUCUUCGCAAUAUAUGGCCCUUCCCAAUUUAACAUCCUUUUGCAUGGGAAGGAUCUCUUUCAGUACAAGGUUUCCUUUAUGAAAUUCUUUUAGACGAACCUUCUUUGUCAUAAGUCUGUGUCAUCCAUUCUUGUUACAUUUUCUUAGGAUGAAUACUUUCAAGUUAAGUUUACUAGAGGUAUUCAAUUCUUGACUCCAUCAAAGCUUGGAGGAAAAAUCUUGAUUCAUAAACCCAUGAAAGGGAUUGCCCUAGCAACAGUCCUGGCUGUUGUCUGUCAAACCCUACAAAAAGAUGGUUCAAUGAUUAUCAAUAUACAAGAAUGAAGUUGCUGACUUUAUCCUUCAACCUGGAAAGCUGAGAUAUAGAGAUUACUCCUGGAGCAUACAUCCCACCAUGACUCGAUAAUAUUUCUGAAGCAUCCCUAAUCUUCAUAAAUUGCCCCCAAUUGUGAAGCUGCCAAAUGAGUGUCGCAAAUAGGAGCCACAAAAAAUAUGGUUGUGGUGCUCUUUUGAUACAUAUAGGAUAGAAAAUGAACAGACUCUUGCAGAUCAUCAGCCAAAAACCCAGCCUGGUCUAAGAGAACAUGAUAGUGGGUCUGCCUCGUGAUUCCAAUCAUUCCAGCAUGGGUACCAAGGUAAAAAUAAUUGUUCUUUGGAUGGCAUACUUUGUUGUCAAUGACAGUACCGUAUAGCACAUUGUCAGGAGAUUUUUGCUGAAAAAAAAACUUGGUAUGAUGGUUUUUCGUACAACAAUAACCACAAUCUUUAGGGUUCCACUUCUCGUCAAGGAACUUGCAAGCCUCAAUAACUUGAUCAAAACUUGAUUGAAUUGAGACUCGCUAACCCCAUCCUUGAAAAUAAUGAUUUGAUCAGGUUUCCUCUUCCCUGAACUUGUAUAGAAGUCUAAGAGAGCUUCCUUCAUGAUACCGUCAUCCACUUUGUUAGAAACUAGUUUUGAAGAAAGAAUCUAUCAUUUUAAGCUUCAGAGACUGCGUACGGCCUGAUGCCUCAUAGCUGGAAAUCAAUGGCCACUGCCUGGAGCUAACCAUCGCAGCUAUUAACGGCACAUCAGACUGCUCAGGAAAGCCAAACAAUGCACCCAUUCCAAGGAUGAUGGUUGGAACCUUUGAAACAACUGGAAUUGAAGUUGUUUGCCCCAGCGUAAGCAUAGAGGGUAGGCAGUAGUUUCUUAUGCCAAUUUUUACCAGUCUCGGCCAUUUUCUAUAAUUUGUUUUUUUCUUUUUCUUUUCUUUUGGCAACCUUUGUUGUACUGUGGUAUGACGCAUUAUCUUUGAAAAGACUGCAAACUUUUGGCAUUGUGCAGUUAUAUAUAAUCUUUUUAUUUUUUUCUUUUUUUUUGAAAUGGAUGACUUUUGACUUUGUAAUAUUGGCAUAUGAAGCUAUCUCCCCUCCUAAUGGAGCAGUUGACGUCCACAAAUAUGAGGCAUUGUCAGCUUGAAACUUUUGAUGAGCUCGGGCCCAUAACAUACAUGCCCCAUAAGUCUUAACUCCCUUAAAUUUGGCAUUCAUUGUACAACUGAUGUGAUCCCUUUUCAUGGUGGACCAACAGUGCCCCAAAACCUCAUGUUUAUUCUGGCAAUUGCAAACCCUCCUGCAUGUGUUUUUGGACCACAUUUUUGAAUUCCCAUAAUAGUCUCAACAAGGUCUUGUCUUGUCUCCUCAGCUAAUUCCAAUUUCACAAUCUUUCCUUCCUCUAAGGUUAUAUUUCCUACCACCACUUCAUGGGGUAAAAACCAUUUUCAACAAAUUCAAAAACAAGUCACAAUUUCUGUCACCUUUAAAGUACUGAGAUUCCUCUAAACACAUAUCACACUCAAAAGGAACUCUGAAUCUGUAGUAUCGUUGCCCGUGCCAUUGAUAUCUAGGGAUCAAUGAUAGGCACACAAAAGAAUAUACAAGGAAUGAAUUCAAAAAUGACAUUUACAUGAAAUAAAAAUUUAUAAAGAAUGUCAAAGGUCAAUAGAAUCAGAAUGAAAGAAUAUUUACUCAGAUAAAUAAAAGUAUGUUUUAUUGAAAAUAAAAAUGUCUGAACAUGAGCCCACUUCUCAAAAGAAAUCUCAUUACUCCUAGGCUUUAGAGCAACAAGAGUGUUUUGAAUAUUACUCCGUAAAAUUCCUAAAGAUUAUAGGAAGUUCUUCUGCAGUCCAAUUGUUUAAAUAAAUUCCCGGUUCGUAAGGGCGAAUGCCCUCAAGGUUUCUUUGUUCAGUCCCUUCCUCAUUGAUGAUUUUCAUUUCCAAACACCCCCUUCUCCGGGUAAGCUAUCCCUCCUGACACAAAAGUCGAGGAUAUGUAAGGGAACAUCGUUAAUUCCCAUUCAACUUCUUUUUCACUCAGUCGUGACCCUCUUCUCUCUCUCUCUUUUUCUUUCUCUUUUUAAUAACUUUAACUAAUUAGGGUCUUUUUAUGGAUUUAAAUGCAUUUGACGUGAUGCAAUGCAAAUGCAUGAAUGCAAAAGAAAAGGAGAUGUUGAUCUUGAAUUCAAUUCCAUUAGAAUAACUUUUCUAGAAAACAAAUUUCUUUACAUGAAAAUAGAUUACAUAUGCGAUAUUGCCCUUCAUAGUCCAAGUAAACGCUGAUCUUUUCUUCAUGGUCGAAUCUUGUAAAUUCUCUAAAAGAUGCCUUUGCAAGCUCCUUGCUGCUUAAUCUGAGCCUCGAUCUCUUGCUCGCUUAUCUCCAUGAUACUCAUCAAAAAGUGCCGGCUCUUGGAUAAUCUUCGUUGGCAAUUAAAUCAAGUCAUGUAUUCCUUCGUGGACUUCCGGCUUUCUCUCGUCAUGCUCUUGGAUAACCUUUGUUGGCUUGAAUCUCUGGCAAUUACAUCAUGUAUUCCUCCGUGGACUACCAGCUUUCUCUCAUCGUGUUUACUUGGACUAUAUUCAGACAACCGCACUAUAAUCUACUUUAUCAAGAAAUUUGUUUCCUUAUGACAAACUAUUCUAUUUAGGAAUCGAAUUUCAAAUCAACACCUUCUUUUCUUUGAUGUAAUGUAAUGCAAAUGCAUGAAUACAAAAAGGUAUCGAUAUCGAUUCAGUUUCAUUUUAGAAAAUGUUAUUUAAGGAACAAAAGUCUUUUCAUAAAACGGAUUACAAAUACGCUUUCGCUCGUAGGCCUAGGGUCUUAACCCUAUCUAAUAACAAAGCUAACUCUUGACCUCUAUCUGAACUGUAGCACAUAUUGGUGCUCAAUGUGCUUGCACUUUCUACCAGUAUCUAUAAAUGAUCAGCUAUCUCUUGAAUUUGAAUUAUGGCUUCACCUAUGAAGUAAGCUCUACAGCCAAAGACACCUCCUCCAAUGUUUGUGAAGUUGCUCUGAUUACCUUGAAAGAAAGAUUAGCGAACAAGUAGGCAUUCCAGCUUCGCAGCAUACUGCUUUAAAAUGAUAUCAAACAUCCUCAGUGCUUCUUGAGAGUCUUUAAAAUUUUGCCUCCACAGAAUAUUUUGAAUUGCUUGUAUGAGUAUCUUCGCAGCAUAGCUAAUCUCCACUUUAAAGGUCUUUAAACGAUACGAUCUUCUUUAAUCUCUUUCUUUCAUGCUCAUUUGGGUUGUCCCGGUCAUCAGGGCUUGUAUUUCCAUUAUUUCUGAUAAGUACAACAUCCUAAAGUACCACAGUAAAUUCCAGCUUGUUGUUUGGUAGCGGUCCUAUAGUAAGUGAGCCUUUCUACCAUCAUAAGCAAAAUUCUUUCCAUCCAAUUCAAUUUUGUAGGUCUUAAACCCUUACCAUCCACGAGGUGACUAUCUUCAUCUGUAAUGGUAGAAGUGUCCAUCAGUACUCCCCACGCUCACCUUGAAUUGUUCAUCUAUCUUCAUGUCAAGCAAAUACUGCAAUUCCCCAUAACUGUUGUAGAACAACUGAUUGGCUUCGUUACUCCAUUAAUCCCAUAUUUCCUUUAACUCUUGGAGGUUAUUUUGCAUCACACUAAUGAGAGUGUAGCCCCAUAAUUCUGAUGUGUGUCCUUCGAUGACACUAUUUCCUUUUUCUAUCUGGGUUUUCUCUGACCAAGCACAAACGAAAGAGUUUUCCUCCACUUUAUUAAGAUAUUCGUUCCCCAUUACAAAACUUACUAACUCAGAAAUCGAACCUUGAAUCGAUACCUUUUAAUGAUAAAUGAUAUGCAAUGAUAGCAAAAUAAGAAAAACAAGUCAGUGUCACAUAUAUAAAAAAAAUAUAAUAAAUAAGAACUUAUAAAGGUAGGCACUAAAGGUCAUCAUCAUACUACCUGGGGUAAGCACUUAAAGUUCACUAUAUGUAGUUCGGUUCUAAAGCAAGGGUACCUGAACCAGCAGAUUCCUCGAUCUUCACCAAUUAUAGGCUCAUAUGGACCAAGUUUGGUUCAGGGGGACACAUUUCCCUAUGGUCAUGCGGAGAUGAAAAUCUCACAAAGACAUAGGUACGGAUGUAUCCCGGAAGCAAUCCACUAGCCCAUGCGGAGGUGAAAACCUCACGAAAACAUAGCUUCUCACUCCCACUUAAGGGUGUGACCACAACGGUCAUGCAAAUGCAAUGUGUACGUAAACAAUAACAAACAUAUGCAACUAACACAUGUAAAAAUGACAUAUUUUAAAAAUUUUCCAAAUUUCCCACAUUAAGUUAGAAAAUAAUCAAUUUUUGGCUUGACUCUCUUAUAGGUCCCCAGUGGAGUCGCCAAGCUGUCGAAACCAUUUUUCAAAGGGUUUGAAAAACGGGGUUCGACUUUUUAAAAAAUGAAAAUGGGAGUCGCCACCAACAUUUUUUGGUGUGAUUGGAUCACCUUUAUAAAACAUUUUGGUCUACGAAAUGCAAGAAAAUAGGUUCGGGAGUCGGUUACGCACAAGGAAGGAUUAGCACCCUCGUAACGCCCAAAAUUGGUACCGAAUUGAUUAUUUAUUGUCCUAAUGUCAAAAAUUUGAAAAGAUUUUAAAACUUGAAUAAUUUAAAGUUGAAACUUGAGAUUCCUUUGUUCCGAAAGUAUACAAACAUCACAUCCAGCAUGUUAGGACACGAUGUUUUAAAUCCUCGUAACUAAAAUUAUCUCAUGAUUUUGAAAAUUUAUUAAAAGGAUAUUUGGUUAUUUUAGUCAAAUGAAAAAAUCGCAACCCAGCAUGUUAGGACACUAUUUUCUGAAUUUCUAAACACCAAACAUUGCCUUAUUUAAGAAAAAACUUUUUCAAUUAAAUGAAAUAUAUUUUUUAAAACAAUGAAUAAUAUAGAAUUUAAUAAAAAAAAUUAAUAUAAUACUAAAAUUAUUAAAAAAUAAAAUAUCAAAGAGAAUUAAAAAAAAUCAAGGAGAUAGGGAUUAAAUAAAAAAAUGUUGAAAACGAAGAUGAACAAAGAAUAAAUAAGAACAAACCGUAGAAAAUAAGAACGCAAGAGGGAGAGAAAUUUAAGAUAAUGCUCUCAAGAAUUCUUAUUGCUUCCCAAAACUCAAGUGAAGUCAAGUUAUUUUACAAUGAGGGGAGAGGCCUCUAUUUAUAGUUGAGCCUCCCCAAAUCCAACGGUAUAGAUCAAUUACAUCAACGGUUAAGAUUAAAGGAUAUCUACAAAUUAAAUCUCCAAGAUUACAAAAUCAUAUCUUUUAAGAUUGUAUAUCAUAUCUAAGAUUGCAAUCAUAUCUAAGAUUGUAUCAUAUCUAAGAUUGCAAUCAUAUCUAAGAUUAUAUCAUAUCUAAGAUUGCAAUCAUAUCUAAGAUUGUAUCAUAUCUAAGAUUGCAUAUCACAUCUAAGAUUGCAUAUCAUUGAAGAUUAUAUUUCCAUAUGAGUCAAACUUGUAGAUGGACCUUAAAUCUUUUCAAGUAAUGGGCCAUUCCGAUCGGGCCAAAUUAUAUUUGUAAUUCUGGACUGAACUUGGACUUCGUUUUUUUUGGGGGGUUUAUUAUUUUUGUUUUUGGACUUAUUUCUGGGCCCGGGCAAAAUUGAGUGUCUACAAUAAUAAUAUAUAAAUGCAAUAUGUGUAGCUUACUAUAUAAAUGGUAACAAUCAGUAUAAAUAGUAGUAAUAGUAAUAAUAAUAAGACCGUAAUAUAAAAAGAAAAAGAAAUAAUAACAUAUAAAUGGUAAUAAUAAUAUAUUAAUAAGAAAAUAAUAAUCUAAUAAUAAUAAUAGAAAUGGAAUAAAACACAUAAUGAUAAUAGUGGUGGUAAUAAAAGUAAUAAUACUAAUAAUAGCAGCAAAUAUAAUAGUAAUAAUAAUAAUAAUAAUUUUGAUGAUAAAAUAGCAAAAAUGACUAAAAGGGAUUAAAUCGAACUUGGAACAAAAGUUUUGGGGCAAAUCUGAAGUAAAUAAGAGAGAAAAAGGACUAAAUUGCAUGUGAAAACAACCAGGAGGGACUAAAAUGGGCAAUAACCCCUCCCUUCAAAACGCGCAGCAUCAGGAUGGGCCCAAUUGAAAACAAAACAACAUUUUGGGGAAAAAUUAAAAGAGUGAAAACAUGAUUGCAAAACACAAAAACAAAGGAAAGGCUAAAUGCACAAAUAUCCCUUUUGUAGAAAACACGCGGAUCCUGGAAGCGGGUCGGGUCAGUGCACGGGUCAUGAGGCAAAACAACGUCGUUUUGGGUGGUUAAGGCCAGCCCCAAAACGACGUCGUUUUGAGGGCCUAUAAAAGAUAGAUUUUUUUUUAAAAAAAAAUUCAUUUUUUCAUUUGUUAACAAAAAACUUCCCUCCCUUCCCUUUUUUUUCUCUCUACAGGGGUUGAGUAUCCGGUGAGGUCUCCGAUUGGUCUCCACCGUGGCCGCCACCGGUGCCGCCGUCGGCCACCGUGCGCGGUGGCCGAAAAUUCAAAAAGGUAUAUUUUUUAUUUUUUAUUUUCUUUUAUAUUAAUAUAUGUAUAUAGACUAUUUUUAAAAGGAAAAUAACGAGGCAUGUGCAUAUAUAAUCGAAAGAGGAAAAUAAAGUGAGAAGAAAAACGAAAAUAAAGACCUUAGCACGUUUUUGACUUUUCUUUUCUCUUCAAUCUGCUUGCCAUUUAUUAUUUUGGUAUGCUUGAAUCCUUUGUAAUUUAGUGAGAAAAAAAAUCCCCUUUUACAAAUGAUUUUUAGGCUUUUAUAUAGCCAAUUUUACAAUAUUAUUUCUAUUUUUUUCACUGUUCUUGCAUCUGAUUCUGUCUUUUCUUUGCAUGAGCAGUUGGGCGGUGGAGUAAGUGGCUGCCAAUGGGCUGGUUAGAGGCGGCAGCACUAGGGGAGGCAGCCACUUGGAUUAGGGGGCUAAGGUUAGGUUUUCUUUUUUCUUUUUCUGAAAAUUUUGUGGUGUUAGGCUUAUGGUUUGUUAGAUUUUUUUUGGGAGGGGGGCCUGAUUUUGGGUUUAGUGUUUGGGUUUGUAAUGGGUGGUAUUGGGUAUUGGGGUAGUGGGAAAAAUUUGGGCGGUACACCCAAAAAGGUAAAAAUAAAAGGUAUUUUUAUAUAACUAUAUAUGUAUGUAUAUUAUAUUCGGUGUAUAGAUUGAAAAAUCAUGAAAAUAUACCUUUGAAUAAACUAUUUUUCUUUUUGCUAUUUUGACUGAUAUCUAUUGCGUUCGUAAGUCUUUUUAUAGUAUACAAUCGGCCUCCUUUUAUAGCCAAAUAGAGGUAAAAUAUAAAUACGGACAAUCAUACAAUUAAAAAUCAUCAAUAUACUAAUUCAAUAUCAAACUUUUACAAAAAUUCCAAUUUUGUCCUUUUCCCAGUACUAAUCUUUUUUUCUUUAACUAAAUCAUCAUAUUUUCAUUUAAUCAACUCAUUAACAAUUUCAAGCUCAUAAAAAGAAUCAUCAUAAAACAUAAAUUUUGAGCUCUAUACAACUUAGUCCCUAGUUAAACCUAACUUAAAAAUUCCUUUAAUAAAUCACUUCUAACUUCAAUUUCUAUCAAUUUAACCCAUAAAACCUCAAUUUAUUCAACUAAAUCAAUAUUUAAAAAUUCUCUAUUUUUCUUCAUUUUAACCUCAUACAUGUAGAACUUUGAAUUAGGCAUCCAUAAAAAUAAAAAUCACAAGAAAAUGAGCUAAAACAACUUACCAAUCAAGCUUUAGGGCUUUAAUCCUCAAAUUUUCCCUUUUCUUUUUUUUCUUUCUUUCUCACGUUUACUCUCUGUAACUCUUUCUAUCUUUCUUUUUAUUUAUUUAUUUCAUUUCCUUUAUUCAUAAAUCUAUAUUCAAUAUAAUAAUAUUAAUAAUAUAAUAUUAUUCUAAUAAAAUAACUUAAUCUAUAAGAAAAACUACUUUAACACAUUUAAUAUUUUUACCAACUAUUACACAUGUUAUACAAUAUUAACACACACAUGUCACUUAAGGUCUAAUUGCUAGAUUAGUCCCUUUACUAAUCUUUAAUCUAUAAUUAAACUUUUAUACCUUAUGCAAUUUAGUCCUUAUUCUAAAUUCAAGCUACUUAACUUAAUCAAACAUUAAUCAACCACUCAACUAUAAUUCAUAAAUAUUUCUAAUAAAUAUUCAUGAAUUAAUUUCACAGAAACAGUACUCAAGACUCGAUUUUCGAUACCGUAACUUUCGGUUCAUUACAUACAUAGUAGGAAAAACCAUUUGAUUUCACAUGCGCUGGUCUCCAAACAUCAGAAAGAACAAGUUCAAAGGGUGAUGAGUACAUCGUUUUUGAAUGAUUAAAAGGAAGCUUGUGUGCUUUUCUUAGCUGACAAGAAGAACACACAUGAGGUAAAUUAUUGUGUUUGAAAGGGAUAUUACAGGUACGUAGUACAUGACUCAAAAUGGUAUUACAAGGGUGGCCCAGCCUGGCAUGCCACAACAUAGGUGAAGAAGUGAGCUGUGCACUGUUGAAAAUAGGGGUGAGCAAAAUUUGAUUCGAUUCGAAAAACUCGAUAAAAUUUUCAAAUUUUGAAUUAAAUAGUUUGAGUUAUUUGAGUUAAUCAAGUUAUUUGGGUCAACUCGAAUAAAAAAAUAAGUUUUUCAGUUUAACUCGAAUGUGAAUUACACAAUUCGAGUUAUCCGAAAAUCCAAAUAAGAAAAGGCAAAACUAUGUCAUUUUGAUAAAUGUUUACCUUUUCUAAAGUUAAAAGUCAAAACUAUAAAGUUAAAAGGUAAAACUAUGUUGUUUUGAUAAAUGUUUACUAAUUAAGUUAAUAGGCAAAACCAUUAUAUUGUUUAUGUUGUUAAAUAAAUUUAUACUUAGUUUCCUAGUUAAAUAAUUGGUUCAUGUAAGUGCAACAUUGAGUACAAAUAACAGGAUUCGUUAACUCGACUCGACUUGACUCGAAAUUUUUUGACUCGGCUCGAUCCGAUUCGAAAAAAUUCAAAUUGAGUUCGGUUGCUAAAAUAGGAUUCGUCAACUCGACUAACUCGAAAUUUUUUGACUCAAUCCGACUCGACUCAAUCGAAUGCUCACCCCUAGUUGAGAAGAGCGGAGCUGAAUUUCUGAGCACCAAUGGGUUUUAUAAGAGCUUUGGAAGGGGCAGCAUGAGAAACAUCGAACCUGUAGAGGCCAUUAUGCAUGUGGCCCACUAGUAGAAUUGUCCUUGUCUGUAUGUCCUUCACAAAACCCAAAAAUGGGUGAAACUCAAAGUACACAGCAUUAUCCCUUGCAAAUUUCCCUACUGACAGCAAAUUCUUACAGAUAUUGGGAACAUGGAGAAUACUUCUAAGAUGUAAGAGCCUAGAACUAGCCAGUAAGGUAGAUGAACCUACACUACUAACAGGAACCAGUUCUCCAUUUUUCAUAGAAAUUUGAGUCGUACCUGUAUAGGGAGAAGCAGCUGUGAGAUUGGACAAGUCAGGGGUGAUAUGAUUCAUUGCCCCUGAGUCAGGAUACCAUGUUUGAUCGAGUGAGGUGGAGAGGGAACCUCGAGCAGUAGGCUGACUGUAGAUAGUGGUAUUAGGUGAGAACGCUCUAUAAUAGUGAGGCACAGAGGGAUAUGUAGAAGAAGAAGAAGAAAUCCCUUGACCAUGAAGUUGAUGACAAUUAACCUGCACCCAAUGACCAGGUCCUACCUUAGAAAAAUUCUCAUCGAACCUAUGAUAGCAAGUCUGAACCAUAUGACCUAUCUUUCCACAUAGUUGACACUGUAGUCUAGAACGUGACCAGCUUCGUCCACGAGACCAGCCUCGACCUUGUCCUAUUUGCCCUUGCUUAGACUCUUAAAAAAACGAGUAGAGGCUACAGACUGACCCGAGUUGUCUGUAUUAUCUUGUUGAGAGCGAGAAGCCAGGUUGGCUUGUAAAUGAGAAUCAGUUAGUGAGAACAUAUGUCGUGCUUCACAAUCAAGAAGCAUUUUGAUUAACAAGUCAAAUGAGACAGGGGCUGCCUGCUGCACUUAAACCAUCACUUAGUUGUUUAACCUUGAACUGAUACUCUUUAACAGUGAGGCUGCCUUUCUUGAUUGAGUAGAGGGAAUGACGCAUAUUAGAGAUCUUGAUGUUUGACUUUGUUCCAAAUCGUCUUUCAAUUGCAGUCCAGAUUUCAAGAUUGGUCUUAACCAUUGUGAGAUGAACCAAGACAUCAUUUAUAACCAUAGAUAACAACUAAGAAGCAAAAAAGUUAUCCUGCCUCUCGUGAACAAGAAAUGCAGGAUUAUCAAUGAGUUGACCCUCAUUCCCAGAAAUGAAAGGUGAGGGAAUGGAAACAGUACCUAGAAAAAAUCCCUCGAGAUCAUACCCUUCAAGAAUCAAUAGAAGUUGAUGUUUCCAUAAUAGGAAAUUAUGUUCCCCGAGUUUGAUAGUGCCAUGUUUAGAAAAAUACUGAAAAGUAUGCGAAAAGGAAUUAUCAGAACCAUGUGAGUGAACUGCUUCACCAUUAUUAGAGGAAUGUCUAGGAGUAUCAACUAUUGGAACAGCUUCUGUAGCCAUGGCCCCAAAAAUAAAAUUUUUCAGCAAGAACCUAGCUUUUGAUACCAUGUUAGAAACUAUAACAAAGUACGUACAAAAUAUCUCUCUUCAUUGAAUCUACCAAGAGUCACUUGCAGACUAUUUAACAUACAAAGAUAACUGCUAACUAAUGUUAACAGCUAACUGCUUACUGCUAACAACAAGUUAACUGCUUUAACUGAUUUUAGUUAUACAAAAUAUAUCAUAACACGUGGCAGGUCAUGGUGAAUGAUCUUGGGGUUGCGAGAGGAAGCUAGUUCUUGCUUAUACUUGCUGGUAGGUCAUGGUGAAUUGCCUGUGAAAAAGGACUAGGUCGAAACUAGAAUGAAAGAAGGUAAAAUCCCUUAGCAUGAAAUUCUUUAGCAUCCACUACAUAUAUCGAACCAUUCUAUUGUUGCUUGGAUGGCGAUCCUGAACAGGUUACCAACCAAAAAGAGACUUCAGCCUAUGGGACUUAAUAUCAACACUUGUUGCAAAUUGUGUCGUGGGCUAAGGAGACAAAGGAUCAUCUGUUUUUUGAUUGUGAGUUCUCAAAGGAAGUUUGGGGAGCACUUCUUAAGCUUUGCAAUAUUAAUAGAAGACUGAGUUGUUAGAAUCAUUAACUCAGGUGGGCUAUCACAUAAAAAGGGGAAAUUGACAAUGAUUAAAAAUAUUGUACAAAAAUUAGAUUAAGGGGGUAAAACUAUUAAUACUUGUCAUUAGGGCUUUUUCAAUGCACCCAUACUUACCUUUUUUUAAAAUUUAAUGGUAUCAAUAUACGAAAUUUCAUAUUUUAAAGUCCUAGGCAUAAAGGAAGGAGAAGCGUUCUAAGUAACAUGAUGUGCAUAGAAUAAGGUAUACUAACAAGAUCAUGAGUGGCCUUAUUUAUAUCUUAAAAAGUGUUUAUUUGAAAAUUUUAAAAAUGAUCUUUGAAGAAAAAUGAAAAUAUGUGAAAAUUAAAAAAUAAAAAAACUAUUUUCAUAGUUUUCACUAAAACUAAAAAAGUUAUUUUUGUUUGGUUUUCACCAUAAAAAAGUAAAAUUUUUAAAAAGGUAUAUAUAAGUGAUAAUAAUUGACGCAUUAAUAGAUAUUACGAGUUAAUUGAACAUCAAUUCAGUUGCAAAAAAAAUUAAAAAUAAUUUUUUUAAAAACAAUAAAUUUUAUUAUAAGAAUAUUUAUGUUUUCCAUACUUUAUAAAAAAAUUAAAAAAUAAAUAAUUUAAAUUACGAGAAAGGAUUGUAUGAAAUUAUUAUUCUACAUCGUCUUUAUCCCUUUCUAAUGGAAGAAUGAAAAAUCUGAUUUUUUCCCAUAAUUUUUAGCUUUUUCGUCCUGAAAAAAAAAUCAAAUCCAACUAAAAAUGUUAAAAAUCAAGAUAAGAAAUCUGAUUUUUCAUUCUCUUAUUGGAAAGGGAUAAAGAUGACGUGGAAUCAAAAUAGAUAAAUGUUAAGCUUGAAAAUUCUUUAGAUAAUGUUGGUUUGAUUUUAUAAAUUUUUUCAUAGUGACUUGUGUAUUACAUAAUUCAAUAUAUAAUUUGUUAAUGUCAACUUGGAUCAACAAGGAUUUGGACUGGCAAUUGAGUUGUGAAAGUGAGAAGGCCUACAAGAAAGAAAGAAAGAAAGGAAGAUGAGUUAUUAUGAGUAGCCGGAGUUAAUAUUCCAAUCGCUCUUUGAUACUUAAGUUAAUGAUUUUUGUUUAGAAAAAAUGAAAAAAGGUACAAGAUGAUGAAUAGUUUACAUAAUCAAAAGGACUCCCUAGAGGCCUUUUAUGUUUACCUCCUUACCUUUCAUGUGACAAUCCUCUUAGCCUUGAGGUCCAAGGUGCAUCGGAAUUGGUUCAUCCUCUUAUUUUGUUCGUUUCCUCUUUCUGUUUAGUUCUGACCGUGUUAGGCUCUGUCUUGCCUUGAUCCUUUGCAGUGUCAGGGUUCUUUUCCUCCUCUACCAUCAGGCAUUGACAACUCCCCCUUUUGUUUCCUCCUCAUUAUCUACGCAUUAGAUAUUUUAUUAUAACAUCUUUGGGUCUUUUUACUUUCGGGUUUACGAGUAUGGCAUAAUAAUAAUCCUCCUUAAAUCUGAGUAGGUUCUAAAGUGGCAUCUACAUAUAAAUAUAUAUAUAUAUUAAUUUAUAUGAUUUUUUCAUACUUAUUAUGGAUUCCUCUUUUGUUGAAUGUUUUGGCUUCAGCAUUACAAUUCUAUUUAUAAGGGAGGGGGGUUAAAGAAGGACUUAUAACAAGCAUAUAGAAGUUUAAAGGGUGAGGGAAUUAAAGAGACGAAAACAGUAAGAAUAGAUGCUAUAAGACCAGGAGAUCACAUAUUUUCUGAUAAGAAAUCACGUCUCUAUUUUCACAUGGUACACUCUCUCUUGCUCUUAUUUUUUCUUUUUCAUUUCCUUAAAGAAUACGAAGAAAAUAUUAUAAGUUUCCUAAGUUUUUUUGGCUUCUUUCGGAUGGAAAAUCCAAUAACAUUCAUUCAUGAAUUUAUUAUCACUUAGUGAUUUUUUAAAUUAAAAAAAAAGUUAAAACAGAAAGAAGCAGUUGACCUAAGUUCAAGGUCGAAUGGAUAUUGGAUACAAGUGUAUGUUCUCAGUUAAAUUUCACACAUAAUGGUUAUUACAUGAUUUCUAAAUAAAAGGGAGACCUGUGAUUAAACCAGGCAUAUAUGUGGGAGAUCAAAUGGUGAGUCAUCUGAUGGGACCAAGCAAGACUUACAACCUAAGACCCUGCGAAAGUUGUGGGUUGAAGCCCCAAGCAGGGAUCUUCAAAACUUGCCUCGAUUGCUUCCUCAAUGGCCACUCACUCUACCACUACGAAUACGACGUUUCUUACUUAAAACUGGGUUUCAAACGCUAGUUCUUGCAGCAUUUGGGAUUGAAGACCGGCGAACCAAGUCGUCGAAACUGCCUAUCGUCUGCUCGAAGACAAGAGCUUCGGGAGCUACAAUUUUUUCCUCAACAACUGCGAGGACUUCGCGGUGUAUUGCAAAACGGGCAUGGCCAUGAGCAAUCAAACAGCAGGGUUAUUUGGGUUUAACUUGGUUGGUGCUGUUGGAUAUCAUGCUACCAAAGGGAUCCAUGAAGCCUUUACCAAUUAAAGAACAAUUAAGGCCUCAUCAGCCAUGAUUUAUGAAAUAAACAGCCACUUGAACU